rnacentral:lncRNA from 1 species
CAGGCAGGCAUAUGCAAGUGAUCAUGUUUCCUGCAAUAUUACCAUAAAGAACGAAGACUAAGGACGAUGCUAAACUCCACAACUCUAAGCUGAGAGGAAUAGACUCAUUCAGCUGAAUUACAUGGAAGUUACUAAAUUAGAGCAGAACUCGUUCACCGGGAAAAAUCACAGAAUAAAUUAGACUAUGUUCUCAUAAAUGACCAACGAUCGCAAGUUUAGCAUGUUAUGUCACUCCAUAAUUUAUAUACGAAGAGAGACCACAAUUUGAUGAGCAUAGAAUUUUCAAGAAAAGAUGUGCAACCUGCGAAAUUGGUGAAAACAAUUUCAUACUCUUCACCAAGUUUAACUUCAGUCAGGCCAACUGGACAAUUUGCUUGCUCCAUGCCAAUGAGAUUUUCCUCGAGUGGGAGGAAUUCAAAAUAGCCAAUAUUUGGUAACACUGCAUAAGUAACCAUCUCAGGGGGGAAUUUUGGGUUAACGUUUACUCCGACCCAUCCUUCAGAAGAACCAUAAUCUGCACUCAAUAGAGGUAAUUCCCCUGCAUAGUGCCUCAGUUUCUUCAAGUAAGGCUCCAUGGAACCUGUCAUGAUACCAUAUAUGUACUUUGUAUUCGGGAAGAGUUCAGGAAUCAAGCCAUACCAAUUGCUUAAACUUAAGCAUUUGCUAUGAAUUGUAUCAGCCAGUUCUGGAUCAGGCUUCAGCAAUUUUGACAUGGCCAAUCUUAUGGAUGGGACAAUGACUCUGCUCGAUAAGACUCCCUCCCUUAUGUCAACAACAAGUGCUUCCCAUACUUGUUCGAAAGUUCGAAAAGCAUGGACAAUGCUAUGUGCAAACGUAGACGAAACAACUUGAACUUCAUCGCGGAAAAUGAGACCACACAGAAGGUGACAGUAUAAGGAUUGUUGAAAAUCAGGACCAAAUAUCACUUCAUCAGGACUACAAACUGGGGUAGACAUUGCCUUCAUUGUCUUCUUGAAUUGUGCAUUUCUAUACACAUUGGUAGUGGCUGUUCCAGCUGCCAAACCACCUUUAGUUUUAAACUGCUUGCUGCUGUAAAUAAACUGCAAAGCCUUCCCAUUCCCAAUUGGAAAUUCUCUGAAAGAAAAAAAACAGAACUAUUACAUUAAGCCAUGUGUAGGCCUAAACAUAGUGUAAACUAGUACUAUGUUUGUUUGUAGUACACAAUAAGAAUUGACAUUUAAUUUACUUGCAGAAAGAACCAAUAGUUCCUUUUCUUUUCUUAGGAGUUGGAAAGUGUGACAGAAGUUAGGCAAAGGUCCCUACUUCUAUCACCAUUUAAACACUUUUAACUUUCCAUGGCUGCUCCAAUUAUUAGGGAACUAUUUACUUUUAUCCCUAGGCUAUAUGAUGUAUUUAUGACAAAAGAAACUGAAAAAAAAAAAAAAACUUCAUGGACCAACAAGCAAACAUGAGAAACAAGACAUAGAACAAAAUGACAAAUGGCAAAUUACCUGUUCCUAAAGGCAAAAGAAGUCUUGAAUAUCUGCAUGGUGGAAUCCAUCAAUUCAUCAUUGAAAGGUACAAACUUGGGCUUCCCUUGAGUAGUGCCAGAACUGCAAAUCAACCAUUCAAUUUCCUUAGUAUACUUCUUUAAACAUACAACAAAUCUAACAGUAUUUUUAUUGUUGAUAAAUACUCAAUUUUUCACAUAAUUUUUGUUUCAUAUUUAUUGUAGGAAAAAGUAGGCGGCAAAUAUCCCCUCUUUUUUUUAAUUCCUUUUCCACAAAUUCCUCUUUCAAUUUUAGUGGCCUCCAUUCCCUUCUUUUCUAUACGUAACCGUCGUACCCCAUUAAUUCCAUAAAGAAACCCACAAUCUCAUUCUAUUUUUUGUCUAUUCCUUUUUAUUGAAUUUUGAGUGAUUUAUCAUUAAAUCCAUACUCUUUAAAAAUAAGAAUAUGUAAUUAAAAAGUGCGAUAAUCAAAGUACUUGAGAUAGUUGAUAGUAACAAAAAUCGACAGACAAGAAACUUCUUUAAACAUCAACCCAAAAAAAAAGGCAACUUUUUUCUUUACCUCAAGGAGAUGGUUUCAAUGGGCUUUCCAGUAAGAACAGGUGAAAGAUCACCAUCAGCAAUUCUUUGAAUGUAAGGCUCCAAAUCAUUGUGACUGACAAUAGGGACACAAGCCUUGAAAGUCUCAACAUCAGUUCUGCCAUUCAGACCCCAUUGCUUCAAAUACUCUGUUCCCCCAUUUUCUUUCAGGAUUUUCUCAAGUGUCUCUUCUUGAAUCCUCCCAGCAUUUUUAGUCAACUCCUCAAAAUCCUCAAUCACUUGUUCUGCAUCAAAUUUCUUCUCAAUGUUUUCCUCCAUCAUCUUCAUAAUCCCUCCUACAAUAAACACCUCUAAUAAGAACAAAAGACUUCAACUUUAAGCAAUAUCAGUCAAGUAAAAACAGUUUCUUGUGACUAAUCAAGAAUCCUCAGCUUACCAGUAAGCAUUAAUACAAUUUGAGAGAUGGGGUUGGGGGGUUAAAAAGAAUAGAACAAUCUAAACUAUGUGUCAAACAAGCAUAGGCUGCAAAAUUUCCUGUUCUUGAUUGUUCACUUUAUGCAAUUAGAACAAAGUUCACAAAAAGUCAAAGAUGACAAUAAACAGUUACAAAGGAAUCUUUUUUCAUAGCUUGAUAACAUACAAACAAAUACUAUAGAAAAAAAAACUAAACACUCCAUAGAACCUUUUACCAUAGCUAUACAAGACAUACAUACAAAGACAAGAAAAUGCAUAAAUAAAUGAUUUGAAAGCAGUACUCCAUAGUUAUUACUAACUUCAAUGCAACUUAACUCAUAAAGGGUACAUAAAGGACAAUAAAAAAAAGUCUAUUUGCAAUCAAUAAAACUAAAAUCUUUAACAGCUAAUAUCCACUCCUUAUAAGAAAAAAGUCAUCACCUAAGAUACACAGAGUCAACAUAAAGAAAACUAAAACAAAUUGCAAAAAAAAAAAAAAAAAAAAAAAAACAGAGAACUCAAGAAUCACACAAAAUCUAAAAAGUCCUAAAACAUAAAAGAUUUCCAAAAAGGGAAAAGAUUGACAAAAAGACCAAAAGGGUAUCCAAACUCAAGUAACUUAAACAUAAAAAUCAAAACUUUUUAUCAAAUAAUUCAAUCAAAAAACACAAAACACAAAACCCCAUAUGGGUAUUUUUGUAUACCUUUGUUAUAAAUGGCUUAGAAAUGAAGAAGGGGAUCUCAAAAUGACAAACAACAGGUUCUUGAAAAGAAAAAAAAAACAGAUAAAAAUUGGAUCUUUUUUUUUUGUGGGGUUUCUUGAAAAUUAAUUCUACAGCUUCAAAAUGAAAAACUUGGGUGUUAUCAAAACACAAAACCUUAAACAAAUAUAUACAUUUAACAAUUAUAGAUAUUUGUUUAUAUAUAUAUAUUUAUAUAUUUUUUUCUCCAGAAAUGGACAAAAAGAGAAAGGAUGACUCUUGUGUUUUGAUGAGGGAAGAUUGUUAUAGAGAAGAGAAGUAUAUAUAGCAAGUGAAGUGUGAGCAAACACCGUCCAACGUGGCAUAUUAUUGUUACCGAAAAUACCCUUGAGAGUUUACUAUAAUUGCAAUAAAACAAUAGGAUAAUGGAAAAUGGUAUCUGUCCUUUUCUGGAAAUUUAUGUACUGAAAAUACAAAAAGUGCGUUGGAGAUUAUUUUGAGGAAGUAGGCUGUUUAUAGGCAAAACAAAAUUAACUGGUGGGGAUUAUCCCAAAAGAUGAAAAGAUGUUUAGCUUUAAGGCAAUACUCCUCUUUUAUCUUUUGGGGGGUUAUUAAAGGGUGAUAUUAUUCAUGUUCGGUUUAUCAAAAAUUUUUUUUUUAGGAAAAGAAAAAAUAAAAUUUAUAGGUGUUGUUUGUUCAUAUUUUAUUGUAAAAAUUGAAAAAAAGAAAGUAUUUUUUGUUUUUUUAAGUGUGAAAUAAGUUUUGAAAAUUGAAGUUGUAUUUGAUCGUAAAAUAAAUUAGAUAUUGUUUUUAGAAUUUUUAUGAUUAAUUGAAAUGAAAAAAGUAAAAAUUAUUGUUAUACAUAUAGUAGAUAUUGCUAAACAAACUAGUUAAUUCGUAUUACUAUUGUUAACGGGAGGUUGUGGAAAUAAUCUCUUGUCGAAAUGCAAGAUAAGACUGCAUAUAAUAAAUUCUUAUAGUCCAAUCCUUUCUCAGAUCUCGCACAUAUAUAGAGGGGGCUCAGUGCAUCAGGAUGUCCUUUUAUUACUUGUCGAAAUGCAAGAUAAGACUGCAUAUAAUAAAAUUUAUUUUUUUAUUUUUAUAUAAUAAAUUUUAUUUUAUUGUACAUUUAUAUACUAUUAUUUUUAUUAUAAUUUAUAUUAUGUAUAUUACUUUACGUAUUAUUUUACAAAAUUAGAAAAAAAAAAAAGGUAAAAUAAUAUUUUUGAAGAUCAGAAAAAAAUAAUUAAAGAUUUAUGUCAUCCCAUAAGAAGGUAUAAUAUUGAUUGAAAAUUUGAAUAUGAAUAUCUUAAUUUAAUAAAAAUAAAUAUUAAAUAAUUUUUUACUAAUAGAUAUUUAAAAUAGUUUAUCUCUAUAAAAAAUGUGAUACUUGUCAUUUUUCGUAAUUUGACUUUCAAAAGCAUUUUUCAAAUGAAUUAGCCAAAUUCAAAAUGUGUUUUUUCAUAGACAUAUUUGUGAAAAACUUUUUUUUUUAAAUACUUCUAGAAAUAUAUAACUAUUCCCUCCGUCCAACAAUAGUUGUCCACUAUUGACUUGACACAUUUCUUACGAAACAAUAAAUAAUAGGCGUAAUAUUAAUAUAUUAUCCUUUAACUUUAUUAAAUUUAAUGUUUUGAAAAAUGUAUUAGAUGAUAAAUAAUAUUCAAUAGCAACGGUAAAAUAGACACAAAAGAUAAAUUAUCUCUUGAUUUUCUAAAUUAGACAAGUAUUAUUGGACAACUAUUUUUAGUACAGUGGACAACUAUUGUUGGACGGAGAGCGUAGUUUUGAGCCCAUCUUGUUGUAACAUCACCCACUUUUAUGCAUUUUUUGUUACCGAAAACACCCCUAAGAGCUCACUAUAAUUGCAAUAAAACAAUAGUGAUAAUGGAAAAUGGGAUGUGUCCUUUUCUGGAAUUAAAGUUCUAACAACUAUAAAAGUGAGUUGGAGAUUAUUUUGAGGAAAUAACAGAAUUAAGUGGGGAUUAUCCAAAUCACUCAAACUCUCAAAGAAUAAAAAAGAUGUUUAGCUUUUCCAAAAUUUAAGGCAUGUAUCUUUUAUUUUUUGUGGUUAUUAAGGGUGUAAUUUUUCAUAUUUGGUUUGUCAAGAUUUUUAAAAAAAAAACUCCCUUAAAAAUAAAAGAACAAUUUUUUUUUGGACAGAAAUAAAGGAAACAAGUUUUGUUAGUGAUAAUCAUACUCAUUAUCUUCGUCUUAUCCUUAAGAUACAGAGAUGAAUCUAGAAAUUGAAAGUAUCGAAAAAAUUGUUAUUUUUAAUAUAGAUGUGUCAAUUUUAUUUUUCUUCAACUUAUAUAGACACGUCAAUUAUAUUUACUACAAAGUUUUGGACAGAACUCUGAAUUAUUUUUUUUAAAAAUGGGUUGUAACUACUAAAAUGCCAAAAAGUUGCAAUUGGAAGUUAGUUUAAUAACACAUUACGUUACUGAAUAAAUAAUUGAUAAUGUGUAAAAUUGAAAGUUGUGAAAGUAUUCUAAAUGAAAAGUGUGAUGUACAAAUUUGAAUGAUAAGAGCAACAUCAAGGAAAAUUUUAGAGUAAAAUGUUUAAAAAACUAUAAUCCACUUGUACAAAGACAAGUCCUCUUAAACUUGUCUUUUAAUGAUAAUCCUAUCUUAAGAUUCAAGGUAUAAUAGAGAUAAUAAUAUGUUUGUUUUUCUUCACAAAUUUUAGAUAGGAAGAUAUGGAGAUCAAAGAUUAGGAUUAGAAAAUUAAUAGAUAGUUAAGUGUUGUCUAAAUUCUCUUAUCAGUAUUUUUAUUAUUAGGUUCCUGGUAUUCUAUUUUUUUAAUUUUUAUUAGUACUUGUUAUUUCUUUUGCUUCAAUUAUUGUAAUAUGUGUUGUUACUGUUUCUUUCUUCAUUAUUUACUAUACUUAUUUCUUUUUCAUGUUGUUUUUUCAUAUGUUUUUACUUGAGCCGAGGAUCUAUCGAAAACAUUUUUUCUAUCCUCACAAGAUAGGGGUAAAAUUCUAUACACAAUAUCUUUUAAGGAUAUCAUUUGUGAGAUUACAGUAGAUACGUUACAUUUUACUUGUUAUUGUUGCUUUGGAUAGAAGAGUAUGGCGAUUCUCUUCAAAUUGUGGACCAAUAUGCAAUGUUCAUAAAUGCAUGAUCACAACUUACACAGAAUCACUGACCAUAAUAUAUAUUUUUGCAAAAUUUCAUGAUUAUUUUUCUUGAUCAGAAUAGUGGAACUAAUCUGUUCCGCAGACAAUGCUAUGUAUUAUCCUAAAAAUCCACUUAAUAUGUAUUAAAUUAUAAAUGAAGUGUUUUAAAAAUAUUUUUUAUUGCAUGACAUGAUAUAAUUGUUUUUGUUUAAGUUAAGAUAUCGAACGUCACUACAUCAAAAAUAACUUUUAGCGGCAAUAAAUAGACAUUAAUAAAGAAUGCUAAAGUUUUUAUCGGCAUAUGUUAACUGUCAUUAGAUCCAAUGCCGCUAAAGGCUUUAGGGAUAUAUACAAAGAGUGUUAAUUGCCGCUAAAAAUACAUAUUUAGCGGCAAUUAAGCUAUUACCAUUAAUUAAUUGUCGCUAAAGAUUUUUUUUAAUGUAGUGCGUCCGUUAUAACUCAAAAUUAUGUCUGCGAAAUCUUAAGAAGGAUGAUGUUUAAGAAUUCAAGAAAUCUAUAAUUUUUCACUUAGUAUGUAUCGAUUUAUGGAGCGUACAAAAUUUAAAGUGGACGGAGAAAAUUAAAACUAAAAUGAGGUCAUGGCCAAAAAUAAAGGAACAUUCAAAGAGACAGACGGAGUGAUGUAAAUAAAAAUGACAUGUUUACUUUUAUAAACUUUUAACUUCAUGGGAACUUCAUUAUUUUUUUAUUAUUAUUACUAAUAACAAUUAGAGCAAUUCAUGUUUUGUGAUUAGUGAAGAAUAUUAUUAUAGUAAUUGUACUUAUCUGAACUUGCUUAAUAAUUGACUAACCCAGUUUACCAUCAAAUCAUUACAACUUUUGACCGUGCUCAACCUUUCCUCAGUUAUUUCCUUUAUUUUAUAUUAGUUGUCAUAUUUCGUUCUCUAGAGUUAAAUUAAGUUAAUUUUAAUUAGAGUAAUAUUUUGAAAUAUAUAUUUUAACAAAUUAAUAAGAUGAAAAUUACAAUUUGUAGCAUUUAUUGUAUACUUUUUAAAUAUUAAAUUGAUCUAAUCUAAUUUAAUUUUAAAAAUUAGUCAAAUCAACGAUUAAAAAGAAAAACAUGAUAAUUAAUUUUGCACAAAAAAAGAGUAACGUAAGUAAAUAAAGAAGUGAAUUGCUUCUUCCACCCUUUCUCUGUUGAGUUUAACUAGUAUCCACCGUCCGUAAAAAUUAUUCUUUACACAAGCAAGUAUUUUAAAGCUUAUUAUAGGUAAGGUUUAAUUAUUUAUACUUUCUAAUAUUCAAAUUAAAAAUAAGAAAAACAGUUUGAAGAAGGUAACUAAGACUCUAUAUUACUCUACCAUUUAAUAUUAUGAUUUAUUUUUAUUAAAAUUAGGAAAGGAUCAAAUAACGUAUUAUUUCAUUGUUGUUAAUUUCUACUCUACCAUCGAAUAUGAAUUAUGGUUUCCCUUUGAAUCAAUUAGCAACAUAACCUUUAAAGAAAUCAUCAAAAUAAACUUAAAGCAAUCAGUAGCAGCACAUCAAUAUUAUGAUAUUUUAAGAUAAUUAAUUUUAAAAAAUUGAUAGUUGCACAAGUAUUAUAACAUAUUUAAUCAUUAACUUUUAAAAGAUUUUUUCAUUUUUCUUAAAUUUUGUCUAAUCAAAUUAUGCUAUAUAAACUAAAUCAGUGGAAGUUUCUAGUUUUCUUUCUUUUUGAACAAGCAUGUUAUUACUAUAGUUUUAACUCCCAAAUCUUUGAAUUUUUUUUAAUUUUUUUUUGUUUUUAUUUUGUGACUAUUUUUCUAAUAUUAACUUUGAAAUUCUUUUGAAGAAUUUAUUUCAUUUUUUAAGAUAAGAAAAAAAAACAAUUUUGGAAGUAAGAAAUUUUGUUUUUUCGUAUGCAACAAAAUAACUAGUAUAGAAAGAAUAUUGUAAUUUAUACAUUGAUUUUAGUAUUAUGGACCAACUAUUUAUAGUAAGGAUGACAUAUAAAUAAGAACGGAGGGAGUAUUAAUGUGAUGGAGAAUCCUAGUAGCUUAGUUGAUUGGUUAGCAAAAAGCAAACUUGGUUGAUUUUCAUUCAUUGAUUACAUCUACUUAAAUACAAGUUAGAGUAUCUGCAACUUAUCUAGGGUGCGUCGAUAGAGAGACACAUCGACAGGGGUUGAACUAGAGCCAGUGUCGAUAGAGAGUUGCAUCGGCAGGAGAUGAAAUGAUUUUUUUUUAAAUUACGAAAACAACAAAAAAAUUAUUUCACAUGCUAAAAAUCAAAGCUAAUUAAUAGGAUAAAUCACGUGUUUCAUCUGUUUUUACUAUUUUUCUGUAAAUUUUAAAACACAAUUUGAAUGACACAUAUUAUACAUACCGGUAAUGCUAAAUGGUCAGAAAAUUUGGUAAGAAUUUGACCAAAAAAUUUAUAAAACUAUAAUAUCUUUUGUUAUUUUAAAAUAAACGGAUCUUUUUUUCAUGUUUUAGUUAAAACGUAUUAAAGUUAAAAGGAUAAAAAUGUUCGAAAAGAUAAAAUAACAUAGGUAAAAUACUAUUUUGGUCAAAUUUUCUGGUUGAAAGGUUUUUUCCUAUACAAAAUUAUGUAUAUCUACUACAUAUAUAUAAGUGACAAUAACCAGGCAGGUCAUGGUCGACAUACCUACCUGGCAGCUGCACUAUUUUUUCUUUUUCGGUGGUUCUUCCGUUUUAAUUUGUUUGACUUGUUUUUAAUUUUUAAAAUAUUUAAAAUUUAUGUAAAAAAUACUAUAAAUCAUGAUAAUUGCCAACUUAAAAUAUGUGUACAAAACAUAUAAAAAAUUCGAUUGAUUCAUAAAAUUAAUUUAUCUGUGUCACAUAAAAUGGGAUAAAAAAAGUAACAUGUAUUAUUUUGAAAAUUGCGUAGAAAGUAUUGUAAAUCUCAAUAAUUAACAACAUUUGAUUGACUCUUGAAAUUCUAUUUGUGCUACAUACAUUGGGAUAAGAGAAGUAACAUAUAUUAUUAAAAAAUUACGUAAAAAUACUAAUAUAAAUUACAAUAAUCAAAAGAAGUAACAUGUAAUAUUUAAUUUGAAAACUACGUAGAAAUUAUUGUAAAUCUCAAUAAUUAACAACAUUUGAUUGACUCUUGAAAUUCUAUAUGUGCUACAUACAUUGGGACAAGAGAAGUAAUAUAUAUUAUUUAAAAAUUAAGUAAAAAUACUAUGAAUUACAAUAAUUAACAACUUAAAAUAUUUAAAAAUCAUAUUAAAAUUUAAUUAACUAUCUAAAUUCUAUCUGUCACAUAAAUUGAGACAAAAAAAUAUCAAAUAUUGGGCCCGUGCUAGUACGAGGCCAACGAUAGACAAUAACUCCCCCCCAAACACAGCUUACAACUUUCAUCGUACUGUGCUCUCCAAAGAGCAACUCUUCUCAAAAUCUCACUCAAAAAGUGCUGAGUUGGAAUCCCAUUCAACUAAGGAUUCUUGUGGUUCUGUGGUAAUAUAAGUAUUAAUGUAUAUAAUUCUACACCUUUUGACACCAGCAGAUCGUGACAUUUAUGAAUUCCGUAAAAAAAAGAGAGGAUAAAUUACCUAUAUACACGUCUUUUCCCCCAUAAUUCUCAUUAUUCCCUACCAAUUCUAAUUUUUUCCAAAAUCCCUUAUUUUACUCCCAAACCCUGGAUACAUAAAUCCUAACUCCCAAAAUUAAUAUUUAUUCCUUCCUUAUUUCACUCCACAAAUCUCUAUUUUUAUUUAGCCUGAUAAAUAACAGUCUUCGAAAAUAUUUUGGCUUUAAAUAUGUUUUCAAAAAUUUCACAAAAAAAAAAAAAAAAAAACCGAAGUAGAUAAAAUAAUAUUUUUUAAAAACAUAGAUAUUUCAUUUUUUUCCUUCUUCAAACACAACAGCCACACUUUCUCCUAAACUUUAAAAUUUUGAUAUUUCACAUUUGUAAUCUUGAUAAUAUCUCGUCUUUUUUUUUUGUUAUUAUUAUUUUUAUUUCCCUUUCUUUUAUUUUAUAAUUUUUGUCAAUAUUGAUAAAAAAAAAUUACCUUCUUUAUUGUUUCUCAACAUAAUAUUUCAAGUAUAAAAUUUAUUGCCACAAUUUUUUUUGGUCGAUUCUCAUCUUAAAGAUAGUAUAGUUUAAUAUGUUUUAAAAAAAAUAUAAGAUGAAAAUAAUGAUAUUAAUGGAUAUUAAAUUUUAUGUGGAAUAUCUUGUUCUUAUCAAAUUUGGAGAAUAGUUUACCAAAAUUUGUUAACUUAACUAUGGUUAUAAUACUUCUUAAUAUAAUCUUGACCUUUAAAAAUUGAAUAAGACACAUGUCUCUCAUCUAGAAGUGUACUUGACGAAAUGGAUGGAAAUUGUAAUGGAGGGGAGCCAAAUCCGUGUUUGUUCAUGUAUCUAAUUGAUAACUUAAUUCUUAUUUAUUGUGAUACAUUUAUAGAUACACUUUAUUUCAGCUUACAUACCUCCUUCUUUCACAACCUAAUUGUAUCAAAUACAUUAUUAUCAACUACAAAAUGAUACAUUAUGUAAGUUAUACGAAUCUUUCAAGGCAAACUAUACAAUACUUAUCAAUUUAAACGAGAUACAUAAUAAUAUUGUAUCAUGCACUAAUUUUUUUAGAUAUGAUAUAUACGUUAAUUCUAAUUUAUACUAAAUGUAUCAAUUUACAUAGCAACCAACACAAGGUAAUGUAUCGAUCUCAAAUCUAACAUCUUAUGGGCAACAAUUACUUAUUUAAUGUAUCUAGUAUAAAUACAAUACUUAUCAAAUUAAACGACAUACAUAAAUAGUAAUGUAUCAUGUACUAAUUUUUAGAUAUGAUACGUAAAUUCGAAUUUAUACUAAAUGUAUCAAUUACAUAACAACUACCACAUAGUAAUGUAUCGAUCUCAAAUCUAACAUCUUAUGACAACAAUUAUUUAUUAAUGUAUCUAGUAUAAAUACAAUACUUAUCAAUUUAAACAAGAUACAUAAAUAGUAUAUAAAAUGCUAAGUAGCAAAGGUAUUCAUGAUGUAUCUUCUCAAUUUUUUCGACAAUGGAUCUUCAAUAAACUAGGAGAAGAAUUUUAUAUCUCAAAAUUUUCAACAAUUUUGAUUCAAAAUUGAAAGGAUCUUUGCUGAACUGAGAGAAGAUAGAAUUUUGAAUCUCAAUUUUUUUGAUAAUCUUGAAUCAAAAUUGAAAGGAUCUAUGAACUUGAAGAUUCAAAAGGAUAUCGUUUGUCCAACAACAAUUCCAUCACUUUUGUAUCCUUCAUAACUCACCUAGCUUAUCCAAAAUUUCGACAAAAGUUUUUGAAUCAAAUCUGAAAGGUUUCUUUGUUGAACGGGGAGAACAAUUUGAAAAUUUGAAUUUCUUCAUUCUAUUAGGAUUUUCCUAUGUAUGAUUGAGAGUAAGAAUAAACAUAAGCGUAAUUUAUGGGAUUUAAUUAAUUUUCAGAUUUUAUUCCCUUUUUAGUUCAACAAUUUUUUUUCUUGUAUUAUUAGAAUUAAUAUAUCCGGAUGGGAACUUAUGUAUCCGGAAGAUAUAAAUUUUAAGGGAUUAUUGUAAUUAGAAAAAAAGUAGGGAUAUGAUGUAAUUUACUCUUUACACUAUGUGAUUUAUGUAAGUUAUAAAAAAAAAAAAUAGAGAGAGAGAGAACCAUAGGAUACAAUGAUUGGUUAAGGACACUGUUAAGGUUAUACACGUUAUUUUUCUAUUUCCAAGAAAAUAAUAAUUAGGUUUUGAGUUCAAGUUUAUUAUUUAAAAAAGGAAAGGAUAAAAAAUUCCCUUAAACUAUGUGAAAGGAACAAAAAUAUCAUUCGUUUAUAAUUUGACUCAAAAAUGUCAUUGCCGUCAAUACUUUGGUUCAAAAAUUCCCUUACAAUCAAUACUUUGGUCUAAAAAUGCCCAUAUAGUUACUAAAUGGGUCAAAAAUGUCAUUUUCUGAAUAAGUAUAUUAUUAUUUUUCUUUUUAAACACAUCUUCUUCUUAAUUAAAAUAUUAUUAAAGAAUCAUGUUCUUGUUUUCUUUCUUUUAAAAUCACUUUAACAAAUAAAAAAUUAGUAAAUAUUUUUUUUUCUUAAUCUCAUUUUAUCAAUUAAAAUAGAAUAACUUCAUGUAUCAUUUCGACAAAUAAUAUAUGUCAUAUUCAUAAGAUCAUAAUAUAACCAUCAUUAAUUUAUAUUUAUAAAAAAAAUUUAUAAUAAAAUAAGAAAUAUUUUCAUUUUUUUCUAAAUUGAAAUAAGAUAAACAUUUGUUAAUUUUAAAAAAUAUUAUUAGAAAAAGAAUGUGUUAAAAAGAAAAUAAAUAAUAUAUUUAUUUAGAAAAUGAGCAUUUUUGACCCAUUAAAUAAUAAUAAGGGCAUUUUUGGACUAAAAUAUUGACGAAAAAGGCAUUUUUAAAGCAAACUACAAACGGAGGGACAUUUUUUUCCUUUCCCAUAGUUUAAGAGCAUUUUUUAUCCUUUUUCCUUUAAAAAAUUAUAAUUAUAAGACUAAAUAAAAGUUAAAUGGACAUAAUGAGUAAUGACAAUAGGGAUGCUAUCAUUAUUUUAUUAGCAACCACACCUAAUAUCUUGUUUGGUGUUUAAUCAACCUUAGCUUAUUAAAAAAAUAGCGUCAUUUGAUUUGUUGUUUUCUUUACUAAUUUUUCAAGUGAAGUGAUAUAUUUGCACGACCUAAUAAUAUAAGUGAUGUAUCAGAUUACUUUAUCUAUUUCUUACAAUUAAUUUGCAAAAUCUACUUAGAUUGUUGAAUUUCCCUCGAAUUACCUUUAACUUGGAACUAAAUUUAUUCUCUAAGGUUUUUACCUUUUUAAAAAAACUGAAAUCGGUACAACUCGAUCACAAUUUUAAUACAUGAUAUCUAGACUUGAAGACGUUAAAACAUAUGAAUAUUUUUUUUAUUUUUUUUAAUAUGAUCCUUUAAAGACUUUAAUAACCUUUUCUCUUUAAAAUAAUGUUAAAAUUUGACCAUUCUCAAAAAGUCAAAUAUAAUAUAAAUUUUAUGGCGGGUAAGAAUAUCAAGAGUUUAUUAUUCUUGGUGCAUUAGAUUCAUCAAUAUAAAGGUAUCACCAUCAUACGGUGAUCAUUAUAUGAUUGGAAUACAUCAAUAUAGUAAUAAAAAAAUUCUUUUUUUUGUUUGUAAAAAAUCAAGGUUUCUUGUUUAAUUGCUAUACCAAUUAAAUUAUUAUUUUCUUAUAUAGUUUUAUGAAUGUGAGUUUAUGCCUACAUAUUAGAAUGGUUAUUACGAUAUAUUUAAAGAAACUUAAAACGUUUUAAAUUUUGUAUUUAAGUUCUUAUCGUAGAGUGUUUUCAACUUUUUACAAUUAAAAAAUAUAUAAAUGGUCCAAUAUAUACUAAGAGAAAAUCAAUUAAAUCAUUAAAUCAGUAAUUUUUGGCAUCCAAGCCUAUUGGGCACAACUAUUCUCCAUACCAGCUAAAGUUUUACAUUUUAUUGAUGCACAUUGUAGGAGUUAUUUGUGGGCAGGGAGAUAUAUUAUGCUAAUCUAAAGAUAUGCCCUAGAAUAUCCUGGAAGUCAAUAAUGUACAAGAAUGCAGCAAGGCCUAAGGCUAUAUUCACUACUUGGCUGCUCAUGUGGGGAAGACUGUUAACAACUGAUAGAUUGCUUAAAUGGAGAAUGCAGAUUGAUUCAAAAUGUCCACUCUGUUGUAAGCAUGAGGAAAUCAAAGAACAUUUAUUUGUGCAUUGCGACUAUGCUAAGCAGAUAUGGAUCAAGAUGGAAAGCUGGACAACAGUACAACACUGUACAAUUUCUACUUGGGACCAACAUUUGGAUUGGAUGAUAGCAAAUUCUAAGGGGCACUCCCAAGGAGCUCAGAUUUUCAAAAUGGUGUAUUCCGAGACUAUCUACGCCAUUUGAAUGGAGAGGAACUUUCGCAUAUUCGAAAAGAGAGGUAGGGAAUGGGAAUCAAUUGCAAAGGAGAUAGACUAUGUUUCAUGUGUUAGAGCUCCUCCUAAAAUCAGGUGUAUUGUCCAAGAUUUUAAGUUUUAGCCUCUGUUUGAUAGCUCCUUCUAAGUUUCAUUCUAGGUAAGAUGGCAGGUUGCGUUUAACCUGACCACUGAUUUGUAAUGCCUACAUUUGGUGAUUAAUUAAAGUUGACAAAAAAAAAAUCAAUUAGGUAAUAUAUUUCUUGAGCAUUAAUUAAUUAAAAAUAAAAAUUAAGUUAUGAAUUUUACAAUCAUAAAUCAAUACAAAACUAAAUAAUAUUAUGGUCUUAAAACUUAUUAUACUAUUCAAAUUUUAAGUUCAAAAUUGAAAUUAUAUGUUAAAAAUUAAAAAAUAUUUAUAAAUUAAAUUAAAACAUUAUAUUUUGGUUGUUGGGUCUUCUAGAAAUGGAUUUGGGUUAAUGGAUACGAUUGUGAUUAAUGGGUUAAUUAAUUGGGUCUAAUUUCAUUUAUACGUGGAGUUGUGGACCAAUAAAAAUAAUGUCACAUAUAUUAUUAAAAUAAUUAUUCAUGUCACAUCAGUUUCUGUUAAAAGAGGGGUAAUUUUUGGUUUUAAAGUUAAGGGCAUUUUUUAAAAUCUAAAUAGGUUAAUUGGAGGGCAUUUUUUAUCCAAUAGAUAAAAGGAGAGCAUUUUUGAGUCAUUUCCAAUACGUUAAAGGUAUUUUUAACCAUUUUCUGUUUUUAUAAUAGAUUGAUAUCUACCAUGUCUUAAGUGUUUUGAGUUUUGAUUGUCAUUUUAAAAAUAUAUGCAAAUUAUUUUAAAAAAAUAAAUAAAUAAAAUUUAAAUUUACUUGAAUAUAAUAAUUAAUAAAAUAUUAAUAACAAAUAUAAAUAAUGAUUUAGGAGUUAUAAAUAAAAUUGGCAACUUAUAAUGUGAACACACAAGCAUAUUCCAGUGUGAUAGUGUGGUCAAAAUAAUGUUUUUUUUCCUAUCUAACUCACAAAUCACAAUUUAAAUGGUUUUUUUAACCCUUUUUCCACUUCUCGUAACGUACGAGGUACGAACUUUUUGAUACAAAGCACACCAAUCAUUUCAUUACAAGGAAUAAAGUUAAGUUAUUUUAAUAUGAUAAAUUAUAAUUUUAUAACUUUAUUGUUAAAUGAAUAUAAUUUAGUUAGCAUAUGUAAAAUUAAUUACUUUAAAAAAGUAGUUCCACUAAAAUGCGCAUUUCUUAGUUGUUGAUGACUCUGGGAAUGCAAUGAUUUUAAUAAUUCAAGCUUAUAACAUGUAUUGUUCACUUUGAUUCAAUAUGCUUCACAAACUUAUUUUUUUAGAUAUAUUAUUAUCGAACUAGAUAAAAAAAUAUGCACAACAUAUGAAUUCAAGUAACUAUAUCUAAUAAAGCCUCUUACUUUCCUUUUUCAUUAUGAUGUAAUAACCUAAGAUGUUAUGCGCAGAGAUGGAGUCAUGAUUGAGAGUUCUAAAUUUUAGGAUAGAAAAGAAGAAUAUUUUCAAACUUAAAACACUAGUGUGUAAAGCAUUUCCAUCCAUGGUCUUUUCCUAACCAUUGAGCCGUCAAUCAAUUUUGUUAGGAGGUUCACAAGUUAAUAUACAUAUAUAUUUAUUUAAUUUUCUUAUACAAAUACAGAAUCUACGGAAAAAUUACUGGAUUCUUCCGAACCCACGAAUACCCACAUAGCUACACCUCUGAUGUUAUGUGCUUACACUUCAUCUUUAGAAAUUUACCAACUUAAAAUUCUAUUAAUCCUACUUGAAUCAACUUCAUCAAUCACUCAAUCUGUCAAGGAUGUCACAACAACAGUAAGGGCCCGUUUGGAUUGACUUAAAAAAAGUAGCUUUUAAGUUAAAAAUAAAAAAAUCAAACUGAAAUGACUUUUAAGUCAAAAAAAUAAAAAGUAGGGGGAGACCUACUUUUGGUUUUUGACUUAUUUUAAGUCAUUUUAAACUUAUUUUAAGUCAUUCUUGUCAAACAUUUCUCAACUUAUUUUAAGUCAUUUUUGACUUAUUUUAAGUUAUUUUUUAUAUUUGUCAAACACUUUCAGAAGUCAAAAACUGACUUAAAAGUAGGUUUGACCAACUUUUAAGCCAAUUCAAACACCUUCAAUGUAGAAACUCCAUGUUGGAGUGUUUUUUCUUGAUCUGGAUUUACAUAGUGCAAAUAUGAAUAAAUUAAUCAGAUCAAUAAUUUAAAUAUUUUGUGAAAUUAGUCAAGGUGUUCAGACACCACAAUUAUUCAAAAUGGAUUUUGGUGUGCAUGAUGAAUUAAUAGUUAGGCACAUGUCAUCAUUCUUUCUAACUUUUUAAGACCUUGAAAACAACUAGCCACACAACACAUAUAAAUGUGGAAGUUUAUCCAUCGCUUACAAAAAGAGAUCACUCAUAAUAAGCUCUAGCUAAACUAUUGAAAUACACAACAAAAGGGAAGAAAGUGACAUAUCCACUAAUAAUUAUUAAGUGUGAAUAUAUGAGUAAAGCUCAUUGUGACACUUGAAGACUGUUUUGUACAACUUUUUUUCCAUAUAUAUCAAAGAAAAAGUUAGUGUAUCUUCCUUGUCUUCUUUUUUAAUUCCAAGAAACUGUCCAUUAACUGAAAAAAGAGAUAGCAGAGACUGAUCAUUAAUCAUUUGGUCCGUGCUACAAUUUAUCAGAUCUUUUCUCCGUUUUAAAAUAAGUGUUAUCAUAAUAAAAAUCAUAUUCAUAUUUCUUAAAAUUUAAGUACUAUUAAUAAAAUAAAAUAAAAUAUAAAUGUAUAAUUGAAAAACAUAAUAUUUUUUUAAAAAUAUUUUUUAAAGUAAUACUUAUUUUUGAUUUUUUUUUAAGACUUAUUUUGAGAUAGUGGAAGUACUAAGGUUAGGUUAUUGUUGGCGCAAUAUCCACACGUGAUGCAUAUUGAAAAGAAAAAUAUUAUUUUUUUCUUAAAAUUUGAAGUAACACUUAUUUUUUAAACAUUUUUUGAGACGAUGAAAGUACUAAAGUUAGUUCAUUGUUGGCGCAAUAUCCACACGUGAUGCAUAUUGGAAAACUAAAGUUUGUAACGAAGGGACAUUUGGAUUGGGUCGGAGAAGAUUUAAUUUUAAGAAAGUUCUGUAAAUAACUUUUAUCAUUUAUUUUUAUAGAAAAAUAGUGAGAUUUUUCUAUAUUUCAAAAUGUAAUAAUACUCUAAUUUCAAAUGUAAUAGAAUAUAUGUAUUUAUGCACAUACAAUAUCUCAUUGAAAAAUAUUCUUAAUAUAUAUAUAUAUAUAUAUGUUACUCCCUCUGUCCCAUUUUAUAUGUCACAUUUUUACUUUGCACUUGCAUUAAGAAAUGAUAUAACUUUACCCUUCUACCCUUAUUUAAUAUUUUCUAAGUCAACUUUAUAAUAAAUGAUGAAUUCAUUUUUAAGGUUAAUUAACUACUCUAUCAAGGGUAUAAUAGGCAAAAUAUGGUGAUUUAUGCAUAGAUUUUAUAAAAUGACAAGUAUUGUGGUCCACCUAUUUAUAGAAAAGGAUAACAUACUAUAAAAUGAGAUGGAGGAAGUAUAAAAUUAUAUAAUUUCGCUAUGUUAGGUAACUUUUUCGAAGUAUCGCUUUAAAGAGUAAUGUGUGGGUAAAGAUCCCUAGUUCCAAUUACAAUUUUUCCUUAACUCUUACACAAAAUUCAGUACUAAUUUGUAUUUUCCUUCCAUCUCAAUUUUUUGUUGUGUUUCUCUUUUAUCCAUCUCGUAAAAAAAUAUUAAUUAGAAGAGAUUGGAGGACGUAUUAAUGUAAGUAGCUUUACAAGAAAGUAUGAAAUAACUAUGUGUUCGGUAGGAGGCAAAAAUAUUUUUCAUCAUAAAAAAUGAUUUCUCAAAAAAAUAUUUUUUAAAAAAAUAAGUGGAUUUUUUUGCUUAUUUAAUUUUUUGUGUUCUGUAUAAGUAAGAAAUAUAUGAUUUUUUUUUUUGUAUAUAAUUUAGAUAAAUAUUAUGAAAUGUUGAGUUUUGGAUAGGGGCAUUGGAUGGUGGGUAUAGAGGCAACGAUAGGUGGGAGUUAAGAUGAGAUAUAUUGAAAGGCGAGAAUAAUACAAUAAUAUGGACAAUCACUUUUGAAUAAUUCUCUACUUUCGCUAGGAAAAUUCAUUUUUUUUCAUUUUCAAGAAAUUUAAUAUCUUAAAAAGAAAAUAUCUUUUAUAUAUCAUUCUAUGAGCCAUCAUUUUUUAUUUUUUAUUUAUUACAACUGUCCAAUGAUUAACCUAAUUCAAGUCCCACUUCAUUACAAGAGUCAAGACAAUGAUUUUUGCACAAUCUACAACCAUUCUUCCCUACUUGCUAGAUUAUUAUUUUUUCAGUUCUUUUCAUUUUUCAAAUAGAAUUGUCACCAUCAAUAGUUUAAUUUAUUUUUAAAAACUGAAAAAAAAAAACUCAAGAAUAAGAAUUCAUUUUUAAUUCUAUUAUUGACCUCCACGGUUAGUACACUUACAAGUGGAAAGUUGACUUCUCAGCAUUAUUGCGUGGUUCAAUAAAGCUAGGAUAUCGCAAGAGGUUUAUUAUUGAAUUUUGUUCGACAAAAAUUAGUAGAAAUUAUUUUUUAUAUUUGAAUAUUUGGUAUAUUAAAUUUCAUUAGUUUUUUGUAGUUUUUUUGUCCAACAAAUUUGACAUACACCUUAAGAAAUAUUAAAUAAUAGGGGUAAUACUAUGGAGUAUCUUUUAAAUAUAUAAAAUUUAAUACUUUGAGAAAUGUAUUAGAUAUUGAAUAGUAUUUAAUAUUCCUUCUAUCUCGUUUUACUCGUCCAAUUUUGAUUUUUUACUUGUCCGUUUUUACUUGCUAUUUUUGACAAAUCAAGAAAAGAUAAUAUUUUUACCUAUUACGCCCUCAAUUUAUAUAGAGAGUUAAUGUUUUUGAAAAAGAUAGAACCUCUUAAAUGAGUAAAUUGAUUUUGGAAUUUUAUCAAUUAAUAGGGGUAAAAUGGUAAACUCACUAUGUUAAUUAUUUUCUCAAUAGGUGUGUCAAGUAAAAAAUGGACAAAUAAAUAGGAUCAAUGGAGUAUCCAUGAUAAAAGACACAAAAUGUAAAUUAUCUCCUGAUUUUUCAAAUUGAAUAACUAUUGUUGGACAACUAUUUUUAGUAUAGUGCACACGUAAAAAUAAAUAGAGGAGAAUAUAAUUCUUUUAUAUUAUAUAUAUAUAUAUAUAUAGAUAAUUGAAUGAAAAAUUUGACUCCGCUACUAACUGAUUAUGAUUUAUGUGAUUACUAAGGCACGGUGCUAUGGUACCAAACUACCAAAAGUGAAAUGGAAAUUACUACUCUAUUUGUUCAAUAAUAGUUGUUCAUUAUUGAUUUGAUAUAUAUCUUAAGAAACAAUAAAUAAUGAGGAUAAUAUUACUAUAUUAUCCUCUAGAUAUAUUCAAUUUAAUAUUUUGAAAAAUGUAUUAGAUACUAGCAAGCAUAAGAUAGGCACAAAAUGAUAAAUUAUCUCUUGAUUUUUCAAGCCAAAAAAGCAAUAAUUAUUGAAUAUUUAUUUUUAAUAUGAUAGACACGUAAAAAUCAACAGAGAGCAUAAAUAAAACGAUAUAUUAAAACGUGUUCAUUUACGAGGAAAACAUAAAUCCAUUUUUUUAAUUUAUGUGUAUGUUUUCUGUUUUCUUUUCUUUUCCCAAUAUAUAUGGUUUCAACACUUUUAGAAAUAAUUGGAUAGGAUGUGGCUUUUCUAGGUCUCUUUUAUUUUUCUGUGUUUGAUUUGCAAGUAAAAAUAAUAAUAUAAUUUUAUAUUUUUUUUUAUAUAGUUUUAAAAAAUAUUUUCUAAAUUUUAAUUAAUUUAACAUAAUAAAAUUUAAAAAUAUUUUCUUCUGUACCAACAACCACUUUAGCUAGCUUCAUUUCUUUUAGAAUGCCUUUAACUGCCGUUUUCUAAUAGAACAGAAAUUAAUGAAAACUUGAAAGUGAUUGCAUAAGGUCGGCGUUAAUUAUAUACUCUUUCCGUCCAUUUUUAUUUGUCAUAUUACGCUUUUCGAAAGUUAAUUUGAUCAAUUUUCAAAGUUAAAUUAAAUUACAUUAAUUCAAUAUUUUAAACAAAAAAUUUAGAUAUUAAAAAACUAUACGAAAAGUAUUAUAAAUUAUAGUAAUAUUUUGCAUAUCAAUAUGAUGAAAAAAUACAUCGUAAAGUGUUAGUCAAUGUUUUUAUAGUUUGACUCCAAAAAAAAAAAUUAUGACAAUUAAAAAUAGAUGGAGAUGGUAGAAUUUAGCCAUUUCAUUUUUUAAUUAGAAUAAAAUAAUACGUAAAUUAACUCAUUACAAUACAAUCAAAUUUUUCUGGAACAAUAAAAAAUAAAAUUACAACUGAUUUACAUGUUAGGCUAGAUUUUAGAUUUUCUAUAAAAACAUUUCGCUAUAUUAAUCCAAACUAAAACUCUUCAGAAAACAAUGUAAUUAUCUAAAAGUUCGAUUGUAGCUGUUUUAUUAAUGUGGAAUUAUAAAAUGAGAGUAAUGAAAAAAUCAAUUAAAAAGUUGUCAUAUAAUCCCUCCGUCCCAUAUUAGAUGUGUAGUUUAUGUUUUACAUGAUAAUUAAAAAAAUUAUUAAUAGAUUAAUUAACUUUAUUAUUUUACCAUUUGUCCAUAUUAAUUAGCCUCUUAAAAAGAAUUAUUAGAUCUUCAAAAUUAGUUUAAAGUUUAAACUUUCAAAGACCAUAUUAAUUGUAGGAGUAAAAUGAGAUCAACUCAUUUUUAGUUUUAAAAGUUUAAAUUAUAUUUCAAGACUUCUAAUUGCCCGAGAUUUAUUUUUUUCAUCCGAUGUCUGAUACCCGCAUUGGAGUCUGAUUAUUUUAAAUUUAAACUGCGUAAGGCCUCAUUCAAGGGUUCAAACUCAAGACCUAUAGUUAAGAUAAGACCAAUCUCAUCCAUCAUACCAUAUCCUUCGGUGUGUCAAUUGCUCGAGAUAACUAUUAUGGACUAAGAGUUGUCUACCAAAUUUUGAAAUGCAUUCCACGUGACUAAUAUUUUCAAAAUAAUAAUAAUAAAGAAUCAAACCUUAAUUUCGUUUUUAUUUAUAUUUAUAUAUUUUUUUAUGUGUGGUCCAAAUAUUAAUUUCAAGACCACAUAGUUAGGUACUUAAGUCCAUUGUCUAGUAUCAUUGAUCCAUUGACUGAUAUUUGUUCAUAAUAUUUCAUAUGUUGUAUUUUUUUUAUAAUAAUAAACCUCUAUUUUUUUGGUAAAUGAUGUACACUACUAAUUAAGGUAAAUGAUGUACACUACUAAUUAUCUUAUGAUGUCAUAUGAUACUUAUAUUAUUUUUUUUGUCAUUUAGAUAUCUGUAUAUCACUAUUUAUUUGGGAAAGUUGAUUUAGUAUAAAUACUUAUCUCGUUUAUUAUUCAAUUAUAAUAUAACUAGGGGUGUACAAAAUCGAACCGAAAGCCGAAUCAAACCGCAAAUCGAGUCAACCCGACUAGUGAUUUGGUUUGACUUGGUUUGGUUUUGAAAAAAAACCCCGACUAUAUUUGGGUUGGUUUGGUUUUAACUAAAAAAACCAACCGACAUUAUAUAUAUAAUUUUAAAAUUUUAUUUUAUACAUAAAAAUAUUUACUUUGAUAUAAUUUUUAAAUAUUUCUUAUACUUUUUCAUAGUUUUUAUCUUUUAAUAUAUUAUUUCAAGUUUGAAACUUAGAAUUAUGAAUGGGCUAAUAAAGAUUAUAGUCCACAAAUGUUGGUAAUUAACUAAUUAUAAUAAAGCUUAAAUCAAAAUCAAAUUAAUACUAAUGCAAAAAGAAAAUCAACUUUAAUAUUUAGUCAUGUAACUAAUACUUAUUAAACUUAAUUUUAGCAUGAUUUAGUACUUUUAAAUUAUGAUCAUUUUCAUUAUGACUUGUUAAUUUGCAAUAUUUGUUUUACGCGAUUUCAUUAUUAUUAUUUUUGUUGGAUAUUUUAGUGUCAUUAAUCAUAUCAUAUUGUGUUAUAUUUUUAAGAAACAUCUUAAAUAGUUGUAUUUUGGUAGGACUAAAGAAAUAUUUGAAGUACAAGUAAAUUAUAUGUUUGUAUGAAUACUUUACCGGAAAAAUCCGAAACAACCUGAAAAACCCGAAAAAACCCGAGGUUGAAAAACUCGAGUUUUAUUGGUUUGAUUUGGUUUAUAAAUUUAAAAAUUCGACACAAAUAGUUUGAUUUGAUAUUUGAAAAAUCCGAACCAACCCGACCAUGUACAACCCUAAAUAUAACUAUUGAUUGAGUGGAAUAUAUACUUUAAUAUUGUAGAAUUUAUUUUUUAUUAGCCGCUUUUUAAUUUGAGGGUAGGCAAGGUCGACAUGAAAGAUUGGAUAAAGACUUGAAAGUGAUUGCCAAAGGUCGGUGUUACGUUCCCUUUGUUAGGGUUUUGCUCCGUUAUUACCUUAUUUGAAGUUUUUUUUUUCUAAAAGAAAAGUCAAAGUAUUAACAUAAAUGUUUUAACUCUUUCUAAAAGAAAAAUAUAAUUAUGUUCCGUAUUUGAUUUUAUUCCUUCCUUAGAGGAGAAACUAGGAACUCUGUAUAUUGAAUAUCUACAAUCUCUUCGCCUUCGAACCUAACAAGUGGUAAAAGGAUCCUAUAAAUUCAAGGUCGAUUACAUAGAGAAUAACUUUAACUUUAAAUCUAAUUAUUUCCUAAAUUAUCAAUUUGAAAUGGUUGAAGUUGAUUUUACAUUUUAAGAUAAAUUAUCAAUUAAUAAAGCAAAAAAAAUAAAAAAUCCCCUUAAACUAUAUGAGAUAAAUAAAAAUGUCUUCAGUUUAUGGUUUGGUUCAAAAAUGUUCUUAUCGUUAUUUAAUGGGUCAAAAAUGCUUAUUUUCCAAAUAAAUAGUAUUAUUUAUUUUCUUUUUAACACAUUUUUUUUUCUAAGAAUAUAUUUUUAAAUUAGCAAUUUUUUUAUCCUACUUCAAUUAAAAAGAAAAAGAAAAAGAAAAAUAAAAAUAAAAAUAUUUCUUAAUUUAGUAUAUUAUUUUUUAUCAUUAUAUAAAUAAAAAUUAAUAAUGGAUAUACUAUGAUUUUAAAUAUAUGACAUAUAUUAUCCGUCAAAAGGGUACAUGAAGUUAUUCUAUUUUAAUUGAUAAAACGAAAUUAAGAAGAACAAAAAUUAUUUCCUACAUUUUUAUUUGUUAAAGUGAUUUUAAAAGAAAGAUAAUUUACUUACACAAAUUUACUUACAUUUACAGAUAAUUUACUUUAAUGCCAUUACCAUGGAUUCUAAGGCCUAAUAAUCAAAUUACCAAGUUAGGGGGGUAAUUUACUUACAUUUACAAAUAAUUUCAAUGUAAAAUAGGUGAAAACUGUCCAAGGUCGCAUCUGAACUUCCCCAAAAUGUAAUUGCAAAAUAUGAAUGGUUUUAGGGAAUUUUCUAUAUUAACUGUGACUAACCCCACUAUAGCGGUGGCGUUGUAGCGAUCUUCCGCUAUAGUAGAAAUUAAAUCCACAGCUAUAGCUGCUUGCACGGGAUAAGAACUCAAAAAUCCUCCCAAGUUAGCAUAUUUUGUAACACACCUUCAAACCUUGACUUACCAAACCAACCCCUUCACGCCAAGUUCGAUAUCAAAAGUUCUACUCACCCCAAUUCACUUUCGAGAAGUCCUAUGAACUUUGUAGUGUCUUAGCAACAAGGAAAAUAAACUCUAUCUAGAUGUUUCGCCCAAACCUUUUCCCAAAUUUUCAUAGACUUUACCUCGCUUAGAUCUCGUUCAAGCCUAACACAACCUGAAAUUUCUAACUCGCUACUCCUAAAAGUUUUCUCGCCCGAUUUUCACAACUAAUUCACCCGUAAUGACGAAAAGAGUCGUUACUACUUUAAAUAAUAUCAAAUGUGCUUAGUGGUAAUCCUAAUCGGUAAUCCUAAAUAACAACGGUCUUGGCAUCAACCACAAGUCAUUUUCUUAGAGUUUUCCAUUAAUAUUUUGUUGGUGGAAGAAGCAAUUAAUGCAUUGGACGGAGAACUAUAAAAUAGUAUUAACUUAUCAAUGUCAAAUUGAAAUUAUAAUCAGACACUAAUCAUGCAUAAAUAUUUAAUGUCGUUAAUUAGAAGAAAGCAUAGCACAAGAAAAUUUAUUUAUUAAUUUUUAGACAGUGAUUUGUCACUGAUUAUUGCAGUUUGAUGUUAACUACUUAUGCGUUAUUUCAGAUGUGGAUCCAAAACUUAUUUUUUGAUUUAAUUGUUAUUGUAAUAGUAUGAAAAUAUCAACAACAAAAAAAUGUUCAUUAUCAAAUACAUUAUUUGUUAUUGACAUACUUUUUUUUAUGUUCUAGAAGUUUUUGACCUAUACUACUUAAAAAUUCCAAAAAUUCUAAGAGCGAAAUAAAAACAAAUAAGUUUUUGCUAAUGUGAUAAAGAAAUCGAUAUCCCACAAAAUACAAAUCUUGUCAAAAUGUGAAUUUCAUAUGGUGCAAAAUAACAUGUUAUAUUUAAAACAUACAAAAUAUAGUAAAUUCAAGGUGAUAAUUUUUUUCUUCAAACUUUUAUCUCAUAUUAAAAAAUUAUAGGCCAAUUAAUAUAUACAUAGUCAUUUAAAAUUGACACGAUUUUUUUUCUAGACAUCUAAUCUUAGGAGUGUUCCUAUAUUGGUCACUUUUACGGUAUUUAAAAUUUGUACCAAGGCAAAAAUAUAAUAUGUAUGUAUUACACUCGUAAAUAACAUAUAAAGUGUUGAAUUAAUUGAAAAUAUGUGUCAUUGUGUUGAAAAUAAUUUCUAAACAAUGAAUUUUGAGUUAAGAAAUGGAAAAACUAUUUUAAAAUCUAUUUACUAAACAAAACAAGAAUCGUAUUCUCACAAAGAAAAAUAAUACUUCAUUUAUAUCAAUUUAUUUGUAUUAUUUUUCAUUAUAGUUGGUUUCCAAAAGAAUAUGUUUUUCCUUUUUUGAUUAUUUUUUAAUUUUAAUUUUUCACAUAACAUGUUUAACUCUAUAAGAUCUGCAUAUUCUUGAUUUAAGAUCACAAGAUUAAAAAAUAUUUCUUAUUUUCUUAAAUUUCAUGUCAAAUUAAAAUAUAACAAACAAAUUAAAAGGGAAGAACUAAUUAAUAACUUACACUCAAGCAAAAAAAAAAUACAUAAAAACUCUCAAACGAGGUCAUUUGGUUGGUGAGAUAAAAAUAAUAAUCUCAAAAUAACAUUUGAUAUUAUUUUAUUUUACGUUUAAUUAUAGGUGUUAAUUACUCUUAAGAUUAUUUUAUUUCAUCAUUUGUACUUAAUUCGUAUUUAAAAAUGAAUAUUAUGUCUUUAAGAAGUGAUGACGAUAGCUUGAAUAAUGAAGUGAAGAAAGCAUUUUUAGGUUUUUUUUUUUCCUAUGCUUUCUCUGAGUCAUUAUAUAAUUUUGUUGACUUAAGUGUGCCUAUACUUGAGAUUUUGGGACUAAAUUAAUGCUCACAUUAAAUAUUUAAAUAAAAGUUUUAUAUGCUUGAAAUUAGGCAUAUAUAUAUAUAUAUAUAUAUAUAUAAUUGAAGUUUAGUAAAUUUAGGCAUAAAAGUUCAUAUAUAUACACAAUUGAAGUUUAAUCAUUUUUGCAUGAAUUAAUAUCCGGUCACUUUUAUUUAAAUUUUAGCUAUAUAUAGUUGUAUUUAGUCAUUUUUGUCUAAAUUUCAGCUAUAUAUAACUACAUUUAAAUAUUUUUAUUUGAACAUUAGUCAUAUUUACCUGGAGUUCAUGCAAAUAUGAUCGAAAUUAAUUCAAUUAUUUAUUUAUUAUUAUUGAUGAACUUCAACCAUAACUUCAGACACUACAUGUCUGAAGUUGUUUCAAACUAGAUAAACGUGGAAUUUUAUUAUUAUUUAAAAAAAAACACAUGUGAAAUAGUUGUUUUCCAAUAGGAUAUCGGUGUAGAUGAUUUUUUUUUUUGUUAAACCGUUUAUCUGCUACAUAAAUAUGCUUUCAUCAAGACCUUUAUUAAGGAAACUUGUCUUGAUAUAUUCAUUUGUCAAAUCUCAUAAUUAUAAUGAAAAGGAAUGGAUAGGAGAAUUCUAAUAGACUCAAGCAAGGCUAUUGGCAAAAUUUUUUUCCUCAUAAUCGAUUUCUUCUUUCUGAAUAAACCCUUUUGCAACAAGUUUGUAUUUUUUUUUCAUCUAUUUUUCUCUUUUUUUUAUAGGUCAACUUGCAUAAACAAUACUAUAAAUACUUUUGUAGGAUUUUGGGACAUUAUUUCUGAUAUUUUUAAAAGUUAUUCUCUCUGGGAAAGAUCAAAAGGUUAGAAGAAUUGGUUUCUUUUGAGUGGGUGUGGCAAUCUAGACAAAUAUUCCAUUUUUAUUGUCUUCAUCUUUCAUUUAUUUAUUGGGAAAAAAAUGUGUCUCAUUUUAUUCUUUAUUAUUGUAUUAGCUAGGGUUGUGGGACUAGUGUAAUUAGUAAUGUGAUUGAGAAUUUAAUUAGAACAUUAUUUUUAUGUCAUUGAAGUUCUCUAGUUAUCUAUUUCUUCAAGUUUUAAUUUCAUUUGAUGGCUGCAGUAUUAAAGUGAUUUUUAUCCUUGUUUUGCUUGAGAAAGAAAUCUAACAGUAAGAAAAAAAUAAAAUAACAGGGAGUUUAGGCUUUAAAUUUUAGAAAAAUUACCUAACUACACAAAUUAUUUUAUCAUAUUCUUUAAAAUUCUCUACCAUUUGAAAAAACUACAAAAAUCCCUACUCUCUCAUAUUUUCGAAUACACCAUCGGUCGGAUACAUCACUUUAAGUGAUGUAUCGAAUUCUCGGAUACAUCACUUUACUUGAUGUAUCGGUCGGAUAUAUCACUUUGCGCGAUGUAUCGAAAUGUACGUGAUGUAUCAGGACGUUGAGUGAUGUAUUCGAAGUCGAGACGCGAUGUAUCAGGACAUUGAGGGAUGUAUCCGAAAUUGAGACGCGAUGUAUCGGGAUGUUUGGGAUGCAUCCAGAUUUCACCAAAUUUAAGAAAUUUUUGUAAUUUGAAAAAGAAUAGGAAUAUAAUGUAAUUAGCUCUUAACAGUUAAUACUAUGGAAUUUGCUUAAAAUUCCCUUAAAUCUUAUCUAAUAACUCGAGCAAAAAAUAUAAAAAUUGACUUGAAAUUUGAGUGAUUGGGCUUAAAACCAUACUUUUAAGGACUGGAAAAGCUUAGAGUGAAAUUCAUUAAUUUUGGUAGACUAUUAAUUAGAUUUCAGGAAUUAUUAUAUACUUUAUCAUAAUAGCAUUUGAGUGAGUUAAAACAUAUACCCAAUUGCAUAACACAACUCUCGUUGUCUUUACAAAUUUAUUACAAAUUCUAAAAGAAAUUCCUUUUAUUCAAAUAGUGCAUAAUUCUGUAUACAUGAUAUAUAACUAUAUCAAAUAUAUAUGUAUAUGUAUAUGUAUACACUAUUAUAUAACAAUUAUAUAUUGAUAUACAAUUUAUAUGCAAUGUACAUAUAUUGUAUAAAUAAUUUAGUUGGAUGAUCAACGUCAACCACCUUCUUCAAAUUACAAUGUCAUAUUCAGGUGCAACUAUGGUGAAAAAAUUCUCCCUCGCUCCCAUGAUAAUCAGCUCGCCUACAUUUCAUUUAAAGACGAUUAUUGCCUCAAGAAGUCGUUCCAUUAAAAAAACCGAGAAUCUAGCUAGGAGGAUUAUUACCAAUAUAAUAUUCAUAUUAAUCGAACGAUAAAAAAAUUGAAAUCUGAAAUUUUUAAUUGAAAGUUAUGCUCUAAAUUCAAAGAAAAAUGGGUCAGUCAAAGAAUAGUAUCUCUAGGAUUAAAGCCCAAAAGUUUUGGUUGACCCAUCUUUUGCCUCUUUAAGGUAAGCCCACUUUGGGAGAAGGUAGGCUAAUUUUGAUUAGUACAAUGAUCAAAUGACCAAUUAUUAUAUAAAUGAUAAUUAGGUUAUUUUAUGUAUUAAAAAAAUAAAAAAAAUUGACCGGAUGAUCAUUUUAUCUAAUUUAAGGUAUAAGUUCUUGAUUGCUAUGAAUUAUGAUUAUGCAAGUGCAGGGUUUAUUAAAUACAAUUCUCGAAAUGUUUCAAGUCGAAAUAAAAUUUUCAAAAAAUAAAUGACGAUCCAAUUGUACACUAUGCUGAAAUAUGUACACUAUGCUUACUUCUGUUGGAGAUAUACUGUAUUGUUUGAACUUUCUUCAUUAAGAUGUUUAAUAUGAUCAAAGCUUGAUUUUGAUUCUCAGUCAAUGAUAAUUUGAGUUUGAUUGGUGAAGGCCCUUAUGUAUUAAACGUUCAAAAACAAAAAUACAUUUUUAUUUGAGUAGCUUAUGUAUAACAAUCUUCUAAUUGUUAGUAACCGCAUAGUAAUUAUCUUAUUUUAUUUUUACUUGAUGUUCAAUACUCGUAUUAAUGUUUGGCUAAUUCAAAUUCACAUCGCAUAAGAUUCAAUUUUUUUUUAAAAUAAAAAAAAAAAUAAAUAAAAAAUAAUAAUAAUAAUAACAACAACAACAACAACAAUAAUAAUAAUAACAAUAAUANNNNNNNNNNNNNNNNNNNNUAAUAAUAAUAAUAAUAAUAAUAAUAAUAAUAAUUACCAACUUGCAGGAUCUCAGAAGACGGGCAGUAGUCCGCGCGGUCAUCUUUAAUCUAGCUUGCUAACAUCCGAUUUCAAAUCCGAAUCCGAAUCGAAAUACAUACAAAUUUUUAUAUAGUUUUAUGACUGUAUGGAGGAUCUUAUUCCUUUUACCCGAGCAAAGGGCCUGUCAAGAUUCAAAUACGUAUUGUUAUUGAGCUCAUGUGUCUAGCAGUUCUAACCGGGUAUAUGCGCCCUUUCUCAACUCAUAAACGGGCUUAGAACCACGGGCCACGGCUGGCUAGACAAAGUCACAAAGACAAAGCCAAUAACAUGUUGUAUUAAAUCUGACUGUACCACCAUCUCAGAACCAAGUCAAGAAACCAUAUAUAAAUUUAUUUAUAUUUAGAUAAAGUCUAUAUCUUUCAUGGUAGAUAUAAAGACGAAGUUAAUUAUCCGACAUAGAUAUGAAGCUUUAGUCGGACAUGAUCACGACUCAGAUUUGAGAAAUAAUACUAAAAUAUUUAAUUUUAUUAAAAAUAGUACUUUCAAAAGGGCGGCCGACUCCAAGGCUUGGAAGAGAACUAUACACUUUAUUAACUCCGGUAAGUAUUCAGGCAAACUUCAAACUUUACAAAAAGAGAGUUUUACAAGAGAGAGUGCUAAAGAGAGAGAGAGGGUUUUUCGACCUGCUUACUCAGACUAAAACUAACCUUAUUUAUAGAAAGAAAAGGAAUAUAGUACAGUAAUGGUGGGUCCCUUAUCAGUGGGUCCCUUAUGUACAGUAAUAGUGUUUCUACUGUUGAUCAAUAGUGUAUCUACUGUUGAUAGUGCCAUUUACUGUUAGAGAUGAGCUUCACAGCUUUUCCUUUUUCUUUAGCUCUCGGAGGAAAUCUUCUGCCUUUUUCAGCGUAUCUUCUGAAAUGGGUUUAGCUGACUCACCAGGCUGAGCUUCUUGAGUAUCUUCUGCGAUAUCAUCGCUCGUCUCACUUCUCAUAGAAGUGUCCGAUUUUUCAUAUUGAUUAAUAUUGAGGAGUAGACUCCUCCUGACUUCGUCCAGAUAACUAUUAAUCAUUUCUUCUUUAUUUCCAUCUUGAAUGGAAAUUUUUCUUGCAAUAUGCCUAACUGAACUGUCGGCAAUGAUCCCCUUGUGAGGAGAAAUACAAUAUUCUUGGAUCUUUCUUGCAAUUAGAUCCAGCAGUUCUUGUCCAUAUAGACUUUGUCUUGUGAUCUAUUUUCAUCAAUUUGUCCCAAAAAUUAUUAUGAAAGGUUCCUCUGUGAAUUCCACUUCUGGGGUCCAUUUAUGAAUCUAUGGAAUAGAGAAUUAAAUGAAAAAUAAAUUUGUUCAAUUUUUUCAAUAUAGCAAAUAUGAUCUGCAUGGUAUAGAUGGUUAAGAUCUGGUGAAAUCUUAACCCAUUCUUUAUAUAAUUGGAGAAAUGGAUUAAGCAGAAUCUUUGUUGUUGGACCGUAGUAUGACUACCAGUUCAAGAACCAAUUAGGGAUAGAUUCUGCAAAUAUCUUUGCGCAAAUUUUAAUAAUCCAAGUAUGCUUAUGUCACUCAUUAUUAUAGUAGAGGACUUUAUUAAAAGCAUUAAUAUAGUCCCAAUAGGUGAAAUUCAUAGAGACCUUAUUUAGGCUAAUCUGCCUUUCCUUCAUCGUGGAAAUACCCCAAUCUUCAAUAGAUAUAAUUUGCUUAAUAAUCAUUUUGGAGAAGUUAUAAACAUUCUCGCUGGUGUUGUAUCCUGAGAAGUGCUAAAAUUCGACACUACCAGUAUUUAUCAAAAUAGUUUCAUAGUAAGAUCGGGUUUUGUAUGACUCCCCUGGGAAAUAUAAUCCGUUAAUCAAGUAUUGCUGGUAUAUCUUCUAGGGUUCAUCUUUUCUCUAGAUUGCAGAGCAUUCUAAAAGAAAUAUCAUUUCUUUCUUCGACACCUUUUCAAAAGAUUUGAUAUCAUCAACAUCUUCUUUGGCGAUAGAGGCAAAAGUAUCACUUUGCUUCUUAGACAAAUAUGCCUGUAGUUGUGCGUAUAGCGGGCUAUUUUUUGGAAUAUUGUCUAGAUGUAUUGAUGAUGAUGCCACAUUUUGAGUGACCUUGGCGUUUAUGAAACUCAGUCCUCCUCUUUGUAAAAUUGGGGAGUUAGAAGAGGAUCCGUAUGACGAUCCUGAUGAUGAUCUUGGGGAAGAUCUUCCCCUUCCUCGAGGGUUAUUAUCCCUGCCUCGACCCUUGGUUACCCAAGGAGGGUCCAUCUUGCAAACAAAACACGUUGUUUUAUUUCGAAUAAUAUUCUUCAUAAUCAGUCUCAUAAUCAUCAGAGUAAUAUUCUAGAAGAAUAUGAGAGAAAUCUUCUCUUAGUAUAUCAUCAACAAUUUUUUUAAGGAUAAUAUCUUUCAGAUCUCUAGGUAAGGGAAGAGCCCUUAGAAUGGAAAAGAGGGUUUCAUCAUCUAAGAAAAUUCGAAAAAAUAUCCUAUUGAAUGUAUUCACGGGAUAAGAAAUCCGGUAAUGAGUUAUCAACUCCUCUUUUAUAUUGAAUUUCAAAGUCAAAAGGAGCUAGCUGGGUCUGCCAUCUAGCGAAAAUUAACUUAGAAGCAUUAUGUUUAAAAUCUUUAUCGAACAUAUAUUUCACAGAUUGAGUAUUAGUUUUUGUUAAAAACAUUUGAUUGUAUAAACCGUCCUGAAAUUUUAGCACGCAUUUAACAAUGGUUAGCAUUCAUUUCAUGAGCCAUUGUAGCAUAUUUCUUCUGGGCUUCGCUCCAUUUCCCAGAAUAAAAUUUGAUCAAAUAUUCUAUUUUGUCGUUGGAAUUAAUUUGUUUCAAGAUCCCUCCAUAACCAAUGUUAGACGCAUCUGUCUCAAUAAUCUUUUGCCAAGCAGGGUUAGCAAGAGUUAAACAAGGUAAAGAUUGCACACAAAGUUUAAUAAUUUUUUAUCAAGGUGGUGUGACUAUCAGUCCAAGGAGAUUUAUGAUCCUUUUUUAGCCUGUUGUAUAGCGGGGACAAAUCACGAGAUAAUUAUUUUUAAAAGGGGGAGAUGUAAUUUAAACUUCCCAAAAAUCUUUGCAAUUGAGUUCUGUCGGUGAUAAUAACAGGAAAUUUUGAUGCAAAGUCAAUUGAUCUUUGUAUCGGGGUGACUUUUCCCUGACAAAUAAGAUGUCCACGAAAUCGAACAUUAGUCUGAAAUAAACUCAUUUUUAUUUUAGAAAUUACCAAACCAGUUUGUAUAACGAUUUUCUUGAAGAUGUCUAGAUGCUUGGUAUGCAUUUCGAGAGUUUUUGAAUAAAUCAAAAUAUCAUCAAUAUAAACAAUGAUAAAAUCUAAAUAUGGGUUGAAAAUAUCAUUCAUAAUUUUCUGAAAUUUAGAUGGAGCAUUUUUAAAACCGAAUGGCAUAACGUUCCAUUCAUAUUGUCCAAAAAGGACAUUAAAAGCAGUUCUAUAAGCAUGCUCUUUAAAUAUUUGAAUCUGCCAAUAUCCUGAUUUUAAAUUAAAUUUUGAAAAUAUAUUGGCAUCAUAUAAUCUAAAUAAUAAAUCCUUUUUGUUGGAAUAGGAUACCUAAUCCACUUUAAAUAUUUAUUUAAAGGUUUAUAAUUGAUAACCAACCUAGGGAUACCACGUUCCCUUUCAGUAGCAUUGUUGACAUGAAAAGCAGUGCAAGACCAAGGUGACUUUGAAGGCUUUAUCAAACCCUUUUGCAGUAAAUUAUCAUUUCCUUUUUGGAGAAUUCAACCAAUUCGGCGUUCAUUUGACAUGGACGAGAUUUAGUAGGAAUAUCAUUUUCAGAGAAAUCAUCUUCAUAAGGAAGAGUAACGAUAUGCUUUUUCCGAUUACAAAAAGCACUGGGAUGAUCAACACAAAUAUCAACAACAAUUUGUUCAGAAAUUAAUUUAAUUUUUUCUUGUACUUUGGUGGAUUUCAAAGUAUCAAAUAUAUUCAUACUAAACAAUUAUAGUUGGAGAGAAUCAACAUGCUUUUGCUUCAUAUUAAUUAAAGCAUUAAUAUCACGAGAAAUUGGGUCAGUGAUAAAAGUAUAACUAAUAUUCCUGUCUUAAUACGUAGCUGAAAAACCUUUAGCAUUUAUGCUAGUAAAAGAAUAAAUAGCAUUUAUAAAAGGCAUUUUAAGUAUAAUUGGAGGGUAUAACUGAUUUUUAACUAAGAAAAAGAAAUGCGGAAUGCAAAUUUUAUUUUGGCAAAUGCGAGUAUUAAUUAGGCAAUUUGUACUUUAUAUCUAAAGCAUGUCUAGAAGCAGAUUUAACCAUGUGAGUUAUUUUUUCAAAAUAUUUAGUAGGUACAAGACCUUCUUGAAUACAACUAACAUCAGCUCCGCUAUCAAUCAUAGCAAUAUCAGUUAUCGAAAAGCUAUUAUCAAUCAAAAUGGUGCAUUUAACAUACCAUUUAUGAGCAGUAACAAUUUGCAUCUAUCCCAAGAAACAUACCUUGUUUAGGAUCAAGAUUAAAAGGUUUUGCAAGAGUAUUUUCUUCAUCAACAUUUUUAACUUUGUUAUUACUGGUUUCUAUCUGAGUAAGACGAUGAUCACAAAUCAUUUGGUUUUGCUUAAUAGAUUUAAUCUCAUUUUUUAAAUUUUCAAUUUCAUUUUUCAAAUCAUCAAAAGAAGAAUCUUUUGUAGAAAUAGUUUGUUUAUUAAGUCGGUUAUUAAUUUUAGACAAAGAAUAAGGUGCAAUAUAUUCAAAUUCAAAAUCAUUCUUUUGUUUUUCUGAAUUUUUUUCAAAACUUGUGCAAGCAGUAUUACUAACAGCUAAUUGAAUAAUUUUUUCAUGAAUAUUGUUAUCAGUAACUUCUUUCAAAAGUUCUAUCACAUUAUCAGAAGUAAUAUUAUUCAAAUUCAAAUCUUCAAAUUGAAAUUGAAAUUUAUAAAACUCAUCAUUUUCACAAGAGCAAAUAUCACCAUGAUAAUUACUGCAAGCAUUCAUAUUAACAUGCUGGUGGUUAAUAUCAUAUAAAUCAGGCAAAUCAAUCUCUUCUUCGGAACCUGAAUCAGAAUCAUAAUCGGACUCAAAACCAGAAGUAUAUAAGAAACUAUAAACCUUAUCAUGAAUUUCUUCAUCUAAUUCCAAGGUCUUCAGCUUUUCAAGCUUGCAAUUGAGUGCUAUAUGACCGAAGUUACCACACUUAUAACACUUAAUCUUGGCGAGCUCACGCUUAGACCUAUUCUUAGUAAAUCUGUUAGACUUACGAGAGGCUCUUCUAGUGUUUCACUCCUCCUUAGAUCUUUAUCUAAACCUCUUCUUCCUAUAACGUUUAUCAAGAUUCCUAGAAUCGCUAGAAUCCCUAUGCUUCUUCUUGCUAUUAGCCGGAGCAUCAAUUAAACCGAACUGGGUACAACAGUCUCCUAUUUGAGAUCUUUCCUUGAGCUUGUCAACCUUAAGCUGUCUGGAGAGCUUCAAUUCAUUGCACAAGUUUAUACCUUCAUGAGUACAAACUCCUAUCAGCUUACCAUAAGUAUAAUCUUUAUACGGGAUUUCUCCUUCGCUAUGCGCUGACUGGAUGCGUACUCAUGUGAUCAAUCGAUGGACGGGGGAAUUGCGUGAAUGAUGAGACCGGCCUAACCUAAAGUCAAGGCUCUUGUCUCUUUUGAUGGCGAAUCUUGAACCCUAAACCCUAAACCCUAAACCCUAAAAGUGAAUUUCUCAGAACCCUUUUAACAUGCUCGGCAAAAAAAGGGGGAAUGCCAUCUAUAAACUUAGCUUUCCAAUGCUUAUAACUGUUUUCGGGUAGUUCCAUCACCCUACUCAUAUAUGUGUCUUUAUACCAUCUAAAUUCUCCCAAGGUUCUACGUCGUAGACCAUUUAACAGGGUAUGAACAGUCUCAUACUGAUUGAUAAAUCUACCAUUAAAAUGUUCUAGGAUGGUUAAGACUAGAGUAUAAACCGCGUCUUCUCUAUUUGCAACUAGAGCCAUUACUGCAAGCAUUCAUAUUAACAUGCUGGUGGUUAUUAUCAGAUAAAUCAGGCAAAUUAAUCUCUUCUUCGAAACCUGAAUCAGAAUCAUUAUCCAACUCAGAACCAGAAGUAUAUAAGAAACUAUAACCCUUAUCAUGAAUUUCUUCAUCUAAUUCCAAGGUCUUCAGCUUUUCAAGCUUGCAAUUGAGUGUUAUAUGACCGAAGUUACCACACUUAUAACACUUAAUCUUGGUGAGCUCAUGCUUAGACCUAUUCUUAGUAAAUCUGUUAGACUUACGAGAGGCUCUUCUAGUGUCUCACUCCUCCUUAGAUCUAUAUCUAAACCUCUUCUUCCUAUAACGUUUCACUAGAAUAGCAUUAAUCACAACAACUUUUUGCUCGAGACUCAUAUAAUUAUCCCACCAACCUCUGAGUUGGCCAGUAAAACCUGCAAUAAUCAUUUUGCAAAUAUUUCUAUCUGUAUUUUCAACAUUCUUACAGAUAGUAGCAUACAUAAGCAUUCUAUGAACAAAAAUAGUUAACCGUCUAUCAGUCAGCCCAUCCAGAUUCCAUUCAUAAAUUUCAGAACCACUAUAAGAGGUAUUAGUUUGAUUCCAGUCGCGUUCCUCUAUAAGCACUUCCUGAGGAGUAGGUCUGGAAUAAUAAUAAGUUUGCAUGCUAGGUUUAUGAGCAAACUUAGGAUUACCACUAUUUUUUUUAUAAUAACCGCGAAGUUUAUUAAAUUCUAAAGAAACAUGAUUUUUGAAAUCAAAAGUGUUUUCCAUUUCAUCCGCAAAAUUUUCAGACAAAUCCAUAGGUUUUGCGCUAAAAUCUGAAAACUUUUUAUCAAGAAGUUCUUCAAAAUCAUAAAUCGAUUUGAAUUUAAAAUCCUUAAUCUCAGGGGGCCUUUGCACAUAGGUAGACAUAGUAAGAGCUUCGGAAUUAGUUUUAGAAGUUGAAGGUUUAUCAGAAGCCUUUAAAUUAUUUUUAUUUGAAUUAUCAAAGCAGUUAAUUCAUCUAAUUUUUCAUUGAGCGAACCAAUAUGUUCACCCAAAACUUUAUCAUAAUGUCCCAAAUAAUUAUUUUGAGAAAUCAAGUUAUUAAUUUCAUUGAUGCUGACUGUCGCAACAUUUUCUUCAAUAAAUUUUUGAAAGGCAGUAAAAGUGAUUCCAGUAUUAUUUGGUAAUAUAAAAGAUGACCGAGGUGGAUAAACAACCUUAAUAAUAUUACCAGAUUCAUCUUUAUAAGAUCGUUCAAGAACGUUGAUGAAUAACGGAAGAUAAGUGGUUAUAAACCAAGGUAACAAAUACAUAAUUUGAUUAUGUAAAGCACAAGUUUCAUAAAACUGUUGAGAGAUGUUAUUUAAAUCAUCAGUACUAUAAGAGUAAAAAAAUCAUGUUUUAAACCAGUUCCAUUUAUCACUUAAAAAUUCAUUUUGACUGUACUUUCUUGCCAGUGAUCCUGGACUAAAAUCUAUUUAGUUUACAUUCAUCAUUAAAAGAAACAGUCAAAUACCCCCUCAACCUAUUACCCGAUUCUUAACUACACACUUAUACUUUACGGGAGUCCUAUUAUCUCCCUAAAGUAUUUUAAACACAAAUAUUGAUACACUUAAAACGUCACCCCCAAAUCUUUGUUGCAGAGUGUAAUACACACACCUAUUUUUCAGAAUUAAUUUUUUUUUAAAAAAAUCAUCACCAAAUUACAUCAAGUUUGAUUCUUUUCAUUUUUUUUCCACCAUUCUAUUCAUCUUCCUAAAUCAUCCCAUUUUUUCUCCACUGUUUCCAAAUUUCUCAUCUCCUCCAAUCCACCUCCAUCUCCAUCACACUCAUCAUUCUCCAUCUUUCUUCUAUCUUUUCGAUCAUUUAUUUGCACAAAAUCUAUUUGUCAUUGUUGAAUUCAAUAAAUUGACAUGAAUGUUGAAUCUUUUUAUCAUGUAUCUUACUGCCAUAUUAUGGUUUUCUAGUUGCUUUUUUUUGAUGAAUUUGAAGAUGAAAAUUUGUUUGCCCAAUUUCAAAUUUUAAUACCCACUUUCAAUUACAAUCAAGAAACUCAUAAAUUUCAAAAUCUAAUACCCACUUUCAGUUCCAAUCAAGAAACUCGGAUUGCUACUGUAAUCGAAAAGAUUUCUAUAGCAGAAUUUGUAAUAUCAUUUUUCAAUGUCGGGUUGAAAGUAUUUUCCAUUGAGGUGAAAGAAGUUAAAGGAUUAUCAUUUUCUUUCAUUUGGUUAUGCCUUCUAUUUUUAAGAAAGAUUUGAAGGUGAUGGUCAUGAAAAAGUUCAUUAUGGACUAAAAGUGAAAAAUAUGAAAAAAUAAAAUAUUGUAUUACCAUGGCAGCCAUGGCAAAAUUCAAUUGCAGAGGUGUAAUUUUGUAAGGAGGUAAUGGUUAGAGAGAGAGAGAGAGUGUAUAUGAUUGUAAUUAAUUAAAUUUAUUUAUUAAUUAUAUUGAAUUCAAUUAAGAAAUGACAGUUGUCUAAUCAUUUAAUUUUGACUAAUUUAUUUGCCUUACACUUGCUUCCAGGAAAGUGAACAUACUUGUUGCGUCAUAUAAACACUUAAGGGUGUCAAUAUUUCUGUUUAAAAUACUUCAAACGGGUAAUAGUACCUCCGUAAAGUAGUGGUGAGUAGUUGAGAAUUGAUUAAUAGGUUGAGGGGAUAUUUGACUGUUUUCUCUCAGAAAAAUUACCAUGAGCUUUAACAAUAUUCAAACGAGGAUCAACUUUUAUUUUAUUCCUAUCAUCGGAUAUAAUAGAAGGUAUGGUAUGUAACGAAGCAGCACGAUUACGAGCUAGACCAUACAUCGGUUCAAUCGGCGAGAUAUGCUGAAUAGCGAAAUCUCUUCUAUCAGAAAAUGAAUGUCUAUUAUAAGGAAUACUCUUAUCAUCAAAUUGAAUUCAAAUCUUACCUUCAAAAUUCUGUGUAGUAUGAGAAUAUUCAGAAUUAGUAACCGCAUGAGCCAUCUGGCUGGGAGGUAUAACCGAAUCUAAAGUUCGAGUAGUAGGAAAAAUUAAUUUCUUCCCAUUUUAUAGGUCUUCUUGAAGUGACUUUAGAUUUAGCAAAAUUAGUUUCUACUAAAAUAGUUUGAUCAGAUGUAUCUUAUAGCUUACAUCUAGGAUUUAAACUAGACAAUAAUUUAAAAUACAUUCUAUAAGAUAAACAAAUCAAUUCAGAUCUAGGUGCAUAAUUAUAACCAUGCGUUUUAACAUUUAAAGUUAAAGCAUCAAAAAUAUUAACAUCAGUUAGAGUUAACUGCAAAUUUGGCUGAGUAUUAAAAUACACUGGACCAUAUGCCACAUUAGAUUCAAUCGAACUCAUCAAAGAUUAUCUAAAAUUUAAAUUUCUAGAAUCACGCAACGUAGCUAAAAAAGUCUCUGGUAACCUUUUAAGAGUUAAAGGUUUGAAAGCAAUCUGAACCAUGCCAAUAUACAAAAAGUUAUACUAGGAUUUAUAUAAUUCAAUAUCUCGUUUAUUUAACAAACGAAUAGUCUGUUCAGACGAAUUUAAUGGCAAAGAUUGCUCAGUAGUUUUAAUCGACUGUUUAUGAGAAAUUUUAUCAAACCAACAAUAAUCAUAAAUGGUUUUAAUAUCAAGCUUUGGACAAAUUGAUGAAAAGGGAUCCCAAGACGAAGUCUCUAUAUAUCAACUCAUAAACGGGCUUAGAACCAUGGCUGGCUAGACGGAGUCACAAAGACAAAGCCAAUAACAUGUUAUAUUAAAUCUGACUAUACGACCAUCUCAGAACCAAGUCAAGAAACCAUAUAUAAAUUUAUUUAUAUUUAGAUAAAGUCUAGAUCUUUCAGGGUAUAUAUAAAUGCGAAGUUAGUUAUCCGACAUAGAUGUGAAGCUUUAGCCGGACAUGGUCCUGCUCAGAUAUGAGAAAUAACACUAAAAGAUUUAAUUCUAUUAAAAAUAGUACCUUGAAAAGGGCGGCCGACUCCAAGGCUUGGAAGAGAACUAUACACUUUAUUAACUCCGGUAAGUAUUCCGGCAAACUUCAAACUUUAGAAAAGAGAUCUUUAUAAGAGAGAGUGCUAAAGACAGAGAGAGGGUUUUUCAACCUCCUUUCUGAGACUAAAACUGAACUUAUUUAUAGAAAGAAAAGGAAUAUAGUACAGUAAUGGUGGGUCCCUCAUCAGUGGGUCCCUUAUGUACAGUAAUAGUGUUUCUACUGUUGAUCAACAGUGUAUCUACUGUUGAUAGUGCCAUUUACUGUUAGAGAUGAGCUUCACAACUUGUCCUUUUUCUUUAGCUCUAGGAGGAAAUCUUCCGCCUUUUUCAGCGUAUCUUCUGAAAUGGGUUUAGCUGACUCACCAGGCUGAGCUUUUUGAGUAUCUUCUGCGAUAUCAUCGCUCGUCUCACUUCUCAUAGAAGUGUCCGAUUUUUCAUAUUGAUUAAUAUUGAGGAGUAGAUUCCUCCUGACUUCGUCCAGAUAACUAUUAAUCAUUUCUUCUUUAUUUUCAUCUUGAAUGGAAAUUUUUCUUGCAAUAUGCCUAACUGAACUGUCGGCAAUGAUCCCCUUGUGAGGAGAAAUACAAUAUUCUUGGAUCUUUCUUGCAAUUAGAUCCAGCAGUUCUUGUCCAUAUAGAGACUUCGUCUUGUGAUCUUUUUUCAUCAAUUUGUCCCAAAAAUUAUUAUGAAAGGUUCUAUAUAAACAAGGAAUUUGUUCCUCUGUGAAUUCCACUUCUGGGGUCCAUUUAUGAAUCCAUGGAAUAGAGAAUUAAAUGAAAAAUAAAUUUGUUCAAUUUUUUCAAUAUAGCAAAUAUAAUCUGCAUGGUAUGGAUGGUUAAGAUCUGGUGAAACCUUAACCCAUUCUUUAUAUAAUUGGAGAAAUGAAUCAGGUAGAAUCUUUGUUGUUGGACCGUUGUAUGACCACCAGUUCAAGAACCAAUUAGGGAUAGAUUCUGCAAAUAUCUUUGCGCAAAUUUUAAUAAACCAAGUAUGCGUAUGUCACUCAUUAUUAUAGUAGAGGACUUUAUUAAAAGCAUUAAUAUAGUCCCAAUAGGUGAAAUUCAUAGGGACCUUAUUUAGGCUAAUGUGCCUUUCCUUCAUUGUGGAAAUACCCCAAUCUUCAAUAGAUAUAAUCUGCUUAAUAAUCAUUUUGGAGAAGUUAUUAACAUUCUCGCUGGUGUUGUAUCCUGAGAAGUGCUGAAAUUCGACACUACCAGUAUUUAUCAAAAUAGUUUCAUAGUAAGAUCGAGUUUUGUAUGACUCACCCGGGAAAUAUAAUCCGUUAAUCAAGUAUCGCUGGAAUAUCUUCCAGGGUUUUUCUUUUCUCUGGAUUUCAUAGUUUUCCAAAAGAAAUAUAAUUUCUUUCUUCGACCCCUUUUCAAAAGAUUUGAUAUCAUCAACAGCUUCUUUGGCAAUAGAGGCAAAAGUAUCACUUUGCUUCUUAGACAAAUAUGCUUGUAGUUGUGAGUAUAGCGGGCUAUUUUCUGGAAUAUCGUCGAGAUGUAUUGAUGAUGAUGCUACAUUUUGAGUGACCUUGGCGUUUAUCAAACUCAUUCCUCCUAUUUGUAAAAUUGGGGAGUUAGAAGAAGAUCUGUAUGACGAUCCUGAUGAUGAUCCUGGGGAAGAUCUUCCCUUUCCUCGGGGUUUAUUACCCUUGCCUCGACCCUUAGUUACCCAAGGAGGGUCCAUCCUGCAAACAAAACGUAUUGUUUUAUUCCGAAUAAUAUUCUUCAUAAUCAGUCUCAUAAUCAUCAGAGUAAUAUUCUAGAAGAAUAUGAGAGAAAUCUUCUCUUAGUAUAUCAUCAACAAUUCUUUUAAGGACAAGAUCUUUCAGAUCUCUAGGUAAGGGAAGAUACCUUAAAAUGGAAAACAGGGUUUCAUCAUCCAAGAAAAUUCGAAAAAACAUUUUAUUGAAUGGAUUCACGAGAUAAGAAAUCCUGUAAUGAGUUAUUAACUCCUCGUUUAUAUUGAAUUUCAAAGUCAAAAGAAGCUAGCUAGGCCUACCAUCUAGCGAAAAUUAACUUAGAAGUAUCUUGCUUAAAAUAUUUAUCUAACAUAUACCUCACAGAUUGAGCAUCAGAUUUUUUUGAAACCUUUUGAUUGUAUAAAUCGUCUUGAAAUAUUAGCACACAUUUAACGAUGAUUAGCAUUUUAAUGAGCCACCGUAACAUAUUUCUUCUGGGCUUCGCUCCAUUUCUCAGAAGAAAAUCUGAUCAAAUAUUCUAUUUUGUCGUUGGGAAUAAUCUGUUUCAAGAUCCCUCCAUAACCAAUGUUAGACGCAUCUGUCUCAAUAAUCUUUUGCCAAGCAGAGUUAGCAAGAUUUAAACAAUGUAAAGAUUGCACAAGAGGUUUAAUAUUUUUUACCAAGGUGGUGUGACUAACAUUCAAGGAGAUUUAUGAUCCUUUUUUAGCCUGUUGUAUAGCGGAGCCAAAUCACGAGAUAAAUUUUUAUAAAAAGGGGAGAUGUAAUUUAAACUUCCAAAAAAUCUUUUUAAUUGAGUUCUGUUGGUGAUAACAUUAGGAAAUUUUGAUGCAAAGUCAAUUGAACUUUGUAUCGGGGUGAAUUUUCCCUGACAAAUAAGAUGUCCAAGAAAUCGAACAUUAGUUUGAAAUAAACUAAUUUUUGUUUUAGAAAUUACCGAACCAUUUUGUAUAACAAUUUUCUUGAAGAUGUCUAGAUGUUUGAUAUGCAUUUCGAGAGUUUUUGAAUAAACCAAAAUAUCGUCAAUAUAAACAAUGAUAAAAUCUAAAUAUGGGUUGAAAAUAUCAUUCAUAAUUUUCUGAAAUUCAGAUAGAGCAUUUUUUAAACUGAACGGCAUAACGUUCCAUUCAUAUUGUCUAAAAGGGACAUCAAAAGCAGUUCUAUAAGCAUGCUCUUUAAUUAUUUGGAUCUGCCAAUAUCCUGAUUUUAAAUCAAAUUUUGGAAUAUAUUGGCAUUAUAUAAUCUGGAUAAGAAAUCCUUUUUGUUGGGAAUAGGAUACAUAAUCCACUUAAAUAUUUAUUUAAAGGUUUAUAAUUGAUAACCAAUCUAGGGAUACCACGUUCCCUUUCAACAACAUUGUUGAGAUAUAAAGCAGUGCAAGACCAAGGUGACUUUGAAGGCUUUAUCAAACCCUUUUGCAGUAAAUUAUCAAUCUUUUUUUUUGCAGAAUUGAACCAAUUCGGUGUUCAUUUGACAUGGACGCGAUUUAGUAGGAAUAUCAUUUUCAAAGAAAUCAUCUUCAUAAGGAAGAGUAACGAUAUGCUUUUUCCGAUUCCAAAAAGCAUUGGGAUGAUCAUCACAAAUACGAACAUCAAUUUGUUCAGAAAUUAAUUUAAUUUUUUCUUGUACUUUGGUGGAUUUCAAAGUAUCAAAUAUAUUCAUACAAAACAAUUCUAGUUGGAGAGAAUCAACAUGCUUUUGCUUCAUAUUAAUUAAAGAAUUAUUAUCACGAGAAAUUGGGUCAGUGAUAAAAGUUUAACUAAUAUUCCUGUCUUCAAACGUAGCUGAAAAACCUUUAGUAUUUGUGCUAGUAAAAGGAUAAAUAGCAUUUAUAAAAGGCGUUCCAAGUAUAAUUGGAGGGUAUAACUUAUUUUUAACUAUGAAAAAGAAAUACAGAAUGCAAAUUUUAUUUUGGCAAAUGCGAGUAUUAGGCAAUUUGUACUUUAUAUCUAAAGCAGGUCCAGAAGCAUAUUUAACCAUGUGAGUUGUUUUUUUCAAAAUAUUUAGUAGGUACAAGACCGUCCUGAAUACAUCUAACAUCAGCUUUGCUAUCAAUCAUAGCAAUAUCAGUUAUCAAAAAGCUAUUAUCAAUCAAAAUGGUGCAUUUAACAUAUCAUUUAUGAGCAGUAACAAUUUGCUUCAUCCCAAGAAACAUACUAGUUUAAGAUCAAGAUUAAAAGGUUUUGUAAGAGUAUUUUCUUCAGCAACAUUUUUACCUUUGUUAUUACUGGUUUCUAUCUUAGUAAGACGAUGAUCACAAAUCAUUUGGUUUUGCUUAAUAGAGUUAAUCUCAUUUUUUAAAUCUUCAAUUUCAUUUUUCAAAUCAUUAAAAGAAGAAUCUUUUGUAGCAAUAGUUUGUUUAUUAAGUCUGUUAUUAAGUUCAGACAAAGAAUAAGGUGCAGUAUAUUCAAAUUCAAAAUCAUUCUUUUGUUUUUCUGAAAUUUUUUCAAAACUUGAGCUAGCAGUAUUACUAACAGCUAAUUGAAUAAUUUUUUCACGAAGAUUGUUAUCAGUAACUUCUUUCAAAAGUUCUAUCACCAUGACAAUUAUUGCAAGCAUUCAUAUUAACAUGUUGGUGGUUAUUAUCAGAUAAAUUAGGCAAAUCAAUCUCUUCUUUGGAACCUGAAUCAGAAUCAUAAUCGGACUCAGAAGCAGAAGUAUAUAAGAAAAUUUAAACCUUAUCAUGAAUUUCUUUAUCUAAUUCCAAGGUCUUCAGCUUUUCAAGCUUGCAAUUGGGUGCUAUAUGAUCGAAGUUACUACACCUAUAACACUUAAUCUUGGCGAGCUCACGCUUAGACCUAUUCUUAGUAAAUCUGUUAGACUUACGAGAGGCUAUUCUAGUGUCUCGCUCCUCCUUAGAUCUAUAUCUAGACCUCUUCUUCCUAUAACGUUGAUCAGGAUUACUAGAAUCCCUAUGCUUCUUCUUGCUAUUAACCGGAGCAUCAGGUAAAUCGAACUGGGUACAAAAGUCUCCUAUCUGAGAUAUUUCCUUGAGCUUGUCAAUCUUAAGUUGUGUGGGGAGCUUCAAUUCAUUGCGCAAGUUUAUACCUUCCUGAGUACAAACUCCUAUCAGCUUACCAUAAGUAUAAUCUUUAUACGGGAUUUCUCCAUGUGCAUUUCUAAGAACCCUUUUAACACGCUAGGCAAAAAGAGGGGGAAUGCCAUCUAUAAACUUAGAUUUCCAAUGCUCCUAACUACUUUCAGGUAGUUCCAUCUCCCUACUCAUAUAUGUAUUUUUAUACCAUCUAAACUCUCCCAAGGUUCUACAUCGUAGACCAUUUAACAAGGUACGAACAAUCUCAUACUGAUUGGUAAAUCUACAAUUAAAAUGUUCUAGGAUGGUUAAGACUAGAGUAUAAACCGCGUCUACUCUAUUUGCAACUAGAGCCAUGCCUAAGUUAUCAACACCUUCACCAGUAGAAGUAGCAUUAAUCACAUCAGCCUUUUGCUCGAGACUCAUAUAAUUAUCCCACCAACCUCUGACUUGGCCAGUAAAACCUGCAAUAAUCAUUUUGCAAAUACUUCUAUCUGUAAUUUUAACAUUCUUACAGAUAGUAGCAUACAUAAGCAUUCUAUGAACAAGAAUAGUUAACUGUCUAUCAGUCAGCCCAUCCAGAUUCCAUUCAUAAAUUUCAGAACCACUAUAAGAGGUAUUAGUCAAAUUCCAGUCGCGUUCCUCUAUAAGCACAUCCCGAGGAGUAAGCCUGGAAUAAUAAUAAGUUUGCAUGCUAGGUUUAUGAGCAAACUUAGGAUUACCACUAUUCUUUUUAGCAUAAUCGCGAAGUGUAUUAAAUUCUAAAGAAACAUGAUUUUUGAAAUCAAAAGUGUUUUCCAUCUCAUCCGCAAAAUUUUCAGACAAAUCCCUAGGUUUUGCGCUAAAAUUCAAAAACUUUUUAUCAAGAAGUUCUUCAAAAUCAUAAAUCGAUUUGAAUUUAAAAUCCUUAAUCUCAGGGGGCCUUUGCACAGAGGUAGACAUAGUAAGAGCUUCGGAAUUAGUUUUAGAAGUUGAAGGUUUAUCAGAAGCCUUUAAAUUAUUUUUAUUUGAAUUAUCAAAGCAGUUAAUUCAUCUAAUUUUUCAUUGAGCGAACCAAUAUGUUCACCCAAAACUUUAUCAUAAUGUCCCAAAUAAUUAUUUUGAGAAAUCAAGUUAUUAAUUUCAUUGAUGCUGACUGCCGCAACAUCUUCUUCAAUAAAUUUUUGAAAGGCAGUAAAAGUGAUUCCAGUGUUAUUUGGUAAUAUAAAAGAUGACUGAGGUGGAUAAACAGCCUUAAUAAUAUUACCAGAUUCAUCUUUAUAAGAUCGUUCAAGAACGUUGAUGAAUAACGGAAGAUAAGUGGUAAUAAACCAAGGUACAAAAUACAUAAUUUGAAUAUGUAAAACACAAGUUUCAUAAAACUCUUGAGAGAUGUUAUUUAGAUCAUCAGUACUAUAAGAGUAAAAAAAACAUGUUUUAAACUGGUUCCAUUUAUCACUUAAAAAUUCAUUUUGAAUGUACUUUCUUGCUAGUGAUCUUGGACUAAAAUCUAUUUGGUGUACAUUCAUCAUUAAGUAUCAUUAAGGUUAAAAUCUAUUUCGGAUGCAGAAGGAAUAUCUUUGUUAGAAAUAUCAAAAGAAUUACCAUGAGCUUUAACAAUAUUCAAAUGAGGAUCAAUUUUUAUUUUAUUCCUAUCAUCGGAUAUUAUAAAAGGUAUGGUAUGUAACGAAGCAACAUGAUUACGAGCUGGACCAUACAUCGGUUCAAUCGGUGAGAUAUGGUGAAUAACGAAAUCUCUUCUAUCAGAAAAUGAAUGUCUAUUAUAAGGAACACUCUUAUCAUCAAACUGAAUUCAAAUCUUACCUUCAGAAUUCUGUGUAGUAUGAGAAUAUUCAGAAUUAGUAACCGCAUGAGCCAUCUGGCUAGGAGGUAUAACCGAAUCUAAAGUCCGAGUAGUAGGAAAAUUAAUUUCUUCCCAUUUUAUAGGUUUUCUUGUAGUGACCUUAGAUUUAGCAAAAUUAGUUUAUACUAAAAUAGUUUGAUCAGAUGUAUCUUAUAGCUUACAUCUAGGAUUUAACGUAGACAAUAAUUUAAAAUAAAUUUUAUAAGAUAAAUAAAUCAAUUCAGAUCCAUGUGCAUAAUUAUAACCAUGCGUUUUAACAUUUAAAGUUAAAGCAUCAAGAAUAUUAGCAUCCAUUAGAUAUAACUGCAAAUUCGGUUGAGUAUUAAAAUACACUGGACCAUAUGCCACAGUAGAUUUAAUCAAACCCAUCAAAGAUUGUCUAAAAUUUAAAUUCUAGCAUCACGCAGAGCAGCUAAAAAAGUCUCUGGUAACCCUUUAAGAGUUAAAGGUUUGAAAGCAAUCUGAACCAUGCCAAUAUGCAAAAAGUUAUACUGGAAUUUAUAUAAUUCAAUAUCUCGUUUAUUUAACAAACGAAUAGACUGUUCAGACGAAUUUAACGCAAAAAGAUUGUUCAGUAGUUUUAAUCAACUGUUUAUGAAAUUUUUUAUCAAACCAACCAUAAUCGUAAAUGGUUUUAAUAUCCAUUUUUGGAAUAGUCCAUUUGUUUAACAAAUUAAGGUUUUGAGGUAUAUCUACCUCUUCCAAUCUAGUACUUUUAGUACUCAUUUUUCCAAGAUGACUGAGGUGGAUAAACAACCUUAAUAAUAUUACCAUAUUCAUCUUUAUAAGAUUGUUCAAGAACGUUGAUGAAUAACGGAAGAUAAGUGGUUAUAAACCAAGGUACAAAUAUACAUAAUUUGAUUAUGUAAAGCACAAGUUUCAUAAAACUCUUGAGAGAUGUUAUUUAAAUUAUCAGUACUAUAAGAGUAAAAAAACCAUGUUUUAAACUGGUUCCAUUUAUCACUUUAAAAUUCAUUUUAACUGUAGUUUCUUGCCAGUGAUCCUGGACUAAAAUCUAUUUGGUGUACAUUCAUCACUAAGUAUCAUUAGGGUUAAAAUCCAUUAUAUCCUUGUCAGAAAUAUCAAAAGAAUUACCAUGAGCUUUAACAAUAUUCAAACGAGGAUCAAUUUUUAAUUUAUUCCUAUCAUCGGAUAUAAUAGAAUGUAUGGUAUGUAACGAAGCAGGACGAUUACGAGCUAGACCAUACAUCGGUUCAAUCGGCGAGAUAUGGUGAAUAGCGAGAACUCUUCUAAAUCGAUAUAAGAUAAGACAGGAUGUCAAAUUUCUCCCAAUUUCGCUUUCUACCACUCCAUGGAGAAAAUGAAUGUCUAUUAUAAGGAACAGUCUUAUCAUCAAACUAAAUACAAAUCUUACCAUCAGAAUUCUGCGUAAUAUGGGAAUAUUCAGAAUUAGUAACCGCAUGAUCCAUCUGGUUAGGAGGUAUAACCAAAUCUAAAGUCCAAAUAGUAGGAAAAUUAAUUUCUUCCCAUUUUAUAGGUCUUCUAGUAGUAACCUUAGAUUUAGCAAAAUUAGUUUCUACUAAAAUAGUUUGAUCAACUAUAUCAUAUAGCUUGCAUCUAGGAUUUAACGUAGACAAUAAUUUAAAAUAAAUUCUAUAAGAUAAACAAAUCAAUUCAGAUCCAGGUGCAUAAUUAUAACCAUGCGUUUUAACAUUUAAGGUAAAGCAUCAAGAAUAUUAAAAUCAGUUAGAGAUAACUGCAAAUUUGGUUGAGUAUUAAAAUACACUGAACCAUAUGUCAUGGUAGAUUCAAUCGAACCCAUUAAAGAUUAUCUAAAAUUUAAAUUUAUAGCAUCAUGCAGAGCAGCUAAAAAAGUCUCUGGUAACCCUUUAAGAGUUAAAGGUUUGAAAGCAAUCUGAACCAUGCCAAUAUGCAAAAAGUUAUACUGGGAUUUAUAUAAUUCUAUAUCUCAUUUAUUUAACAAACGAAUAGUCUGUUUAGACGAAUUUAAUGCCAAAGAUUGCUCAGUAGUUUUAAUCAACUGUUUAUGAGAAAUUUUAUCAAACCAACCAUAAUCAUAAAUGAUUUUAAUAUCAAUUUUUGGAACAGUUCAUUUGUUUAACAAAUUAAGAUUUUGAGGUAUAUCUACCUCUUCCAAUCUAGUACUUUUAGUACUCAUUUCUCCAAGAUCUAUGAAGAAACGAACAUAUCUAUGCCGAAUACUACACAUCAAUUUCAUAUUUACCAUGAAAUUUCUAGGCUCUGAUAUCAACUUGCAGCAUCUCAGAAGACGCGAGGUAGUUCGCGCGUUCAUCUUUAAUCUAGCUUGCUAACAUCUGGUUUCAAAUACGAAUCUAACUCGAAAUACAUACAAAUUUUUAUAUAGUUUUAUGACUGUAUCGAGGAGAUUAUUCCUCUUACCUGAGCAAAGGGCCUGACAAGAUUCAAAUACGUAUUAUUAUUGAGCCCAUGUGUCUAGAAGUUCAAACCGGGUAUAUGCGCCCUUUCUCAACUCAUAAAUGGGCUUAGAACCACGACUGGCUAAACGGAGUCACAAAGACAAAGCCAAUAACAUGUUGUAUUAAAUCUGACUGUACCACUAUCUCAGAACCAAAUCAAGAAACCAUAUAUAAAUUUAUUUAUAUUUAGAUAAAGUCUAGAUCUUUCAUAGUAGAUAUAAAGGCGAAAUUAGUUAUCCGAUAUAGAUAUGAAGCUUUAGCCGGACAUGGUCACGACUCAGAUCUGAGAAAUAACACUAAAAGAUUUAAUUCUAUUAAAAAUAGUACCUUGAAAAGGGCGACCGACUCCAAGGCUUGGAAGAGAACUAUACACUUUAUUAACUCCGGUAAGUAUUCCGGCAAACUUCAAACUUUAGAAAAGAGAGCUUUACAAGAGAGAGUGCUACAGAGAGAGAGGGUUUUUGAACCUGCUUUCUCAGACUAAAACUAAACUUAUUUAUAGAAAGAAAAGGAAUAUAGUACAGUAAUGGUGGGUCCCUUAUGUACAGUCACAGUGUUUCUAUUAUUGAUCAAUAGUGUAUCUACUUUUGAUAGUGCGUUUUACUGUUAGAGAUAAGCUUCAUAGCUUGUCCUUUUUCUUUAGCUCUCGGAGGAAAUACUCCACCUUUUACAGCAUAUCUUCUGAAAUGGGUUUAGCUGACUCACCAUGCUGAGCUUCUUGAGUAUCUUUUGCGAUAUCAUCGCUCGUGUCACUUCUCAUAGAAGUGUCUGAUUUUUCGUAUUGAUUAAUAUUGAGGAGUAGAUUCCUCCUGACUUCGUCCAAAUAACUAGUAAUCAUUUAUUCUUUGUACCCAUCUUGAAUGGAAAUUUUUCUUGCAAUAUGCCUAACUGAACUGUCGGCAUUGAUCCCCUUGUGAAAAGAAAUACAGUAUUCUUAGAUCUUUCUUACAAUUAGAUCCAGCAGUUCUUGUCCAUAUAGAGACUUCGUCUCGGGAUCUUUUUUCAUCAAUUUGUCCCAAAAAUUAAUACGAAAGGUUCUAUAUAAACAAGGAAUUUGUUCCUCUGUGAAUCCCAUUUCUGGGGUCCAUUUAUGAAUCCAUGGAAUAGAGAAUUCAAUGAAAAAAUAAAUUUGUUCAAUUUUUUCAAUAUAGCAAGUAUGAUAUGCAUGGUAUAGAUCGUUAAGAUCUGGUGAAACCUUAACCCAUUCUUUAUAUAAUUGGAGAAAUGGAUCAAGCAGAAUCUUUGUUGUUGGACCGUGGAAUGACCACCAGUUCAAGAACCAAUUAGGGAUAGAUUCCGCAAAUAUCUUUGUGCAAAUUUUAAUAAACCAAGUAUGCUUAUGUCUCUCAUUAUCAUAGUAUAGGACUUUAUUAAAUGCAUUAAUAUAAUCCCAAUAGGUGAAAUUCAUAGGGACCUUAUUCGACGGAUCGUUCAGUUUUACUCAAGGGGUCUUUACAGGUUUAAUUAAUCCUGGCAAUAGUUAAUGAAAGCUUCUACUAUCUGGGUCCGCCCUACACGCCCACCUGGCUAACGGGUAAUCCAAUGGAUUCUUUCGACAAUCUUUCAUUAACCUGCCUAGAUCUCUUAAGCUUGACCUUAGUAUAACUGUUCAAACUGUCUCAAUUAUAGACAUUAUCGCCAGUUCUUAUAGUAACUUAGUAUGUUAUAGUCCAACACAAAUAAUUUAGCCUAUCAUCUAGGGUUAGUGCAUAUAAAAAGUAAAGAUAUAAAUAAAAAAUAAGAACAGUACCUGGAGUAGAACUCCACACAAGAUGUACCAACCAAGCUGAAGGCUUUUUAUUAUUCAAACUACAAAAGAAUUUACUAAAAGAAAAAUAAUUACAAUACUAGAGAGAGAGAUAGAGAGAGAGGGGGUUUCUAAAACCUUCCUCACUAAAGAAAGUUUCACCUCUUUAUAUAGGGGUCGAGGAAUCUAAAGCGAUACGAUAAGGUGGCCCACGCAAUUUACAAUGGCCAAUAAUGAAAGGAUAAGACCAACAAAUAGGCGUGGCCUUUCCAUUACAACAUAUAUGGCCGACAUAUUAUUCUGGCCUACUAAUCUUCUUUAUUAAAGUCUUUUGGCUUAGUACCCCAAUUAUUCUGAUUUUUGUGGGGCCUUAUUUUAUAUCUUAUCUUUCCCUUGCAAGUGGCUUUGUCGGAAGAUUCUUCCACUUGCUCUUGAAAUUUUUUGAGAAGAACAUCAAUAUUAAUUUCCUUAUUGCUAUUAUCACUCUGGGCUUCUCCCGCCAUGCAUGUUUCAACAUCAUUAUUUGUGUGGUUUGCUGACGCCAUAGAAAUAUCAUCCCUAAUAUAUAUAUCGAUAUUUUUUAUUAAAUUUCUUUUCACUUCUUCCAUGUACAUGGCUAUUGCCUCUGAUUUAGAUAUUAUGCCUUUCUUCAUUUGAAGUUUUCUGGUGAUUUGUUUGAAAGGACUGAGAUCAUCUCCUUGUGGUUUUAACCGAUCUGUAUUAUGAUAUUUGUCGAUCGUCUCAUUUAUUAAGUCCAAAAUUUCUGACCAUGAAUUUUACCUUCAAGGUCUUUUUGUAUCAACUUGUUCCAAAACUUUGUGUAAAAAGUUCGUUGUAGACAUGGGAACUCUUCAUAAGUGUUAUUAACUUCUACGGACCAUUUCAUAAUCCAGGGGAUUGAGAAUUCUAUGAAGAAAUACAUCAACCUCAAAAAAGACGUUAUUUUGUUCUAAACUUAUAAGUUUAGGGGAUAUGUCUACCUAUUCAGAAUAUAAUAUCUGGUAGGGUUCUGGUAGAAUUUUUAUUGAGGGGCCAUAUAAAGUCCACCAUUUACAAAACCAAUUCCGAACUGGUUGGUCGAAUACAUGAGAACAUAUUUUUAUGAACCAUGAAUGCUUUUUAUUAGCAUUUUCAUAUAAUAGGGCUUUAUUAAAGCUGUCCACAUAAUCCCAGUAAUUAUAUUUUACUGCGAUCUUUUGUUCUGGGUGGAUAUAAUCCCUUUCUUUUAAGGGGCUCAUUCCCCAUUCUUCUGGAGUUAAAAUCCUUUUUAUAAUAAUCUAAUAAAAGUUAUAAACCUUUCUUGUAUUGGCUGGGUAAAAAUGCUGAAAUUCACCCGUCCUUGUCGCUAAAAGUAUCAUCUCAUAAUACAUCCUGUAUUUAUAAGCAGGUGUACUAUAACAAACUGAAUCCAGAUACAUGGACAUUAACUGCCAUGGGUCAUUUUUCCAUCGCAAAUCACUGUAUUCUAAGAGAAGUAUGACUUCUUCUUUUUAUCAUUUUGAUCGAAUACUUUUGUGCUAUCUUCGUCUAUGAGAACCGUGGAAUAAGUUGGAGGAGUAUCAUCCUUUUUCUGCUUGGAUUGCAUAAAAUCCAAAAAUUCCUUAUACAUAGGAUGGUCUGUAUUAAGACUACUUGUAGAAGCACUAUUUAUCAAUUGCUUGUUUCCUAUUUGAGCGAGGAUAUGACCUCUUUUUCCAGCUCAUGUCCUUCCUCUUCCCCUCAUUGAGGGCGGAGGCCAUGAAGGUCUCAUCCUGAAAAGAAAAUAAAGAUUAGUCCAAGUAUUCUCUUGUAAGAAAAUCAGGCAAACUAUUAUCGGACCCUUUUUUAUAAUGAAUGUCGAAAUCAAAAGGCGCUAAUAGAGAUUGCCAUUUAGCAAACAUCUAUUUAGAAAUAUCAUGCUUACAAUCUUUAUUAAACAUAAAUUUAGCCGCUCGACAAUCGGUUUUUAUUAAAAAAAAUUGUUAUAAAGAUCACCUUGGAACUUUAAAACACUCUUAACUAUGGCCAAAAUCUCUUUUGCAGCAAUGGCAUAAUUUUUCUGGGCAUCAUUCUAUUUACCCGAAUAAAAUUGAAUAAUGUAAUGCUGCUUAUUAUCAGGACAAUAUUGUGUCAGGAUACCACUGUAUCCUAUAUCUGAGUCAUAUGUCUCAACCGUCUUCUCCCAAUUUGGGUUGGCAAGAGUAAGACAAGGAAGGUUUUUCACCUUUGUCUUAAUCCUUUUUACUGCUUCAGUAUGAUCAUCGGACCAGGCCUUAGGAUUAUUGUUUAGCCUGUCACAUAAAAUAGCAGUAUCCUUGGCUAAAUCCUUUAUGAAAGGAGCAACAUAGUUGAAACUUCCAAGAAGUCUAUGUAGCUAUGUUUUAUUAGUCAUAAUAUUAGGGAACUUGGAUGCAAAUUCAAUGCUUCUAUUAAUAGGGCUAAUAUUACCCCUUUCAAUAUUAUGAUCCAAAAAUCUGACAUUUGUUUGAAACAAAGCCAUUUUGGGGAAGGAUAUUACCAUGCCAUUUUGAAAUAAUUUUUUUAAACAAAUCAAGAUGUUUAAAAUGAGUUUCCACAUUUUUGGAAAAUACAAGAAUAUCAUCUAUAUAAACUAUUAUGAAAUUACUGUAACGCAGAAAAAUAUCAUUCAUAAUUUUUUAAUAUUCUGAUGGAGCGUUCUUUAAACCAAAAGGCAUAACAUUCCAUUCAUAUUGACCCAUAGGGACAUUAAAAGCAGUUUUAAACCUGUCUGACUCAGCUAUAUGAAUCUGCCAAUAACCUGAUUUGAAAUCAAAUUUUGAAAAAUAUAAUUGCAUCAUAAACUCUAUCCAAAAGAUCCUUUUUAUUGGGGAUAGGAUACCUAAUCCAUUUUAAAGCUUUGUUAGUUCAACACAUCGUUUCUCUAUGCAUAUGAUAAAUAGGUUUAAAUUUAUUACCAACUAGGGAGCACCUCUUUCUUGCUCAGCAUGUUUAUUAACAUAAAAGGCUGUACAAGAACAUGGAGACUUAGAAUGCCUUAUAAGGCCUUUCUGAAGUAAGGAGUCAAUUUCCUUUUUGCAUAAUUCCAGAUAAUUGGAAUUCAUCUGGCAGGGUCUUGCUUUCGUAGGAAUAUUAUCCUCAAUAAAGCUAUCUUUAUAUGGAAGGCUAACAACAUGUUUUUUCCUGUUCCAGAAAACAUUUGGAUGAUCUCCACAGAUAUCAAGGGAGAAAUGAUUCUUUAAAAUAACAAUCUUAUCCUGUAAUUUAGGAUUUUGAAGAAUAUUAUCAAUCUCAAAACUAUUAAUUUCUCCUUUGAAAAAACUAACUUGAUUAUUUUUUUAAAUCAAUCCUGAAUAAAGUUCAUUUAUCAUUCUUGUAAAAGGUUUCGUAAUGAAUUCUAACAUAAAAGGUUUUUCAUUCCAAGUAUCAAUAAUUUUUUUAUUAUCCCAAUAAGUAAGGGGGGAAAUCUCAUUUAUAAAUGGUACUCCUAAAAUGAUGUGGUUAGUAAUAUCCUUUACUAAAACAAAAUUUUGAGGAGUACAGUUUUUCCCUUUACAUAUAAAAGCUUUGGGCAAUUUAUAUUCAAUUCCCAUUUUGCUACCAUUUGCAGACCUGAGGCUAUGAGUAGUUUUAUGAAAAUACCUAGAAGGAAUAAGUCCUUCUUGAAUGCAAUUUAAAUCAGCAGCACUGUCUAUAAGAGUAGUAAAUUCUUUUUUGUAAUUAUAAUCUAUAAGAAGAGUAACUUUUGUAUAAAACUUUUGGGAAGUAAAAACUUUCAAGCUUUGUAGAAAAUCUUCUUUCUUAUUACCAAAAUUAAGAGUUUUUAGAAAAUCAAAAUCUCUACUACCUUUAGAGCCUGCUUUAGGUAUAUCCAAAGCGAACUGUUCACAAAGCUCUCCCAAUUGUUGUCUUUCAUUAAGAUGAUGAUUUUAAUCUGUUGAUUCAACUUGGUUUCAUUGCAUAAAGAAAGUCCUUAUUGUACGCAGGCACUUAUAAGUUUUCAAUAGGUAUAAUCAUCAUAGUUAAUACUAUGGCUUUCUCCUCUAAGAGUUUUCCUAACUCUUUAUGCAAAAAGAGCAGGUAAUCCAUCUAUAAACUUGGAUUUCCAAUGGGUGCUAUUACACUCCGGUAGCUCCAUAAAUCUGCUAAGGAAGACAUCUUUAUAGAACCUAAAAGACGUGAGAGUCUUGCACCGAAGGUUUUGGAGAAAGGUUCAUAUGGUUUCGCUAUUGUCUAACCAUCUUCCUGAGAAAUGUUCAAUAAUAUUUAGAACAAGAAUAUAGACAACAUUUUGGGUAAAAUCUUGUUCUCCUUCUUGCUUAACUGCUGGGAGGAUUUUGUCCCUUUGCUCUUGGUUGAGAUAGUUAUCCCACCAACCCUUUAGUUGGCCAGUAAACCCUGUUGUUAUCAUAUCAGCAAUAGUUUUGUCACUAUUUUUGUUAGCCUUACAAAUAGUGUUGUACAUGAGCAUUCUAUGUACAGUUGUAUAAAUUUGUCUAUCUGUAUAACUAUCUAUGUUCUAUUCAUAGAUUUCCUUCCCAUUAUAACUAUUAGUUAUAAUAUGUUCAUGCUCUUCUAGGAGGACAUCCUGAGGAGUUGGUCUAGGAUAGUAGUACAUCUUUUGUACCGGCUUUCUUGCAUAUUUUUCUGAGAUUUUAUUAAUACCAUAAGAAAAUUCUUGUUUAUGACUGCUUUUUCCUUCUGAAAGGUUAUUAACCUUUGAAGGCUUUAAAUUUCCGCUUGUAAACCUUGUUUCUAAGAAUUUCUCAAGAUUUGAAAAGUCUUUUAUUUUGAAAUCAUACUGGUGUUGGCUACUUUCUCUUUUCCUUUAUUAUUGGAAUUGAGUUUAGAAAGUAGUUUAUCAACAUUAUCAUGAAGAGAAGUGAUUUGUUCCCCCAAAAUGCUUGUAUAAAUGUUAGCAUAAUUAUGUUGCUUAAUCAUGACAUUAAUAUGCUAGGUAAUUACCAUAGCAGUAUUAUCUUCAAAUAAUUUUGAAAAAGCAUUAAAAUAAACAACCUUAUCAUCUUUUUGAAUUUAAAAGGAUUGUAAAGGAGGAAAAACAGAUUUCGUAACUUCUCCGGUACUUAAAGUAAAAUCUCUUUCUAUCAUAGAGAUAUAAUUAUGAACUUGCUUGGCCAUAAACCAAGGAACAAAAGCAAUUAAAACAUUUUGCUUAGAAUCAAUAACAUUAGUAUAAAAUUCUUCUUGUCAACCCCUUUGUUCUUCUCUAUUAAAAUUUUUAAAGAAACAUUUUCGGAAAGGUUUCUAUCUAGAUUUCUGAAAUUCUUUCAAAAUCUUUUCUCUUGCCGGUGAACCUAGACUAAAAUCAAUUAUUUGAUAUUCAUUCAUCAUAAAACAAUUUCUAGGUAGAGAUUCCAUCUGGAAAAUUCAUUUUAGACUCAGUUAUAUCUAAAUUUGAACUAGGCCUAGGCAUAGGUCUAACAAUAUUAUCUCUAUCGAUUUUAAUAUUAUCACAUCUAUAAUUUUCUCUAAUCUGAGAAGUAGAUGCUCUAGAAGGAACUUGUACAAUAUAAUCAACAGGAGAAAUAUAAGAAGAGUUAGUUCUGGAAGACAUGCUAUGAUUAUUAAUUCUAUUAUGCAGAGCUGUAGAGUCAGAAAACUUGAUUUUAACAGUUUCAUCAUUAAACUGCUCAAUUUUUGAAAUCUCAUUAUUAGUAUUAUCUUUAGGUUGUGCUGCUCCUUCAAUAACCCACUCUUGUGGGAAAUCAAUGUCAUCCUACUGAAUAGGUCUUCUGGUAACAACCUUAGAUUUACCAAAAUUGGUUUCUAUAAGAAUAGUUUCAUAUUUAAAAUCAAUCAUCUUACACAUAGGAUUCAAAGUAUGUAAGAGUUUAUAAUAAAUUCUGUGGCAUAUGCAAACAACUUCAGUUCCAAGCACAUAAUCAUAACCAUGAAGUUUAACAUUAAGCAUAAGAGAACUUAAUGAAUUCUCAUCCUGCAAAGAUAUUUGUAAAUUAGGAUAGGCACUAAAAUAAACGGUCCGUAAGCAAGACUAGUAUGUAUCGUCCCUAUAAGGGAUUUUUUCCAAUUCUGAUUUCUACAAUCUGUAAAAGAUGCUAUAAAGCUUUCUGGUAGGCCUCUUAAGGUGAGGGGUUUAAAUGCCACCUGAACCAAGCCGAUAUGAUUAAACCUGUAAAUAUCCCUAUAAGAGGAUAAGUCAUUUUUAGAUAAUAAUCUAAAAGUUUGAUGAUCAUUAUCAAUAGUGAUAGUUUCUUCAGUAGUUUUGACCACUUGUUUAAGACCAAGUUUCUCAAAGUUCCCAUCUGGUAUAUAAUCCUAGGAGGUAUUUUCGGAAUAGUCCACUUAUUAAGUAUAUCAAGAUGUUGUGGUAUAUCAUAUUCUUCUUUUCUAUUAUUUUUAACAGUAGAUCUCCUCUUUAUCAUAUGCAAAGAGAAACGAUGUGUUGAACUAUACCACCUAUAGUUACUAAAAGUCUAUGACUCUGAUACCGAAAUUUCGACCGAUCAUUCAGUUUUACUCAAGGGGCCUUUACAGGCUUAAUUUAUCCUGACAAUAGUUAAUGAAAGCUUCUACUAUCCGGGUUCGCCCUACACGCCUACCUGGCUAACGGGUAAUCUAACGGAUUCCUUCGACAGCCUUUCAUUAACUUGCUUGGAUCUCUUAAGCUUGACCCUAGUAUAACUGUUCAAACUGUCUCAAUUAUAGACAUUAUUGCAAGUUCUUAUAGUAACUUAGUAUGUUAUAGUCCAACACAAAUAAUUUAGCCUAUCAUCUAGGCUUAGUGCAUAUAAAAAGUAAAUAUAUAAAUCAAAAAUAAGAAUAUUACGUAGAGUAGAACUCCACACAAGAUGAUGUACCAACCAAGCUGAAGGCUUUUUAUUAUUCAAACUCAAAAGAUUUACAGAAGAAAAUAUUACAAUACUAGAGAGAGAGAUAGAGAGAGGGGGGGUUUCUAAAAUCUGCCUCACUAAAGAAAGUUUUGCCUCUUUAUAUAGAGGUCGAGGAAUCUAACGUGAUAAGAUAAGGUGGCCCACACAAUUUACAAUGGCCAAUAAUGAAAGGAUAAGACCGACAAACAUGCGUGGCCUUUCCAUUACAACAUAUAUGGCCGACAUAUUAUUUUGGCCUACUAAUCUUCUAUAUUAAAGUCUUUUGGCUUAUUACCCCAAUUAUUUUGAUUUUUCUGGGGACUUCUUUUACAUCUUAUCUUUUCCCUUGCAGGUGGCUUUGUCGGAAGAUUCUUCUACUUGCUCUUGGAAUUUUUUGAGAAGAGCAUCAAUAUCAAUUUCCUCAUUGCUAUUAUCACUCUAGGCUUCUCCCGCCAUACAUGCUUCAUCUUCAUUAUUGGUGUGGCUUGUUGACGCCAUAGAAAUAUCAUCCCUAAUAUCUAUAUCGAGAUUUUUUAUUAAAUCUAUUUUCACUUCUUCCAUGUACAUGGCUAUUGCCUCUGAUUUAGAUAUUAUGCAUUUCUUCAUUUGAUGUUUUCUGGUGAUUUGUUUGAAAGGAUUGAGAUCAUCUCCUUGUGGUUUUAAUCGAUCUAUAUUAUGAUAUUUGUCGAUCGUCUCAUUUAUUAAGUCUAAAAUUUCUUGACCAUGAAUUUUACCUUCAAGGUCUUUUCAUAUCAAAUUGUUCCAAAAUUUGUAUAAAAAGUUCAUUGUAGACAUUGGAACUCUUCAGAAGUAUUAUUAACUCCCAAUAAGUAAGGGGGAAAAUCUCAUUUAUAAAAGGUACUCCUAAAAUUAUUUGGUUAGUAAUAUCUUUUACUAAAACAAAACUUUGAGGAAUCCAGUUUUUCCCUUUACAUAUAAAAGCUUUGGGCAAUUUAUAUUCAAUUCCCAUUUUGCUACCAUUUGCAAACCUGAAGUUAUGAGUAGUUUUAUGAAAAUACCUAGAAAGAGUAAGUCCUUCUUGAAUGCACUUUAAAUCAGCAGCACUGUCUAUAAGAGCAGUAAAUUCUUUUUUGUAAUUAUAAUCUAUAAGAAGAGUAAUUUUUGUAUAAAACUUUUGGGAAGUAAAAACUUUCAGGCUUUGUAGAAAAUGUUCUUUCUUAUUACCAAAAUUAAGACUUUUUAGAAAAUCAAGAUCUCAACUACCUUCUUCAUAAGAAGAUGAUUCAGAGCUACUACCCAACUCUUUUAGACUUUUGAUAUUAUCGAGUCUAAUCUCCAUAGAGAAAUUCUUUUCUUUUAACUGUUGAAUGUCUUCUUUGAGAUUAUUAAUCUCAUGUUUUAGAUCAUUGAUAGUAAUAGGAGAACUUAUAAGUUUCCUUCUUUCUAACAGAAGAUUCUUAACCUCUGUCAUGGUGUAUGAACCUUCUUUGGUGGGGAUCUCGUCUGUGAUAAGAUUCUUAGAAAUGGAAGUAUUACUGAUUUUAUCACUAAUCUGAGCUCUUUUUUCCGGAUCUUUUACAAUUUGUAAGAGCUCUAUGACUUUGUCAUUAUCAAUGACAUUAAUGCUUGAUUCUUUGAACUGGGUAUAGAUCUUAUAAAGAUCAUCUUCAUCUUCUUCCUUUUCACAUUCUAACCCUUGUUGACAAGGUAGACAAUCAUCAUCCGAUGUUAUAUAAUCUUCUUGGUGAAGAGCUUUGAGAUCUUCACUAGUAGAGGACUCCUCGUGACUACUAAUUCAGUCUCGGAUUUUCCUGAAUCAUAAUUUAGCAUGAUUUUGCAAAGAGAUUCUUAGAUAUUAUCAUCAAUAUCAAGGGUUUUGAUCUUUUCCUUGACUCUGCAAUCCUUAGCAUAUUGACCAAAUCUUCCACACUUGUGGCAAGUAUCUGACUUGUCAAACUUUCAUUUAGAUUUAUAAAAUCUUUUCUUUUCUUUAUGAGUCUCUGCUCUUCUUUCUUUCUUUUCAAUUCUCCUUUUCUUCCAUUCCUUAUAAUCCUUUCUGGAAGAUUUAUUCUUGGAAGAAUGCUUUGAAUGCUUCUUAUCUUUGGAGCAUUCUUUAGGUAUAUCCAAAGCGAACUGUUCACAAAACUCUCCUAAUUGUUGUCUUUCAUUAAGACGAUGUCUUUUAAUCUGUUGAUUCAACUUGAUUUCAUUGCAUAAAGAAAGUCCUUCUUGUACGCAGACAUUUAUAAGUUUUCCAUAGGUAUAAUCAUCAUAGUUGAUACUAUGGCUUUCUCCUCUAAGAUUUUUCCUAACUCUUUCUGUGAAAAGAGCUGGUAAUACAUCUAUAAAUUUGGAUUUCUAAUGGGUGCUAUUACACUCUGGUAGCUCCAUAACUCUGCUAAGGAAGACGUCUUUAUAGAACCUAAAAGACGUAACCUAAGGUUUUGGAGCAAAGUUCUCAUGGUCUCGCUAUUAUCUGACCAUCUUCCUGAGAAAUGUUCUAUAAUAUUUAGAACAAGAGUAUAGACAACAUUUUGGGUACAAUCCUGUUCUUCUUCUUACUUAACUGCCUGGAGGAUUUUGUCCCUUUGCUCUUGGUUGAGAUAGUUAUCCCACCAGCCCUUUAGUUGGCCAGUAAACCCUGUUGUUAUCAUAUCAGCAAUAGUUUUAUCACUAUUNNNNNNNNNNNNNNNNNNNNNNNNNNNNNNNNNNNNNNNNNNNNNNNNNNNNNNNNNNNNCUAUCUGUAUAACCAUCUAUGUUCCAUUCAUAGAUUUAUUUCCCAUUAUAACUAUUAGUUAUAAUAUGUUCAUGCUCUUCUAGGAGCAAAUCCUGAGGAGUCGGUCUAGGAUAGUAGUACAUCCUUUGGACCGGCUUUCUUGCAUAUUUUUCUGAGGUUUUAUUAAUACCAUAAGAAAAUUCUUGUUUAUGACUGCUUUUUCCUUCUAAAAGGUUAUUAACCUUCAAGGGCUAUAAAUUUCCGCCUUUAAACCUUUUUUCUAAGAACUUCUCAAGAUCUGAAAAGUCUUUUAUUUUGAAAUCAUCGAUUUCUGGUGGAGGUUAGAUACUGGUGUUGGCUACUUUCUCUUUUCCUUUAUUAUUGGAAUUGAGUUUAGAAAGUAGUUUAUCAACAUUAUCAUGAAGUGAAGUGAUCUGUUCCCCUAAAAUGCUCAUAUAAGUGUUAGCAUAAUUUUGCUGCUUAAUCAUGACAUUAAUAUGCUGGGUAGUCACUAGAGCAGUAUUAUCUUCAAAUAAUUUUGAAAAAGCAUUAAAAUAAAAAAUCUUAUCAUCUUUUUGAAUUUGAAAGGAUUGUAAAGGAGGAAAGACAUAUUUCGUAACUUCUCUAGUACUUAAAGUAAAAUCUCUUUCUAUCAUAGAGAUACAAUUAUGAACAUGUUUGGCCAUAAACUAUGGAACAAAAGCAAUUAAAACAUUUUUCUUAGUAUUUUAAUAUGUUUUUGGAUAAUUUGUGUCUAAGGCCAUGGUUCACUUAUUUUUUAAUUGUUGAACUUUUAUUAUUCUUAAGCCGGAUGCAUAACUGCAUUAUCGAUCUUGACAUUUUAGAGACAUAACUGUCUUCUUUGCAUCACACUUAAUGACCUUUUUUUUUUUUAUAAGUCAUUAUCUUAAAUUAAUAAAAAACUAAUUAUAUUUUUGGACAAGGUGCGUCACCGCAUCCUUGAGUUUAUUUUAAUGUCUCAAAAAAGAUGCGCAACCGCAUUCUUAAUUGAAACAAACAUUUUUAACGUGCAUAAAACUCAUCUAGUAUUAAANNNNNNNNNNNNNNNNNNNNNNNNNNNNNNNNNNNNNNNNNNNNNNNNNNNNNNNNNNNNNNNNNNNNNNNNNNNNNNNNNNNNNNNNNNNNNNNNNNNNNNNNNNNNNNNNNNNNNNNNNNNNNNNNNNNNNNNNNNNNNNNNNNNNNNNNNNNNNNNNNNNNNNNNNNNNNNNNNNNNNNNNNNNNNNNNNNNNNNNNNNNNNNNNNNNNNNNNNNNNNNNNNNNNNNNNNNNNNNNNNNNNNNNNNNNNNNNNNNNNNNNNNNNNNNNNNNNNNNNNNNNNNNNNNNNNNNNNNNNNNNNNNNNNNNNNNNNNNNNNNNNNNNNNNNNNNNNNNNNNNNNNNNNNNNNNNNNNNNNNNNNNNNNNNNNNNNNNNNNNNNNNNNNNNNNNNNNNNNNNNNNNNNNNNNNNNNNNNNNNNNNNNNNNNNNNNNNNNNNNNNNNNNNNNNNNNNNNNNNNNNNNNNNNNNNNNNNNNNNNNNNNNNNNNNNNNNNNNNNNNNNNNNNNNNNNNNNNNNNNNNNNNNNNNNNNNNNNNNNNNNNNNNNNNNNNNNNNNNNNNNNNNNNNNNNNNNNNNNNNNNNNNNNNNNNNNNNNNNNNNNNNNNNNNNNNNNNNNNNNNNNNNNNNNNNNNNNNNNNNNNNNNNNNNNNNNNNNNNNNNNNNNNNNNNCAUGAAUAAAUUAAAUAAGAAGAUAAAGUAAAGUUGAAUACCGCAAAAUCUUAACCGAAGCUCGAUUAGAACACCCACAACUUUUGUAGGUUGUUUGUGAUGGUAUAUGUGUUUGUGUUGAUAUGGAAAAAAAAUGGGUAAGGAAGAAAAGAUGUGAAUGUAUGAUUAUAGUGAUGUUUUUUUUCUCUUUGUGUUUUCUGAUUUCUGUCCGUUUUUCUUCUUUUCUUUUUUUGUAUGUUGGUCAGUCUGUUAAUAUAUAUAGGGUGUGUGGUACGUAUAGGGAGUAUGUAGUCCGUGUGUAUGGAUGAAGUGGUGUAGUAUAUGUGUUUCUGGUUGAGGGAGUUGAGUGGAGUAUAUAUUUUAGUAUAAUGGGGAUAAUGUAGGUAAGGGUGGGGUAAUUGGUAGAGAAAGUGGGAGUGAGGGUAAGUUAUUAUUAUUUAGUUAUUUUUAAUAAUAUAAUAUAAUAUAAAUAUUAUUUAAUUAUAUUUUAAACUAACAAAAAUUGUAUAGCUAAUAAUAAAUUAUAAUUAAGAAAUAUUAGCUUAUUUAUUAAACUAAAAUUAAAAUAAACAUAUAUUUUGUAUUUUUAAAUCUUUUAAAAUAAACAUACUAAAAUAAGACCAAAAAAACAAAAUAUCUAACUUAGACAUAAAAGAAAUAUUUAAGAAAUAAAAAUAUUAUAAAAUUUUAUGUUUGAUCGAAAAUUACGUGUCUACAUUCCCCCAAAAUGCUCAUAUAAAUGUUAGAAUAAUUAUGCUGCUUAAUUAUGACAUUAAUAUGUUGGGUAGUUACCAAAGUAGUAUUAUCUUCAAAUAAUUUUGAAAAAGCACUAAAAUAAACAACCUUAUCAUCUUUUUGAAUUUAAAAGGAUUGUAAAGGAGGAAAAACAGAUUUCGUAACUUCUCCAGUACUUAAAGUAAAAUCUCUUUCUAUCAUAGAGAUAUAAUUAUGAACAUGCUUGGCCAUAAACCAAGGAACAAAAGCAAUUAAAACAUUUUGCUUAGAAUCAAUAAGAUUAGUAUAAAAUUCUUCCUGAAAACCCCUUUGUUCUUCUCUAUUAAUUUUUUUAAAGAACCAUUUUCGAAAAGGUUUCCAUCUAGAUUUCUGAAAUUCUUUCGAAAUCUUUUCUCUUGCUGGUGAAACCGGACUAAAAUCAAUUAUUUGAUUUUCAUUCAUCAUAAAACAAUUUCUAGGUAGAGAUUUCAUCUAAAAAAAUUCAUUUUAGACUCAGUUAUAUCUAAAUCUAAGCUAGGCCUAGGCAUAGGUCUAGCAAAAUUAUCUCUAUCGAUUUUAAUAUUAUCACUUCUAUAAUUUUCUCUAAUCUGAGAAGUAGAUGCUCUAGAAGGAACUUGUACAAUAUAAUCAACAGGAGAAAUAUAAGAAGAGUUAGUUCUGGAAGACAUGCUAUGAUUAUUAAUUCUAUUAUGCAGAGCUGAAGAGUCAGAAAACUUGAUUUUAACAGUUUCAUCAUUAAAUUGCUCAAUUUCUGAAAUCUCAUUAUUAGUAUUAUCUUUAGGUUGUGCUGCUCCUUCAAUAACCCACCAUCCCACUGAAUAGGUCUUCUGGUAACAACCUAGAUUUACCAAAAUUGGUUUCUAUAAGAAUAGUUUCAUUUUUAAAAUCAAUCAUCUUACACAUAGGAUUCAAAGUAUGUAAGAGUUUAUAAUAAAUUCUGUAGCAUAUGCAAACAACUUCAGUUCCAGGCACAUAAUCAUAACCAUGAAGUUUAACAUUAAGCAUAAGAGAACUUAAUGAAUUCUCAUCCUGCAAAGAUAUUUGUAAAUUAGGAUAGGCAUUAAAAUAAACGAUCCGUAAGCAAGACUAGUAUGUAUCGUCCCUAUAAGGGAUUUUUUCCAAUUCUGAUUUCUACCAUCUCUAAAAGAUGUUGUGGUAUAUCAUAUUCUUCUUUUCUACUAUUUUUAAUAGUAGAUCUCCUCUUUAUCAUAUGCAUAGAGAAACGAUGUGUUGAACUAUACGACCUAUACUUACUAAAAGUCCAUGGUUCUGAUACCAAAAUUUCGACCGAUCAUUCAGUUUUACUCAAGGGGCCUUUACAGACUUAAUUAAUCUUGGCAAUAGUUAAUGAAAGCUUCUACUAUCCGGGUUUGCCCUACAUGCCCACCUAGCUAACGGGUAAUCCUACGGAUUCCUUCGACAACCUUUCAUUAACCUGUCUGGAUCUCUUAAGCUUGACCUUAGUAUAACUGUUCAAACUGUCUCAAUUAUAGAUAUUAUCGCCAGUUCUUAUAGUAACUUAGUAUGUUAUAGUCCAACACAAAUAAUUUAGCCUAUCAUCUAGGCUUAGUGCAUAUAAAAAGUAAAGAUAUAAAUCGCAAAUAAGAACAGUACCUGGAGUAGAACUCCACACAAGAUGAUGUACCAACCAAGUUGAAGGCUUUUUAUUAUUCAAACUCAAAAGAUUUAUAGGAGAAAAUAUUACAAUACUAGAGAAAGAGAUAGAGAGAAAGGAGGUUUCUAAAACUUGCUUCACUAAAGAUAGCUUCGCCUCUUUAUAUAGAGGUCGAGGAAUCUAAAGCGAUAAGAUAAGGUGGCCCACGCAAUUUACAAUGGCCAAUAAUGAAAGGAUAAGACUGACAAACAAGCGUGGCCUUUCCAUUACAACAUAUAUGGCCGACAUAUUAUUCUGGCCUACUAAUCUUCUUUAUUUAAGACUUUUGGCUUAUUACCCCAAUUAUUCUAAUUUUUGUGGGGCCUUCUUUUACAUCUUAUCUUUUCCCUUGCAGGUGGCUUUGUUGGAAGAUUCUUCCACUUGCUUUGGAAUUUUUUGAGAAGAGCAUCAAUAUCAAUUUCCUCAUUGCUAUUAUCACUCUGGGCUUUUCCCGCUAUAGAUGCUUCAUCAUCAUUAUUGGUUUGUCUUGCUGACGCCAUAGAAAUAUCAUCCAUAAUAUCUAUAUCGAGAUUUUUUAUUAAAUCUCUUUUCAUUUCUUCCAAUUUCUUUUGGUCUGGUUAUCUGGAUUAGUCCAGAGUUUGUGAAGAAUACCGUGAUCAGGAUUGAAAGUAUCACCUGUCUUAAGCAUCGUGAUCUUCAUCGCGUAGAAGAUCGUGUUAGUCCAGUCCUUCGACUUAAGCAUUGUUGAUCUUCAAGGACACGAGUUGAAGGACUGGACUAACACGAUCUCCUACGCGAUGAAGAUCACGAUGCUUAAGACAAGUGAUACUUUCAAUCCUGAUCACAGUAUUCUUCACAAACUCAGGACUCAUCCAGAUAACCAGACCAAAAGAAAUUGGUAUGUUGCUAACUAUGCUCUUAACCAAAGAGAAGCCUUCAGAGAUUUAUGGAUGGCUAACAUGGAAAGAAUCGGUUGUGAGAUCGAAUUCUUCAAAUGGUUUGAAAUGACAGAAAAGAUUGAAAAUCAAAUUGAGUCACUUCAAAUGAUCAUCAACAAAUGGUAUACAACUUCCAACAAGGUAGUGGAAUUUGUUACUCCUCAUCUUGAAGGACUUAAUAUCCCUGUUGCAGGAACCAUCAUUAAGGCCUCUCCUUUCAAAGAAAAGUGUGAUAAGUCUUCCUCAUUUGUCACCCCAGCUAACAUUGACCGAGUAGUAGAACAAAACAACUACUCUAACCAAAUUCUUCAUGUCAUCUCCAGACAAAUAGAAGAGUCCAAACCAUCCAUUAGUAGGAGACCUACUCCAUCUUCUACUUUAUCCAGCCAGAACAUUAAAACUAAUCCAGGUUUCAAACUCAUAGAAUUCUCCAGAGAUAAAUUCCCUAAAUUCAAAGAUACCUUUGAAAUUUCAGGAAACAUCCUUGACAAGAUCAAUGAACAACUAACCAACUUCAAUAUUUCCACCAAAGAUGGAACUACCCAAAAGAAAUUUUCCACCCUUCAGGAGAAAUCCAAUCUCUAUUGCAGAGCAUCAGAUUUACAACAAGCUCCAUGAAAUGGAAGUCUCUAUUGCAGCCUAUAAGGUAAUGAACUCUACUGAUAGAGAAGCUGCUAUUUUAAUCGCUGCAGGUUUCACUGGUAUGUUGAAACAUUGGUGGGAUAACUACUGCAAUGAUGAGACCAAGCAUCUCAUUUAUAAUGCAACGACGACUGAAACAGAUGUCAAAACUGAAGGAACCACUGAGACUACUUCACAAGUUAAUAGAGAAAAUGCUUGUGCUACACUUCUCUAUCAUAUUGCUAAGCAUUUCAUUGGCAAGUCCAAACUCUUUCAAGAUAGGAGUCUCCAAAUCCUGAACAACCUCAGUUGUCCUUCACUUGAUCAUUUCAUUAGAUAUAAACAUCCUUUCCUCAGUAAGGUUAUGAUCCGUCCAGAUUGCAAUUUGGAUUUCUGGAAAGAACGCUUUAUAAGCGGUCUUCCUCCUCUCUUUGCUGACAAAGUCAGAACUAAAAUUCAGUAUCACAACGAUGGCCGAAUUCCUUACAGUUAAUUGACCUAUGGAAACCUCGUCAGCACCAUCAACAUUGUAGGGCUUGAACUCUGCACAGAUAUAAAACUUAAGCAUCAACUUAAAAAAGAACAAUCUACUUCUAAAAGAGAAUUGGGAAGUUUUUGUCAAGACUUCGAUUUUAUUACUCCUCAUGAUCGAGUAAAGAAAGAUAAGAAAGACAAGAAGUCUUACAGAACUAGAUCUUGAAGACGAGAUUCUACUAAGCCCAGGAAGAAGAAAUCCAGGUCCAAGAGACCUAGAGAUGCCAAAAAAGAUAUUUGUUGGACGUGUGGCAAGACAGGUCACAAAUCUAGCGAAUGUAGAUCCAACACCAAGAAGAAGAAGAUCAACCUCUUUGGCAUCGAUGAAGAUACCAAGGGUAAACUCCUUUCUAUCCUUGAUGAACCUUUUUCUGACUCUUCUCAUUCUUUUGAUGAAUACAAAGAUGAUGAAGACAUAAAUCUUGAUUAUGAAUCAGAUAACAGCCAAUCUGGCAAGAAUUGAAAUUGUACUGAAACUUUUUGUACCUGCGACAGUACUCCCCAAAACAUCAGAGUUCUUUUUGAUAAUUCUAAAAAAGCUCUUUUCGAUGUCAUUCAGUACAUCAAUAAUGAAGAACCCAAAAACAUUUUCUUCUUGAACUUAAACAUCUUAUUCUCAACACUGAUAAGCCAAAUCCCCGGUCAGUGAUUGAACCAUUCAGCAUGAAACAAAUCAUGAAUCUCGCAGACAAUCAGUCUGAACCUUCUAUUUCUGAUCUUCGCCAUAAGGUGUCAAAUCUCAAAGAAGAAAUUUGAAAAAUCAAAUCUCGACUUGGAAAAUUUGAAACGGAUAUCCUCACCGACCAGGUACUCAAGAAGGCCUUUUUACAAGAAUCCGAUUCUGACCACGAAUCUUCUCAAGGUAAUGACGACGAUUCUAUUAAUAAUGACCAUUUGGCUGAACCUUAUUUCACCCAAACAGGAAAUCACACAUCUACCUCUGUAGCUCCUGGAAUAACUGUCAUUUCUUCGGUUAGACCUCAGAGUCACUAUAUAUCUAUUAGAAUUGUAGUCAAUAAACAUUUUGUUAUUAACAAAAUUGCUUUGCUUGACAGUGGUGCAGAUCGCAACUGCAUUGUGAAAGGUUUUGUUUCAACUAAGUAUUUGUACUCCUCUACAGGAGAACUUUUGAAAAUUAAUUUGUCACGCCCCGAGCCUAUACCCUGGGCGGGACUAGAACUCGAAGACCAUUGUUGGCCGCAAGCGAACCCUUGGCCUGACUUACUUAACUCAGCGAAAGACAAUAUUCAUACUUAUAAUGUUCAAUAACACUUAACUGAAUUGAAAAAUAAAAUAACUGAGAAUGCUUCAAAGAUUAAACAUUCAACUUGGCCAAAAGUGGCAACCCAAGUCUUAACAAUAAGAAAUGAUAAUGAAAAGACUUAAAGGACUAACAUCUGACUGUCUAUGAAGCCUCUAAAACAACUGAGAUGGAUGUUGGGACAACCCCACAACAUCCUAAUGAACUAACUAGAAAGCAAUGAAAAUAGAUCCUCCGAAAUGCAAGGAGGCUCACUGACUAACUCUGAACUGCUCAAUGGAUCAAUUGUGCGCUGGAAUUCCAAUCCUAGUUACCUGUGUCUGCAUCAUAAGACGAUGCAGGCCAACUGGCAUCAAUACAUUGAAUCUACGAGUAUGCGAGUUGGAAUGCUAUAAAAAACAUAGGCUUGAAAGGGAAUCUGAAAGAAACACUUACCAGGCUCUUCUCAACUCAUGAAUACUUAACUGAACUCAUUUCAAUAUAAAGCAAUUUAAAAUAAGUGCAAUAUAAAGAAAAGUUGUUUAAAAACAUUAUGUCAACUAUGUGUAUAUACAAGGAUACAACAUAACUUUGAAAUGUAUGUAAAAAUACAAUAAACUUAUGUAUAAAUAUAUAUACAAUAACUUUUGUGGGAGUUUCUCUAGCCGACAACCAUCACAUAAGAGCUAUAGUGAUGAUACAGCGAUAUACCUCACGCUGCCAANNNNNNNNNNNNNNNNNNNNNNNNNNNNNNNNNNNNNNNNNNNNNNNNNNNNNNNNNNNNNNNNNNNNNNNNNNNNNNNNNNNNNNNNNNNNNNNNNNNNNNNNNNNNNNNNNNNNNNNNNNNNNNNNNNNNNNNNNNNNNNNNNNNNNNNNNNNNNNNNNNNNNNNNNNNNNNNNNNNNNNNNNNNNNNNNNNNNNNNNNNNNNNNNNNNNNNNNNNNNNNNNNNNNNNNNNNNNNNNNNNNNNNNNNNNNNNNNNNNNNNNNNNNNNNNNNNNNNNNNNNNNNNNNNNNNNNNNNNNNNNNNNNNNNNNNNNNNNNNNNNNNNNNNNNNNUUAUUUAAAAAAACAUACUUCUUCUGUGAUUUGAGAUUAGUACUCAAAAAAUUAGCUCAAAGGCUAUCUUAGAAAUCUCAGUUUUCCCUUCUUGCUUCAUUUAGAAACCUAUUACGCUUUUCUGAAAACUAGCUCGAAGGCUCCUUGGAAAUCUCAGUUUCCGUUCUUAUUUUAAAUGUGAAAACAUUUUUAAAUUUCUUUGGGAAUACUUAGUCCCCAUAUACUUUUGAAGAAAUGAACUUCAAACUUUUACUCUUUACUCUUUUACUCUUUUACUCAACUUGAACUUUAAGUCUUAAAACAAAGUUAAAACAUUUGGAAAACUCUAAGAACUUCUCUUGACUUGACUCUUACUGACUUUAAUCUUACCUUUCCUUGAAUUGGAUUAUGGAUUCAAGGUUCAUGAUAUCAUGUUUAUGGAUGAUUUCAUGAUGUUUGGAUGUACCUUAGAGUGUUGAAAUCAAAUGAGAAACAUAGGUACAUUCUUAAGGAACAAGUACAAAAAGGUGGGGAGCGAAUGGGGAGAUCUGGAGUCCCUGGCGCUCUGAGUGGUGCAGGGCGCCAGCCCUCAAUAUUCAGAAACUAGUCUGGGGCGCGCUGGCUGGCGCAGCACCCCAAGGAUGAACAUUCAAAGACUCUUUUGGGGCACACUUGCUGGCGCGACGCCCCACCCCUAUCCCCAGGUGUUUGACGACUUUUCUUCUUCGUUUCUCAACUCUAAACCCUCUAAACUUCAAUGGUUCUUUCCCCAAACACUUAGGAUCAUUUAUACCCUCAAUAUAUGAUAGAUUCAAACCAAAAUUACACUUGGAAACAUGAAUCAAAUCACAAGAAACUUCAACAAAACAACCCACAAGAAUUCAAACGAAUUUCAUCAAGAACUCAAAGGAUUUUACUUUCAAAUCACACAUAUUUCGCUGAAUUGAAUCAUGAUUGGCGCGUGGGUGAACUAACCCAACGCUAUGUGAUCUCACAUACCUUUUUAGGGAUCACCCCCGACGAUCUGUUAAUUUGGAAGAUAUUCCAAAAGAUAGUCCGUUAUACAGCUAAAUGCAGGCAUACUUAGCUGCUCAAAACCAAAAGGAUACUUUUGCUUCCAUCGCCAAAGAGGAUACUGAUGAUAUCAAAUCCUACAAAAAAUUACAAAAGAAAGAAAUGAUAUUUCUUUUGGAAAACUCUGAACUUCAGAGGAAAGAUGAACCAUGGAAAAUAGAACAAAUUGCCGUUGAUAUUUGUGCAGAUCACCCCAGUGCUUUUUGGAACAGAAAGACGCACAUUGUAACUCUUCCGUAUGAAGAAGGCUUCUCUGAGGAUGAUAUCACAUAAUUUGAUUAUGUAAAGCACAAGUUUUAUAAAACUCUUGAGAGAUACUAUUAAGAACUUCUUUACUAUAAGAAUAAAAAAAUCAAGUUUUAAACCGAUUCCAUUUUUCAUCAAAAAAUUCUUUUUGAAUAUGUUUUCUUGCCAGAGAACCUGGGCUAAAAUCAAGUUGGUGAGGAAUCAUUAAGAAUCGUUGGGGUCAAACUCCAUCUCAAAGACCGAAGGAAUAUCUUUAUCUGAAACAUCAUCAUUCACCUGAACUAUAUUAGUUCGAGGGUCGAUCUUUACCUUCUCCACCACAAAAUUGCUAUUAAAUACGAUAGUAUGUAAAGAAGCAGCACAAUCUCGGGUUGGACGAUAUAUAGGUUCAACAGGGGAAAUAUGAUGAAUAGUAGGCAUAAGUCUACGACUAGACAAAGAAUGUCUAUUAAAACUGUGAUUCACAGAAGACAUCAACCUGUUAUUAGAAAUGAUUGCCUUUGAGGCGCAUAGCUAUUAUCAGAAAACUGAAUACAAAUCCUCCCAUCGGGAUUUUGUGAUAUAUGAGAGAAAUCUGAAUUAGUGACCGCAUCUGUUAACUGAUUUGGGGAUAUCACCGAAUUUAGAGUCAUGAAGUUGGGAAAUCUAUUUCUUCCCACUUAAUAGGUCUCCUGGUGGUGACCUUGGACCUUGCAAAAUUGGUUUCCACCAAAAUAGUUUGAUUAGAUAUAUCAUAUAAUCUACAUCUAGGAUUAAGAGUAGAUAAGAAUUUGAAAUAAAUUCGAUAAGAUAAACUGAUGAGUUCUGAACCAGGCGCAUAAUUAUAACCAUGCGUUUGAACAUUUAAUGUUAAUGCAUCAAGUAUAUUAGCAUCAGUAAGAGAUAACUGCAAAUUAGGAUGAGUAUUAAAGUAUACGGGAGCAUAGGCCACCAUUGAUUCUAUCGAACCCAUAAUAGACUGUCAAAAAUUUGAAUUUCUAGCAUCACGAAGAGCAGCUAAAAAAGUCUCAGGUAACCCUUUAAGGAUUUAAGGUUUAAAAGCAAUUUGCACCAUACCAAUAUGCAGAUAAUUAUACUGAUUUUUAUAUAAAUUAACAUCACGCUCGUUCUCCUUUUCCCGUGAGAACCUUCGGUUCUAGAGGACUUGUUAUACUUAUCCUUAUUGUUGCUUUUAGCAGAAGGAUCGGGUAAACCGAACUGCGCACAGAAAUCUCCCAAUUGAGAUGCGACCUGGCGGUAGUUCGCCCAGUCAGAGAUCUAGCAAUUUAGCAUCCUUAAGCUAGCGGUAGUCCACCUGCAUAAGAACUUAAAUACACAAGAAUUUUUAUAUAGCUUCUCGGACUGCAUGGUGUUAAUUUUACCUAAGUAAAGGGUCUAUCAGGAAUCUAAUACAUACUUCUUAUUGAGCCCAUGUGUCUGGCAGUUCUAACCGGGUAUAAGGCGCCCUUUUCAACUCCUUAAUCGGGCUGUGAACCACGGCUAGCCAGACGGAGCCACUAAGGCAAAGCCAAUAAGAGUAGUACUGGAUCCAACUAUACCUCGAUCUCAGAACUAAAUCUAUGAGAUGGUAGUGGCAAUCUUACUAAAUCCAUUUACCCUCCUCAUUCAUCGUUUGUUUUGCCAAAUAAUACAAGUAUUACUUUUUCGGCAUUUCAAAAAUUCAUUGAAGAAGAUAUUGCUUCUAUCAGUAUUGCUGAAAUCAAUAAACUUAUUACUCAAAAUAAUUAUUUGAGUCUUUAUGUUAAAGUUUUAGGCGAGCAUAUUAGCUCUCUUGAUAAAAAACUUAAUGAUUUGACUAUUUUAAUAAAAGAUAUAAAGGCUGAUAUAGCUAAGACAAAUCUGGCUUCUACUAUAAUAAUAAUAAUAAUAAUAAUAAUAAUAAUAAUAAUAAUAAUAAUAAUAAUAAUAAUAAUAAUAAUAAUAAUAAUAAUAAUAAUAAUAAUAAUAAUAAUAAUAAUAAUAAUAAUAAUAAUAAUAAUAAUAAUAAUAAUAAUAAUAAUAAUAAUAAUAAUAAUAAUAAUAAUAAUAAUAAUAAUAAUAAUAAUAAUAAUAAUAAUAAUAAUAAUAAUAAUAAUAAUAGGGGUGAUAGGGGGCUGGGGGUAGGGGUGAGGGUGGGGUAAAAAAAUUGAAGUUAAAAAUAUUUUUUAAAAACAAGCUUUAAAUUCUUUUGGAGGGGGGUGUGGUUGGGGGGCUGGUUUGAGGGUAGAGACAAAAUAAAUUAAUUUUUUCANNNNNNNNNNNNNNNNNNNNNNNNNNNNNNNNNNNNNNNNNNNNNNNNNNNNNNNNNNNNNNNNNNNNNNNNNNNNNNNNNNNNNNNNNNNNNNNNNNNNNNNNNNNNNNNNNNNNNNNNNNNNNNNNNNNNNNNNNNNNNNNNNNNNNNNNNNNCAUUUUCCAAAACAUUUAACCCAACCAAACAUGAGAAAAUUGAAAAAUAUUUUCCGAAAAAUAUUUUCCUUCAUACCAAACACACCCUCAGUUUUGAAUUUACAUAAAUGAAACUUAUUUUAAUUUGAAUAAUUAGACACAUGUGUCCUACGUGGCGUCUUAGAUAUCAACUUGCGUUCUACGUGUCGUCCUAUGAUAAUAUGUCACGUAGGACACUACUUGUUCUACAAGUUUAAUUAAGUGUUAAUUACAUCACACUCCCAAUUUGGUGGCGUCACGAUUAGGGGUGUACAUGGCGCUAGACACAUAAAAAAUUCUGAUUUUCCUUCCCAAAAGCGCAUUUACGAAAUAAAAAAAAACUCGUAAAAUUCAAAUUCUGAACUCUUAGUUUUAUGUCUUUUAUGUUCCAGGGACAUGGCAAACCUAUGUGGUAGAAGAUCAAAGUUUAUGGUACAAAAUAGACAAAAACACUCCAAUUGAAUAUGCUGCCACUAUUUCUGUUAAUCCUUUGAGUGCCUUGAGAAUGCUUGAGGACUUUGUGGCUUUAAAAUCAGGUUUAUUAUUUAAAUUUCCUAAUUAAAAACAUGUUUAAUUAUUUUAAUUUGAUUUAAAAAUUAAUUAGUUUUUUGCGAUUAAACAGGGGACACAAUUGUUCAAAAUGGAGCUACAAGCAUAGUAGGGCAAUGUGUUAUUCAAUUAGCUCGAAUUCGUGGAAUUCAUAGCAUUAAUAUCAUAAGAGAUAAACCUGAAUCUGAUAAAAUUAAAGAAAAAAUAAUUAAACUUAGAGCUAAUAAAGUAUUUACUGAAAGUGAACUCAAAGUAAAAGGUGUCAAAAAUCUCCUGGUAUAAAUUUAACUUUUAUAUACGAACAGUAUAAUUAUUUUUUAAAUAUUCAAUAUUAUUGUCAUUCUUAGUGUUGAAUUGAUUUUCUUUUUGCAUUAGUUUGAUUUUGAUUUAAGUUUUAUUAUAAUUAUCAACAUCUUUGAACUAUAAUAUUUAUUGAACCAUUCUGAAUUCUAAGUUUAAAACUUGAAAUAAUUUAUUAAAAGAUAAAAACUAUGAAAUAGUAUAAGAAAUAUUUUAAAAUUAUAUCAAAGUAAAUAUUUUUAUGUAUAAAAUAAAAUUUUAAAAUUACAUAUAUAGUGUCGGGUUGGUUUGGUCUCGGGUUGGUUUUUUUUAGUUAAAACCAAACCAACCCAAAUAUAGUUGGGUUUUUUUUCCAAUAACAAACCAAGUCAAACCAAACACUAGUCGGAUAUUUUUUUUCAGUUUAACUCGAUUUGCGAUUUGGUUCGAUUUUCUACACCCCUAGUCACGAUUAUUAAUAGUAAAAAUAAUAGCAAAAUAAAAGUUUAUUUGACAAUAGCAUAAAAAGGUGUCAAGAUUGAAAUAAUUUGACUAUCAUAGUUUUUGUUGUUUAUUUAACAUUAUAUAGAUUUUGUUUGCGAUAACAUAUUCAAUAAAGGGAUAUGUUUGUGGAUCUUUUAGUUGAACCAGAAGGUUCGACAUGAAUUGUGGUGAGAUGAUUGAGAUUCUUUUACUCUUAAUAGAAAUUUUAGGUUUGUGCUUUUGAAAAUGAAAGAACUUGAAUUGUCAUCUUCAGAAUUAAGUCCUGCUAGAUACAAUUUCAAAUUUAAUCAAGCUUUAUCAAUAGUAUUGAACACAUGAUAUAAUUAUUCUUUUAAAAGAUGGUUCUUUUAACGUGUUCCAAAUGUAGAAGAAGAGACAAGUGUAAUUGAUUAAUAAAAUAGUCUUAUUAAAUAAAAUUCAUUAUUUAAAUGUACUAUUUUUUAGGAUUUUUCUCCUUUGUAAUCACGUAUAAAUAAUUGAUUAUCCCUUGCAGUCUUGUCGUGAUAUUUGAAGCAUCAUUAUGUCAAAAUAUAAAAAGAUAUUUGAAGCUUUUUUUGUUUUUUAGUAAAUCAUAUAUAUACACCCAUUUUGCCCCCUAAUUUUUAUAAGUAGAAUAAUUUCACAAUGGUUGUUUCAUUUUUUAUUUUAUUAUAUAAACAUUUUAAAAUUACAUUUAUAACAAAAAAGUCACUCAACUUAAUUUAAAUAUUACAAGAGUCAAUAAAUUAUUUUUUAUAUGAAAAACAUUUUAUUUUUAUUAGGUACCGUAGAAAAUGUCUCCUCUUAAUUUUAAGUAAAAUUAAGUGAUUUUCUUGUUACAAAUAAUAGUAGUUUAAUGAUUUUCAUAAUAUUUGAGUAAAACUGACUUUUUGUUAUGAAGAAAUAAUUUACAAAUUUUGAUAUAGUAAAAUGAAUAAAAAAAAAAUUUGAUGAUCAAAAUUGAUUCUUUCAUUAACAAUACAUUUUUUUUAACGAUUUGUUACUCUCACUCCUAUAAUUAUAUAUAUAAAAAAGUAAUUUAUAAUUUUAUAUUAUUCUUGAUCUUCUGAGCUUCGAAUAUAGGGGAUGAUUUUAUACCAGUCUAAGGGUAUGUUCGGUAUGAAGAAAAAUAUUUGUUUUUAAAAUUUCUUUUCUAUAAGAUUUUGGUUGAAUCUAAUCAUGGUUAAUUGUUGAGAUUAUUUUGUAAAGUUGUAUAUUAAAUUUGGAGUUGCUUGGAGAUUAUUCAAAAAAAAAAUCUAAAUUAAAAAUGUGUGUAAAAUUUUUACACACUAAAUUAUAGUGACUCGUCAUAAUUAUAUAGUCAAUCCCAACAGUUUAUCGUGAUCUAUAAUCAUAAUUUGGUGAUCCAUCAGGAUUUGACCACUAAUCCUAGUGAAAUUUAUCCAGAAUUUUGUGUUGUUUUUUCUUUAAUUCGGUGUUUGGAGAUUGAUUGGAACUCCAAUUAAAUUUGAAUUGCAUACUGCAGGGCCCAUUCGGAGGUGGCGCUCCCAACAUGAUUGUCUUCAUAUACCGGCCUCGAACUCGAGAUAUCUGAUUAAGGGUGAAGUAGUCUCACUAUUGUACCAUAACUCAUGUUGAUGGAUUUUGUGAUUAAAUUUGAGCGAUUCACUGGAAUUUAAUCAUAAAAAUUGUAGAAUAUUACUGUGUCAUGGCAAGUUUUGCACCUUAAUUUAAAAUUAUAUUGACACUUUUACUGUGUUAUAUACUAUUUAUAAGAAAAUUAACGGAAUCAAAUGUUGAGUUGACCUGGCCGUUAAAAGUAAUAUUGAAAAACGGAAUGUACCUAGCAUAAAAAAUUUCAUAUAUAUCUGUCUGCAUUGCUUCCCUAGCACACAUCUGUUGGGAUAUAUACUAUUAACCACAUAUUUAGAUAUAGUAUUUAUUAUAGAAUAAUUAUUUAUUUAUUUUAAUAGAUCAUAUAUUCGUUUAUGGUGUUUAUUUACUUAUAUAGUAGAUGAUUUAGUGUAUAGAGUUUAAGCUUAUACAUAGAGGAUUAAAUCAUUGGUUCUUAUAAGUAUAAAGUUUUUUUGUUCACAAUCUAAGAUGGAAUUUGGACAUGCCAUCGGUACGAUUGUAGCACAAGAUUAUAUGUAGUUUAUCUUGAUUAUGGGAAUGGUAUAGUUCCAACUUCUUGUGCUAGUGCAUUUUGUAUGUAUUGAACGGGACCGAGUAGAGAUAGUUGCUUUAGACUGACUGACAAAAGCAUAUUCUCUAAACUAUUAAAUGUACUUAUAUUCUUAAUCCUGAUAUAACUAUUAUGAUAUGUAUAUGUUAAUCAUCGUUUUGAUUUAUUAAAAGGUGAGAUUCUAANNNNNNNNNNNNNNNNNNNNNNNNNNNNNNNNNNNNNNNNNNNNNNNNNNNNNNNNNNNNNNNNNNNNNNNNNNNNNNNNNNNNNNNNNNNNNNNNNNNNNNNNNNNNNNNNNNNNNNNNNNNNNNNNNNNNNNNNNNNNNNNNNNNNNNNNNNNNNNNNNNNNNNNNNNNNNNNNNNNNNNNNNNUAUCUGUAAUCUUAACAUGGGGAAUUACAUAUGUGUCUAAUGGGGAAUUUUGAAAUAUAAAUAGAGGAGUGCCGAAUUUCUAGUGGAAUGAUUUGUAAUUUAUUAUGGUAAGAAUAAUUUAAAUUAAUUAUUUGGANNNNNNNNNNNNNNNNNNNNNNNNNNNNNNNNNNNNNNNNNNNNNNNNNNNNNNNNNNNNNNNNNNNNNNNNNNNNNNNNNNNNNNNNNNNNCUACCGUGCCCAUAUUUAUCUAGAACUCAGAAUUUAUUGUAAAGGGAAAAAGGAGAAGUAUGUGUCUUUCUCUAUUCUAAGGAAAGGGAGAAGUAUGUAUCUUUCUAUGUUCUAAGGCAAGGGAGAAGUAUAUCACUUUUUCUAUUCUAAGGAAAGGACGAAGGACAUGACUUUUUCUUUUCUAAGGAAAGGGAGAUGUACAUGUCUUUCUAUUCUAAGGAAAGACAUGGUAUUCCUUUUCCUUGGACUAAGAAGAAAUCUCUAUAAAUAGGGAUUCUUCUAACCCUUGAAAAAAGAUAAUUUUUUCCAUAAAAUACUUGUCCACCCAAGUAUUGAGAGGGUUCGGAAGUGAACUUGGGAUCACUGUAGAAGACCGUAGAACUGUGGUCUAGUUUGUGGACUAGCUUAUGAAUUUGCUUGAAGUUUCUAGCUUGUUGACUAGCUUGUGGAUUCACUUGAAGGUAUCGGCUCACGCUUCAAGAGGUAAUUCUGAAAUUAAAUUUAGAAAGUUUAUAUGCCCUAACAUGAUUGUACUUGUUCUAGUAUAAACAAUGUAUUGUCUAUUAGUCAUGUAAGUUGUAUGAUUAUGAUAUGCUUCCGCUGUGCAUAUAGUUUUCCAACAACACCAAUAGAACUUUCAAAAAUUAAUGAGUAGUUAAUACAAUACUAGAUAGGGCAUGUCCCAUGUCUGAAUGUUGAGUUGUUAUGUGGCUGUCAGCAGUGACGGAGCCAGAAUUUUCAAUAAGGGAUUCAAAAUAUGAAGAAAUAGACACACAAAGUAGCUGAAGGGGUUCAAAAUCUACUAUAUAUACCUAAAAAAUUAUUUUAACCAUGUAUAAAUAGUAUAAUUUUUCACCGAAGAGAGUUCCUGAGAAUAGGGUGACUCCACCACUGGCCGUCAGUACUAAUAUUAAAAAACCUAGCAUAAAAAGUUUCAUCUAUGUCUGCCUGCAUUAUUUUUAUAGUACACACUAGCUAGUAGAACUUUCAAAAAUUAGUGAAUAGUUAAUACAAUAUAUAUUAGAUGGGGCAUGCCCCAUGUCCAAAUGUUGGGCCGUUAUGUGGUCGUUAGUACUAAUAUUACACCACCGCACGACAAUUAAUCUAUUGAUACUAGUGUGCACUACUGAAACACACUAGUAGUAAUAUUACAAAACAGAAUUAUCCCUUGAUUGAUUAUUGCAUGCCAUGUGUCAUCAAUCGAUGCCAAUGAUAUUGUAAAUUAUUCAACUUAUGAAAUAAUAUUUUUUCCGUUUAUUUUUAUUUGUCAAAUAUUGACUUGAUACAUUUUUCAAGGAGCAAUAAAUAUAACAAUAAUUUUAUUAUAUCAUUUUAAAAAUAUAAUAAAUUCAAUAUUUUGAGAAAUGCAUUAAAAAUGACUAUUGCUAAUAACAAAAACAAAUUAGAAACUAAGCAAUAAAUUAUCUUUUGAUUUUAAAUUUUAAUAGUCUAUAUGAUCAAGAGUAUAGACAAGUAAACAUACUUCUAUUGAUUAAAAAAACGCAUAAUGUAUCAAUGUCUUUUAAUUUGGGUUUAGUUGAUAUCUAUGUUCCUCAACCGUGGAUGUGUACAAAUAGACAUACAUAUUCCAAGUGGCAUGAUACACAUAGAACAUAAGUUAUCACGUAGGAAGCAUAUGUUUAUUUAUUCAAUUUUAUAUAAAUUUAAUUAUCAACUUAUACAUAUUUAAAAUUGAAGAACAUAAAUAUUAAAUAAAAUUGAGUUAAAAAAAAAAUAUUUAUACAUUAUACCAAAAAAAAAGAACUCAUAAGAAUAACAAUGGGGCAUGGAUUGGCUGCUGCUUGAUUUACUAAAAAUGAAGUGAAGCAACCUACAUUAUUAGGUCCAAAAUAAAUUGGUCAAUCAAUAUAUGCGCAGGCCCCGUUUGGACCUAAUAUAUUUUGCUUUUUAAAUUGGAGUAAUAUAUUUUGUCAAAUUCUCACUUUCAAGUUUGAAUAAACUUUAUUCAAAUCAGUUUUAAACUAGUUUUUGAAUUUAAAAAAAAAAUCCUCACAAAGCUUCAGUAGUUUUACAAAUGAAAUGUGUUUUCAAACACAACUUUAAUAACGGCCUUUUAGGUCACAGUGAUUGCGUGAUUGAGGAGUUUUUUAUUGAACACUAGGUUAAGAGUUCAAGACUGAUAAACAGAAGAAAAUCAAUAUUAUAGGUAUUUAAUUAAAAAAAGUCAAUUUUUAAUUACUCUUUCUUAAUUAUGCUAUAGUGGUUAUGGUUGAAUUUGACCUUGUCAUGUGCUACACCGUCUUCUAUUGAUAUUUGAAAUUUCAAUUGUUAUGAUACGAUUCAUCUCUAAAUGGUGAAUGUAAUAUUAGUACUAACAACAUUAGGUACUAAUCCCGAUUCUUGAAUUUGGCUCCAUGCAUUUACCUUGUUAUUGAUGAAAUGAGUGUUUAAAUUUGUGUUUCUCUUUUAUGAUAAUAUAGUUAAUUGACAUUAAUAAAAUUAAGAGAAGGAUGCAAGAUUUAACCUAUAGUAACCAUAUAAAAAACUUAUUAGUCUUACAUGCUCAUGUGUUGACAUUAUAUUUGGAAAAGCUCAUCAGAAAUAAAUAUUCAUCCACAAUCAUAAAAGAUUGAUAUAUUUAGCUUUUACGUUCAAGACUCAGACACUAAAUUAAUGAGCAAUUUUUUUUUAAAAUUAUUUAUUUCAUUUUAAGUUAUAUUUUUGAAUUUGAAUAUAAUAUAAUCGAGUUUGAUUAAAAAAAAUUAAAAGUCAAGCAAUGUUUGGUUCGUGGGCUAGUUAUGAAGAUAGUAUUGAUGAAUUAAUUGUCUAAUAUGAAUUAUUAUGUGGUAAAUAAUAAUAUAUAGAAUGUCAUGUAUCUAUUCAUUUAAUUUGUGCAUUUUUGUAUUAAUAACUCUUAGCCACAUAUUACUAGUAUAUAUAUAUAUAUAUAUGUGUGUGUGUGUGUGUGUUGGAGUAUUAUUUUAAUUACUUUAUCUUAAUUCUUACAUAAUCAACUAAAUGACAUAUAUUUUUUGUACGAUUUUACAUGAUACUAUUAUAAUUUAAAGUCAAAUAACUUUUUGCUUGACUACAAGUAUGUGAAUAAAUAAAAUUAUCAUUUACACUACUUUUUAUCUAACUUAUGAUUUUGUACUUUAUAUUUAAAAGAAAUUGAGAAUAUAUUAUCAAUGAGAAAUUUUAUCCAGAAAUUAUUUUCGUCAACAUAUUUAAUAAAACAAUUUUUAUAAAUAUUUAAAUUAUGUAAAUAAAUACUAAAUGUUCCAUAUUUUCGAAUCUUAAUAAUUGAGAAUAAACAAUAUCCUAGUCAUAAUCGUUUCAAAACUUUUAUUAAAUUUUAAAUUAAAAACAUGAAUUUCCAAACUUUUUAACCCUCUUUAUUCUUUUUUUUAUUGCUUUAUUUUUUUAUAAUGACCCUUUAGGUCUUAGAGGGUUAAGUUAAUUAUAAAUCACUACUUUUUCUUUUGGUCCCAAAGUGGUCCCCAACACACUCACUCUAAUUCCCUAUAGCAAUGCCACUUGUUCCACAACAGAUGAACAAGUAUUUCUCUUCUUUUUUUUUCUGGCUCGUCAAAAUAACAGUGUAGACAUUGAAAUUUUGUGGGACUCUACAAGAUGUGUUCAAUUCGAGUUGGGACUCUACUGAUUGGGUUCAACUCAAAUUAGGAUUCUUGGAGGCUACUCAACCCUAAACCCUAGUUUAUGCCUAUAUAAAGGGUACUAAAUUCUCUUAAAAGGCAUCUCAAAAAUUCCAUAAAGAGAUCAAAAUCUCGAAAUAUUCCACAAAAGUCAUGGAAUAUUCAUAUAGAGGUCAAAUCUAAAUCAUCCUAGUUCAAGAAAUACGGCUCUAACGGCCCUCGAAUCAUGGAUAAAUCUUAGGAGAGGAGAAUCAAGGGAUCAACAGAUUUGUACAAGAUGUGUUCAAUUUGAGUUGGAACUCUACAAAUUGUGUUCAACUCAAAUUAGGAUUAUUGGAGGCUACUCAACCCUAAACCCUAGUUUACGCCUGUAUAAAGGGUACUAAAUUCCCUUAAAGGCAUCUCGAAAAUUCCAUAAAGAGAUCGAGAUCUCGAACAUUCCGCAAAUAGACGGAAUAUUCAUAUAGAGAGGUCAACUCUAAAUCAUCCUAGUUCGAGAAAUACGCCUUCCAUCGUGCUAUGAGCGGACAAUUCCGAAGAAAUGGUAAGAUAUGGGUAAGAGUUCUCGCAGAUAUCCCUAUUACGGCCCUCGAAUCAUAGAUAAAUCUUAGGAGAGGAGAAUCAAGGGAGGAACAGAAUUGUACCCGCAUAUUUAUCAAUAAAGUUAUGUUUCUUCAUAUUUUAUUUGUGUGGUUUAUUUAUUUUCCAUAUGUUUAAAAUUUGUUGCAAACAAACAGAUGAUAAUAAAAAUCAAAAGCAAGAUAAUAUAUACGAUCAAACCCAAAACAAAUUGCUGAUAAGUAAGAUAAUAUUCUACUAUCUACUAUGAAAAAGAAGACCAGAAAGGGAAAGAUGGUACUUGUUCUUGAAGAUUCCAUGAUACAGGGGAUUUCCUUACCCCAAAACAUCGAUAAAAUAUUAUGUUAUCAAAAUACUAAAUGAAAGGAACGAAAUUAGCCGUCUGUGAGAGGAAUGUUGGAGAAAUCAUGAUGACAUAACUAUGUUUUACAUGCAAACAUGACCUAAUUUAUGAACCUCAUUGUGGCUAUGGACAAGUAAUGUAAUGACCUAAUCUGUAGGGAUGGCAAUUGGUACAUGUUAAAGGGUUAACGGGGCAGGGAAGGGCAAGCGGGUCAAAGCUUAAAUUUUCAAUAAUUUAAAUAGGGGAGGGCAUGGACAGGUUGUGUAUUGGGUAAUAGCAGGGGGGAGUCCUUUAUUGAUCUCAUUCGCUUUCACAUUCUGAAAAUUACCUCCAUAAUCUAACAUUUAUGGCUACAACAUAAACUAUUAUUACUAUUUCUUAUUCCUCUUUUUCCUAUCCUACUUUUUCAUGCUCACUGGUCCUUUCACGCACACAGAGAAAAGGUCAAGACAUACCCUGUCCUAACCCGCCCUAUUUACAUCCCUACUAAUCUGCCCUUUUAGGUAUAAAAUAGGGGAAAAAACUAUGUUAAGGGUAGGUGAAGACGAGGUCUUGAGAAGGGCACCAUGAAGUACUUUCUGAAGAUGGCUAUUGUUGAUGUCUCAAGUCACUAAAGGAUUGUUGAAUUUCCAACUUGUUUCUCAUGUUACAGUUAUAGCUAACUGAUUUCUUCCUUGAUAUUGGAACAGGGGUACCGGCAACAAACUGGAAAUGGUAUGUCUCUUUCCUUCAAGUUAUAUACUGGUCAUGGAGAUCACCCAUUGCAAGAAAAAAUAGGGAUUUUUUAUGGGAGCUUCACUGUGUUUGUUUUCCUUUCACCAUCCUUGCAUUUUAAUGAGACUGAUAUUUCAUUGAUGAGUCCAGUCAUGGGGGAAAUAAGUGAAAAAACAAAGAAAAUGGGGGAAAUAACUUUAGAAAUAAUGUUGUGUUCUUGAUGAUCUUUAUCAUUAUCGAUCUCAAAAUUCCUCUAAUUUUCGUUCUUCAGAUGAUAACGAAAAAAAUGGUAGAACAAGAACUAGAUUCAGCUCUGCUAGAAACAAUUCUCUUAGUUUCUCAUCACCUUUCUCUUCCUCUCUAUCCAUUAAUUGUUCUUCAAGCUUCAUCGUCGUAGAUUCAGCCACUUUUUUUUCACUCAAAAAUAAUGUCAAGUAAGAAAAAAAUAUGUAGUAUUUUUUUAUCAUAGGAAAAUGCCUUGUUGCUAUGUAAAUAGUAACUGGGAUUUGGAAACCAUAAGAAGAAUAAAGGACAAUUAUAUAUAGCUUUAAUAUGUGGUGCCUAACUCUUUUUUAGUCAUCCAUCAUUUUUUUAUGUAACAAUAACCACAAUUUCAUGUAUUUUAGGAAAAUGUUUGGCUAAUAGAUUUGGUUGGUUUCUUUUUUUGUUCCUUUCUUUCCUCCCAUAAUUUUUUAAAAAAAUAUUUGCCUUUGCACAGUAUUUUUCUAUCAUCACGAAUUAUUAGUAUUAUCUAAAUGUUGGGGAAUGAAUUAAAAUAAAUAGGGUAAAAUAGGUAUAAAAUUAAAAAAAUAUUUCUUAAUUUUUCAAACUGAAUAAGUUAAUAUAGAUAUUUAUUUUUAAUAUAAUAAUCAAGUAAAAUAGACAUUAAAUAGUGAAUAAACAUGUAUUAUGAUGUGAUAUAUAGUUAUACAAAGUCAAAUUGCAUUAGGUAAACAUUUAAUUAAAAACAUUCAAAGUAGGUGUAAUAGUUUACUUGAAUGAUGUUACUUGUACAAUAUUAAUAUUUAAAUAAAUGUUACUUGUACAACAUAAAUGAUAAAGAAUUAAAAAGAUAUUCAUCUUCAAUUUAAGUUGGAUAAUGAUAGAGAAGUAGAAUAUAUUCAUAACGAUUUAUUUCUCAACUCAAAUUCAAAUUAAAGAUAAGUGAGAUAAUGAUAAUAAUUGAAAAGACAUUUAUCUUCGAUUCAAAUUCAUUAACUAUUAUUGAAGAUAAAUACUACCAUCUAGGGGCUGGAAGCACACACCAAUUGGUCGACACGUGUGCUUCUGGACAUUAACAUUUCAUUUAAGGACAAUUUAGUUAUUUAUUUUAUUCGCGCUUCGCGCGAAAUAAAAAAAAUUACACCGCCAGUUUGGUCAUAAGAAAUUAUAAAUUAAAUUUCUUUCUGAAAAUUUUUACUUUAUUUGAAUAUCAAUUUGAUCAUGAAAAUUCGAAUUAAACUUUAUUUAUAUUUUGUUUUUAAGCAAAUAUAAAAAAAAAAUUAUGCAUAAAAAUAGCUUUUUGACAGACCUUUCACUAUAUAUUUGUCCACCCAAGUUAUUUAUAUAUUUAGUCUUUGCUACUCAAGAAAUAAUUAAAUGAAAACAUGAUAUCAAAAAUUUCUCAAAAAACACACUUUAUUAUAUCACUCAAAAAUGAAUAUAAACUAAACAAACUUUCAUAAGUUUUCUACUCAUACUCACCACUCUAAUAUUUUGGAUUCAUGAAUUGAAGAUGUUUCAUGAAAUGUUGCAUUUCAUGAAACAAUGUAGGUGUACAUAUAGUGAUGUUUAAAUUCCUUAAUUAAGUUAUGAAGUUUUUUAAAUUUUCAAAACUCAUAAUACACAAAGUAAUGCUAUAACGGAAAUAAUAUGUUCAAUCUAUUUGAGAAUUUUUAGAAAAGACAACGAAAUAAAUAUACAUGCUUCAUUAACUUGGUAGAUAGGCUAUUAAUCCAAAUCAGUAGAAGAAUUGUAUGGCGUAUUAAUAAAUAUGAAUUAUCAUAUUGAAAAAAAGAGAUGCUAUCAAAAUUCAAAAGCCACUUCAUUAGACCAUUUAUUAUACUUUCUUAAACAUAAAUUUAUGUUAACAUAUUUAUUGAAUUUCAAUUAACAUUACAAGUUCAUAUGAGUUACAAUAUUUUCACCUCACUUAUUUUCUCGUAUUCCUCGUAAAUUUACAUUGAACAUUCUAUUAUAAAUAUUAAGUACCAAUAUUUUUGAAUGAAUAAUAAAUCAUGUUUUCAAUCUUCAAUUUUUUUUAUCACGUGUCCAAUUUAUUUCACAAUUAAAGUGUUAAAUGAAAGAAUGGUGCAAAUAAUAUUUUAUUUCAUAAAGCGAUAUCAUAUCAUCUUAUCUAUUCCUAUCUAUAUAAAAUUAUGUGUAACUUAAAAAUAUCUAAAAAUUGUCAAUCCAUAUAAUUGGCCUUAUUAAUUAAUUAAGAACGUGUUGGCAUAACCUUUCUAAUACAAGUCAAGCUUUAAGACGAUGAUGGUGUGGAUGGUGGUAGAGUUGUCAUUAUUUUUGUCUUGACUUUUCUUCUUGAAAUCAUUCGUUUCUUGAUCUUUUUUGUAUUGUUAGGUUUUUUCCUUCCUCUUUUUGAAAAUUAAAUGAAAAAAAUUAAGUUUUUUAUUGAAAAAAAAUAUUUUUAAGUAUUAUGAAUGAACACAUGGAAAGAAAUCAAGAUUUUUUUAGAAAAAGACGUUAUGAGAUUAAUAUAAUAUAAAUUUAUAUCACUCAUAUCAUUUGAUGAAAAUUUAUAAAGUAAAAAGAAUUGAUGGAAAAUAAUUAUAGAUCGUGAUAACAUACUCUCUGAAUAUACUACCUGUGAUGUCUUCAUCAUCAUCUACAACAAAAGUUAAAAUAAAUUAACAAAAGGAAAAAUAAAAAAAUCCUAAAAGUCCAUCAAUAAAUUAAACAACAUACAACAUAUAUAACAAAAGUUCUACUGAGAUUAACAAAAGAAAAAAAGAAAAAUUCUUUAAAAUCAUCAAAAAAGAAAGGUAUAAAAUAAUUAUGCAUUUAUAUUGAAUAAAAGAAGAAAAAAAGGCACAGAAUAAAAUGUUUUUAAUACCUUAGUGUAGGUUUACUUUUUCUGUCCAUCGCAUUGGACAUAAAGAUAAUUUAAACCAUUGUCAAUUUUUUCUUCAAUUAAAUGAAUCAAAGACAAACUGAAAAGAAAAUAAAAAAUAAAGUACUUGAAAGUAUUAUAUUUUUAAAACUCCGAAACAUUUUUCACACUAUUGUAUAUUUAUACUACUUCAAAAACAACCAAAACAGAAAGAAGUGGGCAAAUUAUUACCAUGAAAAUGCAGCUUCAUAACCAAAAUAAUAUUUAAUAGUAAAAGUUUUCACGUAGAUUUUUGUCUCUUUGAAUUUGUUUGUAACAAAUCUCAACAAUGAAUUUUCAUCGUCUAUAAUUACAUUGAACAAUUACAAGGUAUUAAUACAUCUUUUCUAGUCUAGAAGGUAAAUGCAAUUAGAUGUGACUAUCCAAGAAUCAAAACAUAUUUCAAAUUAAGCUAAAGAAGUAAUAAUAUAAGUAAGAAAGCAGACAAAAAAUGUAGAGAGAUAAGAUAGAAGAGUUUUCUUUUUCUUCCAAGUAUAUUUCAGUGUUUCUCAAAUCUUCAAGUGUAAAACAUAAUCCGCAAGACCUCUAUUUAUAUUGUUACAUAAAGACAUAUAGAGGGAUAACAAUAAACAUGACAUUAAUUCUUGAGAAUGUGGGGAAGAUUAAGGGGUGUGAAAGAUAAAAGAGGAGGUGGUGGAGGUGUGAGUUUAUUACAUAUAAUGAUGGAAUUACAUCUUGAAAUUAUGGAUAUCUACAUUAAUAUAACAUAUUUUUACAAUAAAAGAGUAAUUAUUCAACAAUUAUAUAAAUAUUAACUACAUUAAAAAUGAGGAGAAAAACUAACAAAUGCCCAAAAGAAAAAAAAAGAUAAAUAGGAAUGAAGGCUAUAGAUAGUAAUAAUAAUUGUCAUUUUAUUUUUUAUAUAAUAAGAAAAUACCCAAAAGGCAAAAAAAAAAAAUGAUGAUACUUUUAGUUUUUCAAAUUAUGAGAAUUGAGUGGAGUAGUAAAUUUUUAGACAUUUAAUUUUGUACAUUAAAGAAUAAAAUAAAUGGAGGAGUAGUAAUUUUCAUUUUUCUUUUUUGUAUAAUAUAAAAAAAUAUUUGACAUGUGAAGAGUCUUUGAUAUAUAUAAAUGUUUCUUCAUUAAUAUAAUAUUUAUUUAUAAUAAAUUAAAUAAUACUUUCACAAUAAAUUAAAUAUUUAAAUAUGAAAAAGGAUCCAAAAAAGAGAAAAAAGAAAAAUGGGAAUGGAGAUCAUAGAGAGGUGCCACAUCACCUUCUCUAUGUUUCUCCUUUGAUCUUGCUCACUCCAUACAGGACACGAUUAGAUAUUACACGACAAAAUGAGUAGAAGUACUAUUCAAUUGCUUCGAAAAAAAUUCAAACCUUGUCACACCGCGAUACAUAGAAGCUCCUCUCGAGAAACCACUACUUUUCCUGAUAUCCAUGUACAAAAUUCCUAUAGAGUAUUAAUAUCGAUACCAUAUGGAAGUAACACAACAACAAUGUGGUACGUAAAGGGAAAAGCCCGUGCACCUUCUUAGGGAGGCGAUGAAUUCUUGCUUCGUCAUGUGCUUCAUUUCCUCUAUUUCUUUGGUAUAAUCCGAAGCCUGGAAAAUAUAUCAGUUAAAACUAAAGGUCGAACAUCCUUCAACGACUACGUAACUUUUCGUGCAAGUAAUUUAAUUGACCAUAUGAUAAAAGUGUAGUAUAUUACAGGGAAAUUGGUUGUGGCUGUUGUACCCCAAUACUUUAGAUCCGUGUGACAUUUAUUUAAUUAAAAAUACUCUAAAGUUUAUCUUUAAAAAUAUAUAAAACACAACAAUUGUGAAACAUGCGAAGCUUUUGACUUUCUCUUGAUAUAUUACUCCAUAUAUUAUAUACUAGAUAAUGUAUAGCACGGGCCCAAUAAUAUAAAUGGUAUGUUUUGGGGAUAAUAACCGAGUUUUUGAAGCGAUUGUUUGCGUGGAUAAAUGAAUAAGAUUUUUUAUCACAAACUUGUACUUUCUUUGACGCAAUUUAAGGCAUAAUAAGACUACCCACAUACAACAUUUUUGAAAUAUUUUAUGUUGUCAAUUAUCAUGAUUUAUAGUAUUUUUACGAUAGAUUCACUUCAAGAAUCAGUGGAAUUUUUUGUAUUUUUUUCAAAACAUAUUUUAUAUUGUCAAUUAUCAUGAUUUAUAGUAUUUUUACGAUAGAUUCACUUCAAGAAUCAGUGGAAUUUUUUGUAUUUUUUUCAAAACAUAUUUUAUAUUGUCAAUUAUCAUGAUUUAUAGUAUUUUUACGAUAGAUUCACUUCAAGAAUCAGUGGAAUUUUUUGUAUUUUUUUCAAAACAUAUUUUAUAUUGUCAAUUAUCAUGAUUUAUAGUAUUUUUACGCAAUUUUUAAAUAUAAAAAAAAUAANNNNNNNNNNNNNNNNNNNNNNNNNNNNNNNNNNNNNNNNNNNNNNNNNNNNNNNNNNNNNNNNNNNNNNNNNNNNNNNNNNNNNNNNNNNNNNNNNNNNNNNNNNNNNNNNNNNNNNNNNNNNNNNNNNNNNNNNNNNNNNNNNNNNNNNNNNNNNNNNNNNNNNNNNNNNNNNNNNNNNNNNNNNNNNNNNNNNNNNNNNNNNNNNNNNNNNNNNNNNNNNNNNNNNNNNNNNNNNNNNNNNNNNNNNNNNNNNNNNNNNNNNNNNNNNNNNNNNNNNNNNNNNNNNNNNNNNNNNNNNNNNNNNNNNNNNNNNNNNNNNNNNNUGUUUUCUUAAAAAUAUAUUUGAAGUUAUUAAAUUGUUGUGAUUUAUAUUAUUUUUGCGUUAGUUUUGAAUAAUAUAGGUUACUCAUGUUUCAAUUCACGUGAAUAAUCAUAAAUAUUUUCAGUUGUUAAUUUAUUGUGAAUUCUAGAAAUUUUGACGUUAUUUUCAAAUAGUACAUGUUACUUAUUCUAUUCCAAUUAGUCAACCAAAUUUCUUAUAUGAUUUAAAAAUAUUUUUAAUUGCUAAUUAUUGUGAUUUAUAGCAUCUUUUAUGUAACUUUUAAUAAUAUAUAAUUUGUUCAAAUUCAUAUGAUAAUGAGGUCAAAUUUUGGGCUAAUAAAGUAGUAGGUAAUUAAUGGUGUUAAAUUAUCCAAUAAUAUAAAUUUUAAAGGUACAACCAUAAAAGAAGAAUGUACAACAUUAUCAAGCACAUAUCAUCCAACACUUGUCAUGUGGUAAGUAGUAGAUAUUCCCACUUAUUAUAUAUAGUAAAUAUAUAGAUUCUAUUUUUUUAUGCUUGUAUUAUUUGUACGCUUUGAAAAUUGUAUGGUUCAAGAACAUUUUUUUUAAUUCCUAUUAUGUCAUUGUGUUGAUAAUGUGUUUGGUUGCAGUACUUUUUCAAACUUCCAUUUACCCCUUCUUUUCCACUCUUUUACAUAAAUUCACAAAUGGACUUUGGUAAAUACUCCAAUAAUAGUUGUUCGUUAUUGAUUUGACACAUUCCUUAAUUAUCCUUUGAUUUUAUUAAAUUUAAUGCUUUGAGAAAUGUGUUAGACGAUAAAUAGUACUCCGUCCGUUUCACAAAGAAUGGUCUAGUUUGACUUGGCACGGAGUUUAAGAAAAUAAAGAAGACUUUUGAAUCUUGCGGUCCUGAAUUAUAGUUAUGUCAAAUGUACAAAAUUUCCCUUAAUCUUGUGGUCUUAAACAUGCCACGUGGAAAGUUCAAUUAAAAAUGUUACCAAAAAAAGAAAGAAGUCAUUCUUUUUGAAACAGAUUAAAAAGGAAAGGAGAUCAUUCUUUUUUAAACAGAAGGAGUAUUUAAUAGCAAGGGUAAAAUAAACAAAAAAGGUAAAUUAUCUCUUGAUUUUCUAAAUUGGACAAGCAUUGCUGGACAACUAGUUUUAGUAUAGUAGACAACUAUUAUUGGACAGAUGGAGUACAUUGAAUAAUUGAGCCUUUUUCAAUGAAAAAAGAUCCAAUCAAGUAAUGUUCAAUGAGCUUUUAGAUUAGUAUCAUGUGGAUCAUAAAAUAAUGUAUGGUUGAGAUUCAUUUCAAAUCUUACACUGACCAUAAAAGCUAAAAAUAAUAAAGUAAAACUAACGUUAUCCAUUAAAUAAUUCGAUUAUUUUAGAUUUACACCAAAUAGCACCCUAUUCGAAAAAAUAGCACUAUCUAGGAGAAUUUUUUUAAUUCAGUGAGUAAAUUACCACUGUCAAUGUCUUAAUUAGAAAAAUGGCAGUGGCAGUGGCAUUUUUUUUAAUUAAGACGUUGACAGUGACAAUUUACUCACUGAAUUAAAAAAAAAUCCUCCAGAGAGUGCUAUUUUUCGAAUAGGGCGAUAUUUGGUGUAAAUGUUCAAUAAUCGAAUUGUUUUAAUAAAUAUUGUUAGCUUUACUUUUACUAUUUUUGGAUUUUCUAUUAAGUUUAAGAUUUGAAAUGAAUCACAACCAUACAUUAUUUUAUGAUCCACAUGACAUUAAUCUAAGAGGCAAUUGAGCAUUACUUAACUGAAUCUUUUUUUCACUUUUAAUAGUGUUUCUAUGUUUUAUAUUAUAGAAAAAAAACUACUUUUUAAAGUUUUUGAAAAUAACUUCUCCUACUUUUCAGAUACAUUUAUUUUCUUCAAAAGCUUGGUCAAACACCUCAUGUUUUUAAAAUAAACAUUUUUUGAUUGGAAAAAAAAUAAUACUUUUAGCCUCUCAAAAAAUUUGAUCAGAUAGACUAUAAGUUUGAACAAUUUCUUAAGAUUUAUUUUUUCUGAAAAAUAAAUUCGUAAGUUGUAUUUUAUUUUUAAAACUCUCGAUCGAUCCAAAAAAGACUAAUAUGCAAUGUACUAUUUGUCCUCGUGCAUAUGUUUAAUUUAUUCUUUUACAAUUUGAGGGUAGUUUAAUUUAGAAACAAAUUAUCAGGUGUAAUGUAUAUAUGGAUUCUUUUUUAUUGAACAUUUAGUUUAAUACAUUGUAUGUUGGUAUGCAUUGAUAGAUUUUAAAUUACAAAUACAAGUUCAAAUACUUACAAUAGAGCCCAUAUAACUUAGGUAGUUUACUGGUCUUAACUCCAUAGAUACACCAUCAGCAAAGUGUAGAGUAACUCGAGGAAAUAUCUCAGAUAUAUUAUUAGAGAACAUGUUUAAGUCAUCAAAGAAAUCAAUUAGGUAUUUAAUAAUUUGAAUUAAAUAUUCAUUAUUGAAAUACAAAAUAUUAACCAUGAAGAAAUUAGAUAGCAUGAAGUCAUUCUUGAUAUGAUUAAAUUGACAAAAGAUGAAAUAUCGUCACUUACCAAAGAGGGUGUUAUUUUGAAUACCUUUUAGUUUAUCAAGGAUGCAAUGUUUUUUAAUCAAUUUAAAUUGCAAACUUUUUCUUCGUAUGAUAAAUUUGAGGGGAAGGGCAAUUGUUAGUACUACCUCUCUUUCUUUGGCGAUUUUCAUUUCAUAAGAAAUGAGACUUUCAUCCAAUGCGCACAUUUUGGAAAAAGAAAAAGAAAACUUUUAUUAUAUAUAUGAUUUUUAAAAUAAAAUUAUUAAUUGACAAAAGAUGCACGUGUAAUGCACACGAGAUCCAUAUGCGACAUACAAUACUAGUUUUGUUGAAUAUACUUACACUGUUUACUAAAGUUAGACUUUAUAAGCUAUUAAUUAAUUUCAUUCAACAAAUAUAUGAUAUUUUAAGAAACAAAUACUAAUAAUUAACCAGAGAUACACGUAUAAUGCAUAAAAAAUGCACAAGGUGCACAUGUGACACAUAAUUGAUGGUAGCAGCUAAGACAAAUACUCGACGAGAUUCAGGUCGAAGGAACUAUUCACAAAAAAAAUGAUGACUCUAGUAAUAGUGGUACACAGAAUUCGAGCGUGUCUAGCUCGGUAUCUCUAGCCUCCAAUUCGUCGAUUGUAGUGGUGUGAUUUGCUGGUAACAAACUCUCCAUGGUGCAGUACUUCAGCAGCACAUGAAAGCAAAUUUUAAAAACGUAUAUUAUAAAAUCUAAAAAAGUAUUUAUGGCAAGAGGGGAUCACUAUAUAACCUUAAUUACAACGACUAAAUAUUACUAUAAAUUGUACUAUAAGUAUUACUAUAAAUUGUAAAACCUCUUCUGAAGAAUAGUACUCCUCCUCCGUCUUGAAUACUUCAUUAAACUUUAACACAGAUGAUCAAAAGAAAAUUAAUUAUACAAAACUAAUUAAUCCAUGACAAACAUGCGUGCAUACUAACUAAUUAUCUUACCACAUCAGAAGCACAUAUCUAGCUAUAGGAGACCAGUAGAAACAAUGUUCAGAUCAUGAUCUUUAUUUUAAUUUUCUUCAUAACGAACUGAAAAAUAUUAACUUUGUUAUGUUGAGACUAAUAAUUUCUUCAAAACAUUGUUAUGUCGAAACAAACUUUGUUACGUUGAGACUAACUUUGUUAUGUUGAGACUAAUAAAUCAUAUAGUCCAAUCAAUUUUAAAUAUUUUUUUUAUUUUUAUGUUGUAAUCAGAAGUUAUGGCCAAAUCCCCCCAUCCUAAAUGACUUGAGAAAAUUUAUAAGACAGACUACUCACCCAAAAUAAUUGGUGUUGAAGAGCUAGCGAUCAGCGAAGUCCUUAAGAUUGUGUCCAAAUGCAAUAUGUCAGAUACAAAAUAGCCAGUAGUACGACUCUCAUCCACGUAAUUCAAGGCAUAACCACAUUGCUUUGUCAUUGUGCAUUUACACACUGGGACUGAACAAGAAAUGACAGUUGCAGUUGUUGAGUUGCCAAUGUCUUAGAAGUUCAACUUAACCUGCAAGAACAUAAUAAUGACUUUAGAAAAUUCUAAAAACCAUAACUUUUCUAUAUUAUAGUUUAUACAAGAAACUAAAAAAAUUACAACAUAAUGAUUUUUUUUUUACCCCAAGUUCACUUGUUCGAGAACAAUUGUUGCAAGAAUUACAUAAAAUCCAGGAGACCUCACUCUCAAUAUCUAUCAACAAUUUGUGUUCUCUUGGCGGUGAUCCCACUUUUACUUUCGAUUAAUAAAUGCUAACGUUACAAAAAACAUAAAUAAAAUCAGUGAAAUACAUUGGCCAAUAACAUUGGUUGUAAACCAUUAACAAAUGAAAAAAUAAAUAUAAUAACAAUCAUUGUAUUUUAUUUUUUUAAAAAAAAUCAGUGUAUAGUUAAAUUAUUGAUAUACCGUGAGUUUACGGUAUUUCUAAUACGUUUCACUUACAAGUUGUGUGUGUCUAAGGCCCUUUUAUAUUGGUUUUGAUGUGUUUUUAUCAUGUUUUGCAGGAAAGACGUUCAGGCGCGGAAGUGUAGAGACAGCUGAAAGAAAUACAAAAGAAAGGCAUUCAUGGAGGUGAUCGACGGACCGUAGGUUCAUUCACGGUCCGUAGGUGAUGACCGUAGAUCAGCAGGCAAGGCAUGGAGGACAAAUCAGGGAAAUCUGACCAAGUGUGGAACCACGGCGUCCAUUGACGGUCCGUAGAUUGAUCNNNNNNNNNNNNNNNNNNNNNNNNNNNNNNNNNNNNNNNNNNNNNNNNNNNNNNNNNNNNNNNNNNNNNNNNNNNNNNNNNNNNNNNNNNNNNNNNNNNNNNNNNNNNNNNNNNNNNNNNNNNNNNNNNNNNNNNNNNNNNNNNNNNNNNNNNNNNNNNNNNNNNNNNNNNNNNNNNNNNNNNNNNNNNNNNNNNNNNNNNNNNNNNNNNNNNNNNNNNNNNNNNNNNNNNNNNNNNNNNNNNNNNNNNNNNNNNNNNNNNNNNNNNNNNNNNNNNNNNNNNNNNNNNNNNNNNNNNNNNNNNNNNNNNNNNNNNNNNNNNNNNNNNNNNNNNNNNNNNNNNNNNNNNNNNNNNNNNNNNNNNNNNNNNNNNNNNNNNNNNNNNNNNNNNNNNNNNNNNNNNNNNNNNNNNNNNNNNNNNNNNNNNNNNNNNNNNNNNNNNNNNNNNNNNNNNNNNNNNNNNNNNNNNNNNNNNNNNNNNNNNNNNNNNNNNNNNNNNNNNNNNNNNNNNNNNNNNNNNNNNNNNNNNNNNNNNNNNNNNNNNNNNNNNNNNNNNNNNNNNNNNNNNNNNNNNNNNNNNNNNNNNNNNNNNNNNNNNNNNNNNNNNNNNNNNNNNNNNNNNNNNNNNNNNNNNNNNNNNNNNNNNNNNNNNNNNNNNNNNNNNNNNNNNNNNNNNNNNNNNNNNNNNNNNNNNNNNNNNNNNNNNNNNNNNNNNNNNNNNNNNNNNNNNNNNNNNNNNNNNNNNNNNNNNNNNNNNNNNNNNNNNNNNNNNNNNNNNNNNNNNNNNNNNNNNNNNNNNNNNNNNNNNNNNNNNNNNNNNNNNUAGAUGUCGGAUCAAGGAUUUAGAGAUACCUAACUUAUCACUUUGCAUGUAAUACACUAGGAAAGGAUUGCGGUUACUAGAAUUAUUGUGUUAUGAGCUUGUGGUGAACACGUAUACCCUAGUUAAUUUUCUCAUCUUGAUAAAAAAACCCGAAAUUAACUUUUGUUUAUUGAUUACUUACUGAAUUCUUACAAUUUGUUUCACAAAUCCCCCCCUUUUUAUUUCUUGUUUCUGGAAGUACUUUGGCUAAUUGAAUAUAAUUGUUGGUUAAAGUAAAAUCUAAACCAUUUUCCUCGUGGGAUCGACCCCAACCUACAAGUUGGGUUCUUUACUUGAUAACGAUCGCUUAUACUUCUUUAGGGAGGUGUAAUUUGAGCGUAUCAAUUAUCAAAAUAUUUUCUUAAAUAUUGAACCAUUUUUUUACUCCUCAUCUAAAUACCACUUCUGUAAUAUUACUACUAAUUAGUAAAUUCACUUCAAAUAAUAAGUAAAUUAAUUAAAUGGAAAAUCAUUGGCAUGUAGUUCAUGUAUAUUUCAAGUAUACUUGUAAGAAAAACAUUAAUUAGUCGUUGUCAUUAAAUGGAAAGAGUCUUCAGAAAUUUUAUCUCAUACAACUCCUCCAUAAGGUGCAUAAUGAGAAUUGCAGUUUCUUGAAAGUGCAUUCAUUUCCGUGCAAUUAUUGGUAUAUAGUAUAAUUUUUUUAUAUUAUAGUAUCAUUUUAUGUGUAAUGCACAUGCGCAUGCGACGCACGAUAUUAGUUUUGUUGAAUAUGUUUAGAUUCUUUAAUAAAAUUUGACUUUAUAAGCUAUUAAUUAAUUUCAUUCAACAUAUAUAUGAUAUUUUAAGAAAAAAUACUACAUAAUUAACAAGAGAUACACGUAUAAUGUAUAGAAAGCGCAGAAAAUGCACAUGUGACACAUAUUUGAUGAUAGCAGGUAAGAUAAAUACCCAACGAGAUUGAGGUCGAAGGAAUUGUUCAGUGGAAAAUUGAUGACUCCACUAGUGGUUGUUUGCAGAAUCCGAGCGUGUCUAGCUCAGUCUCUAGCCACUAAUUCAUCAAUUCUAGUAAUGUGAUUUGCUGGUAACAGACUCUCCAGGUGGAAUACUCUUGCAGCACCUGAAAGCAAAUUUAAAAAAACAUGCAUCAUAAAAACUAAGAAAGUAAUUAUGGUUAAUUGUAUAACCCUAAUUGCAAUGACUAGAUAUUACUAUAAAUUGUAAAACCUCGCCUGAAGAAUAGUAUUCCUCCUCUGUCUUGAAUACUUCAUUAAACUUCAACACAGAUAAGCCAAAGAAAAUUAAUUAUAAAGAACUAAUUAAUCAAUGACAAACAAGUAUGCAUACUAACUUAUUAUCUUACCACAUCAGAAGCACAAAACUGGCUAAAGGAGGCCAGUAGAAACAACAUCUGAAUCAUGAUCUGUCACGAUCUGAACCUAUAUUCUAGAUGCGGUCGACACUCGAGAACCAUUGCUAGUAUUCAUAAAAGAUAUGUUUCACAACUCAAAUUCAAAUUGUAAAUAAGUUAGAUAAUGAUUAAGAAUAAAAAAGGUAUUUAUCUUCAAUUCAAAUUCUUUAAGUAUUUAUUUUUAAUUCAAGUUGAAGAUAACUAUGAUUAUGAUAAAGAAUCAAAAAAUAUAUUUAUCUUCAACUUAAAUUAAUAAAAUAAUAAAUUUUCAGCUUAAAUUUGAAUUGCAAUUUUUUUUUUAUAUAAGGAAUAAAAAAAUAUAUUCAUGUUCAACUUGCUUUUUAGUCCUUUCUAAUAUACAAAACACAUACACCGAUCCUAUUAUGGAGACUUUGUCUAUUAAAAUUCAUAGUCAGUCUCCGUAUUAAUCAUAGCUUGGUCAGUGUAUGUCUUCUGAUUUAGAUUUGCUUAGGAUCGAUUCAACUUGGUAUAAUAAGAAGUUUGGUUGAGUUAGGUUCGAUGAAAAUUCAUAGUCAUAGUCUCCGUAUUAAUGAAAGGCAGGAUUCUCUUGUCUAUUAUUUCCCUUUAUUCUGAGAGAGAUGUCGUUCUUUCAGUUCCUAAUGAAUUGAGUCCGCCAUCUAUUUCAUAGUAGUUACGAAAAGUAAAUCCUAUAUGUCACAAGCAGGCAACACGAGUUCUUUACUUUUUGGUGGGGUGGAGGGCUUUUGUGCAUUAUAACACAGGCCGUGACUAUUCUUUUACCUUGAUUGAUAUUGCAUAUCGUCCGCUAUUAAAAAUAGAUAAUGAUCGAAUGUAUUAGGCCCACUUGACAAAGCUUUUUAAUUUUCUGAUGCUUAGUUGGUCGAAAUUUUCAGGUUAUAUCAUGAUUUGGCAUAGCGAAAAUGAUAAAGUUUACUAAUCCAGAUUAUAAGGAAGGUGAUUAUGUUUGGGGAAUUACUGGUUGGGAAGAAUAUACAGUGAUAAAAAAGUCAUCCUCAAUUUCUUAGAAAAAUCAAACGUUAUACAAUAUUUACAUUACCGUAAAAUUGGCUAAUUUGCAGGUUCAUAAUUUAAAUGUGAUGAUGCUUUUUACUACAAAACAGAAAGAAAAAAAAAUUAGGGGCAGCUUGAAUUGUUCCUCUUCAAUUAAUUAGAUUAUUAAAUAAUUAAAUUUUAAAAGAAAUUAUCUUAACUGUUAACGUUUUUUAAAGCAAAAUAAUCACUACAAUAUUAAAUAUUUAAAUUUAUUUUUAUAAUUAAAAGUAAUACUAAAUAUUAUACAAAUAAAAAUAAUAUUCUAUUUUGCAUACAUAAUUAGGUGAAAUCUUCAUUCUAUUUUAAUACUUCUACAAUAAUUUUGAUAACUUGUGUAACAAAUUUUAAAAUAUUUUUAAAACUAUAAUCAAUAAUAACUAUCAAAACAUUUGUAUUAUUAUGUGAAUUACAAUAAUUUAUAUAUACCUAUUUAUAUUUUACAAAAUAUUAGAAUAAAUAUUAUAAUGUCCAUUAAAAAAAUAUUAAUUAUCAAAUUAUAAUUAAAUAUAUAUUAUCAAUAUGAUCGUCUUAGUUCAAGCAUCCAUUUAUCUCUUUACCUAUUAUUGAUACAAAUUUCUUCAAUAUAAUAUGCCCACUUAUGAGCUCAUUUUGAUACUCAAAAAAUCCUAUUAGAAAAUCUGUAUUAUGGUAUAAUUAGAUUAUUGUUAGGCAAAAAUGACUUUGAAUUCAAAAUAAAAUUUAUUUAGGUGCUGGAUAGUUGAAAAGGCUCAUAAAGCCAUUAAACACGAUGAUAGUAUUGGUGCAGGCUAUGUUAUUUAACUCCUUCAUCAAUUCUUUUCUUCCUAAAAAUUUUGUGAUGACUUUAUACUAUAUAUAUAUGUACUAGUGUUUAUCGGUCAAUCACCUCUUGACUCUUCAUAUAUUUAUUUUUUAAUAUUUUGAAUCAUCUUAGUGAAAAUUCUGACUUUCCGCAACAUGGAGAAAGAAGUUAUUACAUCCUUGGAACAAUUACUAUUAAUUAAUUUAUGCCUUAAGCUGCUUUUGUUUGCUGAAAAUUCCCACAUUGGUUAAUCAUCUAAGACAGGAAGCUGAAGAUUUAAUAUAAAUUGAAAUGUCAAAAACAUAUUUAAAGUAUCUUUGCACUUGGGGCAAUGACGCAACUUGUGAGGUUCUAACCGAGGUGCGUCUAUUGCUGGUUGAAAACUAUUUCCAAACCCCCUCUUCGGCCUCGGUUUUGCCUUGGCCGUUGAGAAUUUUUUAAAGGGCUCCCUUAUUUGGGUAAAGUCCUACAAUUCUUAGUUCAAUAAUUGUUUUUUUUUUGUGAUUGUAAUGAUACAUAUUACAUUUUUUAUUUUUAUUUUUAUAUUACAUAUUAGUAAUGUCUAUGUUAGGAAAAUUAUUAGAUUUUUCAUUAAUACCUUGGUGAGUUUGUUGUGGUAUACUUGUACGACAUAGCCAUUUAUAAUAAUAUCACACUCAAUUAUUUACAUCAAGAAAGAGAAGUACUCGUAUGCUAAAAAAUUAGUCCCUCCAUUCCAUAUUAAUUUAAUUUUUGAGGUAUUUUUUAUUUUUUAAAUUAACUUAAUUGUUCUGUUUUCAAGACUACUUUUAGAGUAUUCUUCCAAUUUUAUCCUUCAUUAGUUAGUAUUGGAAUUAGUGAUAUAUUUAGUUAUUUUAAUCAUAAAUUUGACAAUAAUUAAUAAGAGUAAAAAUGGAAAACUAUAUUUAAUUUAUGUCUUAAUCUACUUUACUUAAAGGGUGUGAAACACCUCAAAAAUUAAAUUAAUAUGGAAUGGAGGGAGUAGUAAACUUCUUGGGGCAUGCCAUAAGCCAAUUCAUGGGUAAGGCCAAGGUGUUUACCAUAAGGGAGUGGGAGGUGGCUACUUAUGUGGCUGAGUUAUGGUCUUUUCUUGGGCUUGUGAACUAUUAUCGUUGAUAUAGAAAUAGGUAUUCUUCCAUUCUUGCACCCAAAGAAGAAACAUCUUUGGGAGUGAGCACAUAUUUUGAUGGCAUAAUUAAGGUUGUUUAAUAGGUCAUAACUGCAUUUGAAGUGUAAAUGAAAAUAGGGGAAAAUGCAUGAUAUAUCAUUUAGGGGUCGUUUGGUAUAAAAAUUAAUAAUGCAUGGAUUAAUAAUACACAGAUUAGUAAUGCAGAGAUUAGUAGUGCAGAGAUUAGUAAUGCAGAGUUUAUUUUUAUAAAGUGUUUGGUUCAUUGUUUCCAACCUCAUCUUGUAUUUGGAUUGAAACUUUUUAAAAUCUUCUUUCCAAUUAUACUCUUGCAUUAUCAUGUAAUUGGGUCAAAGUAGAUAAUUGACGGACAAUAUUAUUAUUUUAUGGCCUUCUAACUAGCUAUGAGAAGAACAAUUUUGUUGUCAUGUUUCCUAUUUUUUCACUUGAAUUAUUUGAGGAUAAAUAAUUGACAUCUUAAUAAAUUGAUCAUUCACAAAAUGUCAAUUUUCAAUUUAAAAACGAUAAAUCAUCUACUUUUAAAAUUGAAAAGACGUUCAACAAUGGUAAAAUUGAAUAAAUCAUUUACAUUUACACAUAAAAAUUGCAAGUUAUAGUAUAUAUAUAUAUAUUAGUGAUAUAUUUGCCUUUUUAAUUAGUAAAUGUUAAAUAACUCACAUUUCAAAUUUGUAUUGAAUUUAUUUAGUAACAAACAACUCUCUCUAAAUAAUUUGUAAGCUAAUUUAUUUAAAUAAAUUUACUAGUACAAAUAUAAAACAUAAAAUCAAGAUAAUAAAUAAAAUAAUUAAAAUGAUUUGAGGAAUAUUUUUAUCUUUACAUAGACUUAUACCAUGGUAUUAUAUCCUAUGUACUACUAAUGGAAGGUAUUAGUAAUACAUCCAAUAUUCUUUAUUUGGAAUAAAAAUUGUACCAAGUUUCUUUAUUGAUUCAUUAUUUUAAUAAUAAAUAAUUUCUUCAAUUCAAAUUUAUGACACUUUUUUCUGUAUAAUCAAUUUUAAAAAAUGACAUCUUUAUAUAUUUAAUAUUAAUUUAAUUAUAAAAUAUAUAUUUACCUUUAAUAAAAUUUUAUUUAAUCAUAUAAGUAUUUUAAUUUAUUCUAAAUCAUAAAUCUUUUUUAAAAAUUCUUUAUAUUUAAACUAUGUUGCGGCCCCAAACUAAAACCCAGUAUCGAGAUGGUUCGGACUUAAAGUGGACUGAUCCGUCCCAUCUAACACCCUUACUAACCACCAAUCCAUAUUGCUCCAAACAGUUCUCUUUCUCCCAAUUGGAUAAAAAUCUAGACCAAAACCUAGGAUCGAGACGGUUCGAGCCUAAAGUGGGUUGAUCCGGAGCAGCCGUCCCAUCUAAAACCUUACUUCCCACCAAUCCAUAUUGCUCGAAAUAAUUGUCUCUUUCUCCUAAUUGGGUAAAAUUCUAGACCAAAACUCAGAAUUGAGAUGGUUCCAGCUUAAAGUGGGUUGAUCCGGAGCGGCCGUCCCAUCAAACACCCUUACUUCCCACCACUCCAUAUUGCUCCAAAUAGUUGUCUCUUUCUCUCAAUUGGGUAAAAUAUUAGAUCAAAUGUUGAUCAACAGAAGCACUUUGAUCAUAUCAAGGGGCCACAAGACUAACAAGUGACAAUAUGUUUGUCCUAUUAGGCUUAGAUAAACUCUAAAAUGCCCCAUCAUUACAAGUCAACAACUAUAUCCUAAUAACACUUUCUUUUUCUUGUUCUUUUUGUUGGUUGAGAGUGGGUGGAGAGUUUGAGUAUUUAUUAUACGUAGUAAUAUAUGCAUUUUCAAAAAGUAAAGUGGGUGUAGCACUAAAUUAGUGGAUGCAAAGUAUCACUACACUACUAUGCCUUAGUGAUAAUAGGUGUGAAAUGAGGUGUUUGGAAAUGUUCGAAGUAGUUAAAUAGGAAGAUCACUAUAAUUAAUUACAGAACUCUGUUUUGUUGGUCACUUGACUUGUGCCUGUUUGAAUAACGUCGGUGUUAGGACCGAAAUAAGCAGGUGUAGCGCGGAAGCUAGCAAAGCAAACCUCGAAAGACCAUGAGUAAGAAGACAAACGAGAAAUAUACAAAGACACAAAGAUUUAACGUGGUUCGGUCAAUCGACCUACGUCCACAAAGGAGAUGAGCAAUCCACUAUAUAAACAUGAGAGUACAAAAUAUAGAGAGAAAUAACCUCAACCAAUUCACUCGGAAUACAUGGGAGGUUCACACAAGUGAUAACGUAUCAAGCUUGUGACCCACAAAUUCUCCCCCUAACCAAAACUCUCAAAGCCCUUAAGACUACAUUGUGAAUGCUGAUUAAUUUAGAAGGAACAAACCUCUAUUUAUAGAGUCUUAAACCUUUUCCUACAAGAAAAGAACUAGCCAAUCCAAAACAUUUUCCUCAAAGGAAAACCUAUUUAUGGUAAGAAACUCAGGGCAAAUAAUACCCAACAGUCGGUAUAAUUCUAUUUGAACUAUUCAUUUUCAAAUGAUAUUAACUUUGUUUACAUAUAGGCAAAUUCACACCUAUAAUUGAAAGAAACGAUAAGCUUUCUGCUCUAUUUGCUCGUUGGCUUCGCGUCAACCAACCACAUUUUAGGAAUUUGCUAUCUAUGGUCUAUAUGUUUAGACAUUAGUCCAAAAAAAAACAUAAAUAUAUUACAACUAUUAUAUAUUAAGAUAAGAAUGCCCAACAAAGCUACAAAUUUGGAAAGAUAGAUAUAUAAAUUUAAUAGAAAGCAGUACUGGAAUAGCUCUUAACAACAUUACUAGACAGUAUUUGGAUCAAUGAGCUAUUUUUUGGACCAACACAUCUAGGGGUUUUGAACUGGCUCACCGCGCCUCCUAAUCCAACGAAAUGAUCCAAUAUCUUAUGAAAGGUUCCCCCUGUUAACAAUCCUCAGUUCAAGUGCUCCAAUUCCAUUCACUUUCCGGGAGCUCACGUAGCCUGCAUCGAGGAACGACUUGUCCAGACAGUUGCAGCACUCUUGCAAUAUUUCAUCAGUUGCUUCCCCACUCAGUUCCCAGAAGAUGACGUAGUGUCCUGGAUCAGCUGAGACGUUGACAUGGCUUGUGAAGUCCACCACUUCUAGCUUUUCGUCAACUAAGUGCUUGCCUGCAGCUUCCACAGCUAGUUGCAAAUCUUUCUCAGUGUUCUUGUCUAUGUUGCAAAUCUUUCUCAGCUUGUUAUUUUGAAUAAAUUUGUUAAGUGUAGUAGGUAGGGAGCAACUAGACAGAACUUAGAAGGAAGAAUGCAAAAGAUUCCAACAUUCUAAGGAGUACUUAACAACAAAAGGGAAAUGAAUAUCAAGCACAUGCAAGUAUUGCAGAACAAAUGAGUACAACAGACCAUGUACAAAAAACAUGUUAACUCCAGAAUAAGGCGUAAAAACAAACGAUAAAUCUUUUCUAUCUAAGUAGAAUUCAGAAUUUUAUGCCAGACAGGCAGGCAUAUAUGUUUCCUGCAAUAUUGCCAUAAAGAACGAAGACUAAGGACGAUGCUAAACACCACAAGUCUAAGCUGAGAGAAAUUGACUCAUUCAGCUGAAUUACAUGGAAGUCACUAAAUUAGAGCAAAACUCGUUCACCGGGAAGAAUCACUGAAUAAAUUAGACUAUGUUCCCAUAAAUGACCAACGAUCGCAGGUUUAGCAUGUUAUGU